rnacentral:lncRNA from 1 species
GAGGUAGUUUCAUAAUGUUUAAUAAGGCCGCUGUCCCACAUAGUUGCCCGGUGGAUCGUAGUUGCAUGUGACGAACCACCACCCAUUGUUGCACUGAACCCUAGCGCACCCAAGACGCACCGAGUUGCGCCACACAACCUGAGUAUAGUGCCCACACUCUCCACCAACGCAUGAGUUGGAGUUGUAGUCAUAAUAAGGCUUCUCCCCCACCCACAAGUUCACCGCAUCGGUGCCUGUCAAUGAACCGCUGCCUUUGGCCAGGUUCUCACCGUAAGGCCCACCUGAGUGCACUAGAUUGCAGUCGCUAAUCCUCUGGUUAGCAUAGUUCUGGGCGUAGGCAGCUACAGUGUCGUUCCAUGUUAUAGACCCAACGCCAACUUGGGCCCGCGCUGCAUUGUGAGCAUCGACGUAGUCCUGUGGAGAGUUCUGGGCACAGCAGGUGUGAGCUAGGGCUAACCCCAUGAGACCAACAAGGAGCGCCAUUGAAAUCUUACACAACCCCAUCUUUUAGUUUCUUUGAUGACAAGUGAGGGCUGGGUUGAAGGGUAUUUAUAGGGGAAAUAGAAGCAUCAUAAUCUCCAAGUCUUGCUCCCCCUAACUUCCCCCUUUGAUACAGUCUGUGUGGCGGCCUUCACACGUAAAGAUCAACAACUGAUAAAAUAGUUGGCACUAAGAUCAAAAUGACUUCCAUGCAUGUUCAAUUUUUUCCUAAGAAGCAAUCAACAAUACAUGAAAACGACUUCCAUGCAUGUUCUUUCUUUUAUUCAAAAUAAAACAGCUCUUUGAAAUCACAGUUUUGCAGUUCAAAAAAUCGGUUUUUAUUAAUAUUUAUUUUUAAAAAUUUACCCUAAACGCUUCAAUUAGAAAAUGCGAGCUUUAUAAAAUUCAAAAGACAAAAACACCUUAAAAUCCAUAUUUUUCUAAAUGGGAUUUGAGAGUAGUUGUAAAAAUAUAAAAAAAUUUAAAAUUACAUCAGCCCCUAUUUUUAUACAAAUAAGCAAUUUUAAAGUGCUUUUUUUUUUCUUUUCUUUUGUUUGAAAAUGUCAACUUAAUUAGUCUAUUUUAUAUAUAUAAACCUUUGAUCACGGACGAAUUUACACGUGCUUCUUCAAAUUCUGCAAAUACGUACAAAGUAUCCUAACUUAAACCUCUGAUGAAGGACGAGCUUACAUGUGCUUCUUCAACUUCUGCAAAUACAUACAAAUUAUCCUAACCGGUUUGCUUACUUGACUGAACUAAGUGUUUGGUCUUUUAAUGUUAGAUUUCGAGAUUUCGUGGAAAAGUGGUUAAGACAGAGUUUUGGGACGGUCAUCAAAGUUGAAUAAUUUAUCAUGUGACACAUUAUUUGAGCAAACAAGUUGAUAGCGUAUGUGAUUUUUUAUGCUCGUUGUCAACCUCAAAUCCAAAAUAAAUAUAUGACUUUGAAAUGGUAAAAUAUUCAGUAUGAUUUUCUUCUUUACCCUUAUGCUAGGCUAUUAUCGUGGGUUGAUGGCGCGAGGUACUAGGGUCAUUGUAAUUUCCUGAUGUACUCGCCUCCUCAACUGAAAAUGAUGCUUCCUUCCUUCGCCCUACAAAAGAUGUCUGGACAGGGGGUCCGGACACACUCUCUAAAGCCUUUGUUAGUUUGAUAAUCCAGCAAAUUGAUAUUCUUGGGCCCUUUUCUUUUAGGAAUGCUUAACCUUUUUUUUUUUUCGACUGGGUCGUCGGGGGCCUUUUAUAGUGCUUGGAGCCUCGUCACUUCGAAGGUGUGAAGACUCUUUGACUUUUGCGAUCAUGAUGGUAUUCAGAGGGUGACAGAGCCAUCAUUAUCCUGCAGGCGGCUGACAGAGAUCGUUGGGGGGAUGAUUUGUCAUCACCCUUGUCUUUUCACUCUGUAGGCGGUGUAGGGCAGGUCGUGGCAGGUCGCCUGAAGAGACCCAAGAAGGUCCAUCGAGUAUGCUUUUGGCGAAAUGAGUAAUGAUUGCCCACAAAAUACGGCCAGGAAUUUUGUUUGGGACGCCAGCUAUUAGGUCCGGACUGGACAUCCACAUAGGGGGUGGGGAGGCCACAUGUCAGUCCAUGUGAUCGUCCGGACAGGGGGUGAGACAUGCCAGGUGUCCAAUGGAGGAGUGCCUUGUGAGGCCGUCACGUGUACGCUUAGGCAGUCCCUACAGGUAUCACUAGUGGUUUCGACUAAUGGUAGCAAAAGAAGAACAAAGGUACUUGAUAGGAUGCUUAUUCCAACAAGUUAAUAUAUAUAUAUAUUUUAAUCAAAUGAACGUUAUUAGAAACAUUUUCAAAACUUUAAUUUAUUUAUUUUUUUAUUUUUUAUUUUUAAAUUUACAUUUAAACAAUAUUGGAUUCUCUAUGAAAGGGUUUAAAAGUACAUUUGAAAGUGAUUUUGAUAAGUGUUUUUAGUCUUUCUAAUACUUAAAAAAUAAAAAAUUUCAAGUGUUAGAAAAACUAAAAGCACUUUCUAGAAUCAUUGCUAAAUGCACUCUAAAUACAAUUAAAAGUGUUUUUACAAGAAUUACUCCAAAUCACAUUAAUAAAAUUGUGAUGAUUUUUGGUGAAAAUUUAUAUGAUGUUAGAUGUAAUUCUUUUUUCAUCUAAGGUUCUAGAUAUUAUACUGUUUGAUUGGAUAAGAUAUGACAAAAAGAUAUCAUGAUUUCUAAUGAGAUAUGACUUUGGAUAUUUUAUCAAAUGAAAAUGGUAUCUUAAGACAUUAUAUUAAAUAAGAUUUGUUAUGAUCAUAUUUAAUUUAUAAAAUAAAUAAAUGGAAUGUAUAAUAUAUUGCAUUUUAAUGUUCAAUAUUUUUUCUAAAAUAAAAAUUAUAUUGAUUCCUAAUGUUUGUUUUUAAAUAAAUAUGAGAUUGUUGUAAAAUAAAAAAAUGAGAAGAAAAAAAGAGGAUGGAAUAAAUAUGAAUACUCAGAGAAAAAUAGAAUAUUAUUUCAUUAGCAAGUCUCCUCAUUUUAUAGAGAGUUAGGAAGAGAUUUGUAUCAAUAUGGAUAAUCAUCCAUAAGUUGUCACAAUCAGAAAAAUUCUCAUAUUUUAUAACACUCCUCUGUAGAUGAUCAUAAGAAUAAUAUACCUCCUUAAACCUUCCUAGAAAAAAUCUUAUGAGAAAAACCUUUGUAAAGUAAAAAAAGUACAAAAUUCUUUAGAAUUAUUACGAUUGCCUUAUUAAAAACCUUGCCAAGAAAACCUAGUGAGAUAAAAUCUGGAUGAAGGGAAAAAACAUAUAAUGUAGUGAUAUCCUUAUCAAUUUGUUUCCACUCAUGUUGGUAUGAUUAUAUUUUCUCUUGUAACUCAAUAUCGAGAUCUUUGAGUUGGCGUAUUUCAAUGUUAUAUAUGAGUUUCUUGAGUGUUGCAGUUGACAAUGCGUUUGUGAAUAGGUCUACUAAAUUGUCAUUAGAUCUUACUCAUUGAACAAUCAUUUCACCACUCUUCUAGAGCUUAGAAGUGUAAAUGAAUUUGAGUGUUAUAAACUUAGUUCCAUCACCUUGAAUGCAUCAUUCUUUAAUUUGUGCAAUGCAUGCAAUAUUAAUAUCAUGUAACAUUGUUGAAUUGUCUUUAAUGGAAGAUAGUCCGUAUGAUUCUUGAGUAUAUUGGAUUACAAAUCUCAACCACACACUUCUUGACUUUCUUCAUGGAUUGCACGUAUUUCUAAAUGAUUUGAAUAACAACUAUUAUAAGUUUUAUUGAUCACCAUGAUAUUGCAGUAUUACCAUAGGUAAACAAAUAUCCUAUUUGAGACCUUGCCUUGUAAGGCAAUCACCUUGGGGGAUGGGAGGGAUGAAGAGGAUGAUGGUCACUUUUUGAAAAAAAUUAAACUAUAUGAAAGCAAGUGACAAGUAUAUCCAAUUAAAUAAUAAAUACAAUGAAAAGUAAUUGCAUAUAAAGUAAAAAGAUAAGGAAAAGAGAUUGCAAACUUAAGAGUUUUAUAGUGGUUUGGAGUAACUCGACCUAUGUCCGCUCUCCUUAAUGUCAUGGACUUAGUCUUUUUCUAAGCUCGUGCGGCACUUAGACAAGUCAAGACACUUGAUCUUGCUAAGUCAGCCUUACUCCCAAUGCUUAGCUUUCUAGGCUAAGAUGCCUACGACUCGGAAGCUUUAAAAGGUGUAGUAGGCGAUGCUUAAAGAAUGAAAGCUUUUGUUACUCAAAGGAAGCUUUACAAGUGCUUUGGGAACUCACUUGCUUGGUUGGUUAGGUUCUUGGGUGGUGCCUUGGCCAAAUGAGGGCCUCACCUAUUUACAGGCAUCAGUGAAACUCUCUGGAACCUUGGAGGGUUCCUUACAACUUAAGAAUAAUCUAGAACUUCCUACACAAUUCUAUGUACAAACCUAUGUAUAAGAAUAUACAAGAGAUUCCUAGAAUUCUCUAGAAAGCCUUAGACUCCUCUCAUACCUUCCACCAUAGUGUAGAGAUGUGUGGACAUCUCUAGGCGUCUCUAGAACCUUCCAUACUCUUCUCACCAAUGGCUUAGUGUAGAUGGCUCCAGGAGUCUCCAAAAGCUUUCUGUCCUCUAUAUAACCCCUAUGGGGAGGGUCAUUUGAAACAUCUUAUGACACUCCCCCCCACCUAUGCCGUCGACGUCCUCAUUGUUGCCACUUCUUGAAACUUCUCGAUGAGUUUCCAGAACCUUCUAAAGGAAUCCGCAUGUUCCCAGCUUACCUGCCUCUUAGGUAGUCCUUUCCGUAGGACUAGAUACUCUAUCACAAGAGAGACCCCUUGUCUCCUGGUAACCCAUUGAACCAAGAUAUUUUUCACCUCCUUUUCCCGUGAGACCUCGGAUGGAUGCAGACCCUUUCACUUUUGAUGCUUGGAGUGCUGCUUCCUCUUACCCAUCGAAUUCACCUUUCCCUUGUUGACCUUGUCCAUGUGUGUGUGAGCUACCUCAACUCGCUCUCCUUUUGCCUCAUUUACUUGCACCCCUGAUAGUAAGGAGAUCUUAGGUGUACUAGGCUUUGGGUUGACUUAGAGGGCACCUAGUAGCUGCACCAAGCCCAUAUGUGCUUCGUGUUCCUACUCCCUCUCCUCGAUCAUACCAUUGAACGCCUUCUUCUUUGGAUAAUCCCAUGCCCAAUGUGGACCAUCACAUAGGAAGCAUUUGAUUUUAGGUGUAAACUCUUUCCUUUCCUCCUUACCCCUUCCUUCCUGGACGUUAAGUGUCUUGCUUGAUCCCAUUCUAGGAGCAUUGUGGUCCCUUGAAACCUCAUCUCUCCCACCUAUGGCGUGGCUAUCCUCCAAAGACUCAACCUUGAAGGAGUCUCCCCUCUUGUAAUCCGUUAAAGACUCUGCUAUUGCCAUAGCAAUGGCUAAGUCUUGAACGCCUUGGCGCCUUAAUUCCUACUCAGCCCACCCUUGCAGGUUAUCCAUGAAGUUGAAUAGCAACUCCUCCUUAGUCAUGUUAGGAAUCUUAAGCAUGAGCGAAGAGAAUUCCUUGACAUAGUCGCGUAUUGAGCCUGUGUACUUAAGACACCUCAUGUUUUUCCUAGCUAGGUAAGCCACAUCUUCGGGGUAGAACUGCCUCUUGAAGUUCUCCCACGUCUCUAUGGUACAAAUGCCUUUCUCCAUAUUGGCGAACCUCCGACGCCACCAUAGAGUAAUUAUGUGAGUAAGGUAGAGGGUUGCAGUCCUUACCUUAACUGCCUCAUUAGUCAAUGCGAUAGCCUCAAAGUAUCGCUCCAUAUGCCAUAAGAAGUUGUCCAACUCCUUGGCAUCCCGUUUGCCACUAAACCCUUAUGGCUUCGACACCUCCAUCCUAAAUGCCUCUUGUGUGGCCAUCACUCGUGCCAACAUAGCAGCCUUGUAGAUGGCUAACUCCUACCUAACCUCCUGGUCUGGAGACUCAAUUCGAGUGGCCAAGGCCUCUAUCCUUGACUCCAUGCUAGCAAGCAUGCUCAAGACCUUUUCUUGGAAGGACACAAACUCCUCAUGUGACACUGGCUGAACCUAUGAGACUAGCACCCCCUCACGAAGGUCUUGGAUCUGCUCCCUUAAAUCCUCUAAGCCCUUCUCCAUGCCUUGCUCGAUCAAGUCCAACCUCUCCUGAGUGUCUGCCAUGGCUAGCUCUAUCUUAGCUAACCUUACCUCCAUGUUGCCAACAACAUAACGAGAUUUAUCCUUCUUGCCCCUGCCACGUGCAUCAGGUUCGAUCUCCCUCCCAUGGGUUUGCUCACUAGUCUCAUCCAAGUUGGAGCCUGACAUGCUUCAUUUACUAUGCCCGCUUUGUAGCAGCGCUUUGAUAUCACUUGUCACGGACUUAGUCUUUUCCUAAGCUUGUGCAAUACUUAGACAAGUCAAGACACUUGAUCGUGCUAAGUCAACUCUCAAUUCUUAGCUUUCUAGGCUAAGAUGCUCAUGAAUCGAAAGCUUUACAAGUGCUUUGGGAACUCACUUGUUUGGUUGGUUAGGUUCUUGGGUGGUGCCUUGGCCAAAUGAGGGCCUCACCUAUUUAUAGGCACCAAUGGAACUCUCUAAAACCUUGGAGAGUUCCUUACAACUCAAGAAUAAUCUAGAACCUCCUACACAAUUCUAUGUACAAACCUAUGUACAAGAAUAUACAAGAGAUUCCUAGUAUUCUCUAGAAAGCCUUGGACUCUUCUCAUGCCUUCCACCAUAGUGUAGAGAUAUGUGGACAUCUCUAGGCGUUUCUAGAACCUUCCAUACUCUUCUCAUCAAUGGCUUAGUGUAGAUGGCUCCAGGAGUCUCCAGAAGCUUCAUGCCUUCUAUAUAACCCCUAUGGGAAGGGUCAUUUGAAGCAUUUUGUGACAUUAAGUUCCUAAUUGAAUGAGGGUUCCACUAUUUCAAGACUUUCAACACAAGCCUCCAAGCAUUACAAUUGGAUUAUGGUUCCAAUCAACCUUCUUGGAUUUAUGACUCCAAGUACUUUCUUGUAUUAUGGUUCUAAGCACCCAUAACAAUCCUUAAGAGAUACCUUACUUUUAAUAAUCUCUCAAGUGAUACUCCACACUUGAGAUACCUCACACUUAGAUUUUUUUUCUUCUCAAAGGUUUACAAGAAAUGAUAGGAAAUAUUUUCACAAAAUACUGAUAUAAAAUUUAGGUGUAAAUGAUACAAAAUAAACAAAGAUUAGGUGUAUUCAUGGAUAUGCAAGUUUAAAAACAAAGUGUACUCAAUUUAUAAAUCUUACUCACCAAAUCAAAGAAAGAUGGAGCCUUUAAAUAGAGUUUGGAAGCCCAAACUAGCUGUUAGACAAGUUUAGGGGUUGGCUAGUCGAGUAACCGACUUGAUCGAUUCACUAACUAUUAGCAUUUAAUAUUCUAGAAAAUGAUAAUUGGAGUUUAAGCCCUUAAUUGGUUGGGCAACCGGUUCAACUAAACUAGUUUGGCCUCAAUUGGUUGCACCUUAGCUAUUGGAAAUCAAAGGUGCACAAAAUGCCCCUUGAUCAAUUGGGUCCAAUUGGCUCAAUUGUUGCCUUAAACCCUCGAUUGGUUGCACUAGAAUGCUUAAAACUCAUUUUUGAGAUCUAGAACCUCCAAAACCUUUUGUAGAAAUUUAAAAACCUUUUAAAGAUAUUUUAGAAAUCAUUUGGUUCAAGGUUUUGAUUGAAAAUGUGAAAUCAUCCCAUUAUAAAAGAAUUUAAAACAAUUUAUUACUUGGAUGAUUUCAUUUGGUUCAAGGUUUUGAUUGAAAAUGUGAAAUCAUCCCAUUAUAAAAAAAUUUAAAACAAUUUAUUACUUGGAUGAUUUUUGGUGCUUAAGUAAAAGUGAAAUGAAUGAAAAACCUAGCGCACUCAUAACCUUACAAAGAGAUCUUAGACAAUCUUUCUCUUUGAGAUUUUUUUUUCUUAAUUUCCCUUGUAUAUAAUAUAUCUGUAGACCCUCAAUUUUGUCCCUCGACACUGGCAUUUAUCCUUCAAGUGUCACAUCCACCCAUCGUUCGCAUAUGGCACCACUAGGGCCCCUUUUGGGCUUAGUCGGUGUCCGAGACUCGUGUGGGUUUGUCUGUGGUCCAUUGUGGUGCAUAUGUGGUUCAUUUUGGAGGGUCACCACGGCCAUUUUCCUAGUCGUUCACAUCACGCUAUAGGAAGGAAGUGGGGUCAUCCUGAUGUUUUAGCUUAGUUGGAGUUUAUAGGGGCAUGUUGAGGUUCGAAGCACUCGGGCUUGUUUUGAUCGUAUCUCCCUCAUCCAAACUCGGAAUCAAGAACCGUUUCUUUUUAUGGAUUCCUUAUUCUUCCAGGAACAUUCUGUAAAAUUUUCAAAAUUUUUUGCAACCGUUCGGCUGGUUGGCAACCGGUUCAGCCGGUUCGGCCGGUUCAUCAAGUCAGCCGGUGUAGAACACUGAUUUUUGGUAAUUGUUUUGAUCAUAUCUCCCUCUUCCGAACUUGGAAUCAAGCACCAUUUUUUUUAAUGGAUUCCUCACUCUACUAGGAACAUUCUGUCAAAUUUUCAUAUUUUUUUUCCAUCGGGUCGACCAGUUGGCAUCCGGUUCGGCCGGUUCAGCCGGUUCAUUGAGUCAGCUGAGGUAAAACACUAAUUCUAGUAAUUUUGAGGCCCAAAUCCUACAUGGCCUAGGCCCGUAAGCUCCAGAUCGGUUUUGGGCAAUGUUGUGGGUCCAUUUUGGGCCUUGGUUUGGGUUCCUUGCAGCCCACCACGAAUCCAUAUGGAUUCUUGGUGGUGAAGCAAGCUGAAAACUGAAGGAGUGAGCUGGCCUUGUAAGUUUAAGAGAAGUAAUGAGGGGUGUGGUUCCCAUGCUGAUGAAGGGGAUUUUGGUGCUGAAGGGGAUGAAGGGGAUUUUGGUGCUGAAGGGGAAGGAAUCCAGGAGGCUCAAAUGUUAAGAGGGGAUGAGUAUAAAAGGUGCAAUGAUAGGAGAGCAAAGGAGAUGAGGGGACAUUUUGGAGAGGGGAAAUUUUGCUGGUGAGAAAAACAAAAGGUCAGUAGCAUCUUCUGAGUUGAGAGCGUGGGGGAAAGCUUCAGCACUAUGGUUUUUUAAAGAGGAGAGUGACAGCAUCUCAGUUUUGGAAGUCAUCAUCUGCAUACACAGAUCAUAUUUGGUGGAGAUUCUAAGGUAAGCAUGCUGAAUUUUCUUUACUUACAGUUUAUCUUCCUCGUCUUCAUAUACUUUUUCUCCUUCCUCAUCAUCUUUUCUUCCCUUUGAUAUGAAGAUUGUAUUGCUUGGGUGUGGAUAAUAAAGGUCACACAUGAUUGUUGUUGUUUGCUUCCUUAAUCACUUAGGAACUUUCUGACCGAAUUUGGGAUUUUUUACCAACCGACUGAACCGGUUCAACCGGUUCAGCACCAUAGCUGGCAGCCUCUGUCAGCCAUGAAGAACAUUUGUCUUUCUUUGUCUAGUUCUCACUCAUCCGGGCUCGGAAUUGAGAACCGUUUCUUUUGUUUGCUUCCUUAAUCACUUAGGAACUUUCUGACCGAAUUUGGGAUUUUUUACCAACUGGCUGAACCGGUUUGGAACCAGUUCAACCGGUUUGGAACCGGUUCAACCGGUUCAGCACCAUAGCUGGCAGCCUCUGUCAGCCAUGAGGAACACUUGCCUUUCUUUGUCUGGUUCUCACUCAUCCAGGCUCGGAAUUGAGAACCGUUUCUUUUGUUUGCUUCCUUAAUCACUUAGGAACUUUCUGACCGAAUUUGGGAUUUUUUAACAACCGGCUGAACUGGUUUGGAACCGGUUCAACCGGUUCAGCACCAUAGCUAGCAACCUCUGUCAGCCAUGAGGAACACUUGCCUUUCUUUGUCUGGUUCUCACUCAUCCGGGCUCGGAAUUGAGAACCGUUUCUUUUGUUUGCUUCCUUAAUCACUUAGGAACUUUUUGACUGAAUUUGGGAUUUUUUACCAACUGGCUAAACCGGUUCAGCACCAUAGCUGGCAGCCUCUGUCAGCCAUGAGGAACACUUGCCUUUCUUUGUCUGGUUCUCACUCAUCUGGGCUCGGAAUUGAGAAUCGUUUCUUUUGUUUGCUUCCUUAAUCACUUAGGAACUUUCUGACCGAAUUUGGGAUUUUUUAUCAACCGGAUGAACUGGUUGGGAACCAGUUCAAUAGGUUCAGCACCGUAGCUGGCUGCCUCUGUCAGUCAUGAGGAACACCUGCCUUUCUUUGUCUGGUUCUCACUCAUCCGGGCUCAGGAUUGAGUGUCGUUUCUUUUGUUUGAAUCCUCACUCAUUUAGGAGUUUUCUAGAAAAAUUUGGGAAUUCUUCUCAAUAGGUUGUACCAGUUGAGAACUAGUUCAACCUGUUCUGUUGGAGGACUUUAGGAAGCCCUCGAUUUUGGCAUUUUUCGAGCCCUUAUCCAUGGGGGCUCAAACCCUUUUGCUAUAGGGCACUUGUGAGCCAUCUUGAAGGUUUAAGUCAGUGUUUGAUUUCAGUUAGUAUGGGCAAUUUUGAAGUUAUGGGUGGUGUGGUCUAGAUGAGUCUAGUUUGAUUUGUAUGACAUUUGGGGAGUCCCUUACCUCAUUUCAACCAACUAUCUUCCUUUUUUGGCACAAGCUUUGAUGCUUGAUUUUGAAUGCAUGUUGCAUGACUGACUCACCCUCUGCUGCAGCGCUUGGCUAGGGACCACAGGUACGCAUCGUUGGCUUUGGUUGUCGAAUUCAUAUGCAUGCAUGGUGCUUAAUCUUGAAUGUUUGUUAUGUGUUUAUCUGUGUUUGGCUGACCUUUUAUGCAGCGCUUGGCUAGGGACCACAGGUACGCACCCAUUGUUUUGUUUGGUUGAAUUCAUAUGCAUGCCAAAUACCAAUUAGGAUUGUGUGAUUCAUGACAUCUAUUUAGCCUAGGGUUUCAUUUGACCUUUGACCCAUAUGCUCCCACAUACCCAAUUCAUUAGUAAAAACCGAGUUUCGGGCCUAGAGGGGUGCUACCUCGCAUGAGGUACCUUCCCAACGGGUAACCUGAUCCCCGGACCCAGAAUCUAGUUUUCGUAGACCACUUUUUCCAUACUGGGGUCAUUAGGGGUUUUUGUUCUUACUUAAUUUUCCCCAUUUUAAAAACAAAAAUAAAAAGUAAGUGGCGACUCCAAGCAACACCGUUCCUCACCGGGGGCGGGUUUUUCAAAACUGGAAAACACCAACUUUUUCAUUUCUUUCUUUUCUUUUAAAAGCGAGUCGCGUCGGUCCGGUGGAUCGGGUGAGGGUCCACAAUAUCUUUAAUUGCUACUUUGAAAAUCUUUUGACCUAAACACACUUAACAUAAAACAUUAAUUCCAAACCUUAUUUUGUUAUCAUCAAAAUUGAAAUUAACCAAACUUUGGUUUCACACCUAUUUUAAUUUCCUCAUUUAUUAUCCACUUUUUUUUAAAAAAAAAAUAUUUUAAGAAUAUUAUAAUAUAUAUAUAGAUAUAUAAACUUAGGUUUAUUCAUACAAAUUGAUAUAAAAAUAUCAUUUAAAAUCAAUAAACUUUUUAUAUUUAGAUAAAUAUCUAAAAAUAAAAUUUAACUUAAAAAAGAAAUGAUGUAAAAAGAUUGUAAAUAAUCAAAAAUAAAAAAAAGCAGGGCCUUGUAAAACUAUUUUUAAUUGAAAUUUUUUUAAGCAUUUAACUUCCCAUAAAAUGAAAAAUUUUUAGAUCUAAAUUUCUUAGUUUUAAAAAUAUUUAACAUAAUAUUAUAUCCAGUUACCAGAAAAUGGCUAGAAGGAAAAAUAAAUAAAAUAGAAAAAGUCUAACUAUUUUUUUUAUGUUUAAAUAAUAUGGACAAAAAUAAGAAAAAAAAGGUAAAAUAUUAAAAUAUUUUCCUCCUUAUUUUUCUAAGAAAAGCUGAAAUAAGUACAGAAAAAAAUUAUAAUUUUCUUUAAUUUUGCGUUUUUUUCUUCAAACUUUCCACAACCAGCCACAUGGUCUAAGUGAAAGCAUAAAUUAUAAAAAUUUUAUCUGUCUACGCAGUUUAAAAGCUUUGCCAAAUUGGGUCUUGGUAGACUUUAAAAAUACAAAAUAAAUUGAUCAGAUGGUUACAUAUAUAUAUAAGUCUUGAUAGCGCCCUGAUAAUGAGGCUACAACUUAGGAAUUACGUGUCCAAUUGCCAUGCUUGGAAAAAUCAAAAUGAUGGCUUUGUUGGAUGAAUCUAGAUGAAGUUUGGCCUACAUAUAAGGAAGAAUAACAUCAUGGUCGCUGGUGGUAGGCAUCAAUUCCGGGACAACCAUGAGCUUGUGCUGGAAAAUUCAGUAGACCCUCCAUUAGUGUAAUCUCUUAAUUGCCUUAACUUCUCUCCAUUUAAAGGCAAAGACUGGACUCAGUGGUAUGGCAUUGGGAUAGACCCAGAGUUCAGCUCAGUCCUAGGGCCCAAUUAAAGUUCUAGAUUGGGUUGAGUCUUAUAUAAAAGUGACAAUCUCUAUUUGUUAAUCUUUGUGUCAACUUAAUUUAUACUAUUAUUACUCAUGUAACCUAAUUCAUAUUUUAAAUCUAAUCUAUAUCACAAUUUAUUCUAAUAUUUUUGGAUGAUGCACAUCAAUUUGAAAAUUUUUGGUGUGUAUCAUAGCUCUUAAUAGCUCAAAUUUAUGUUACAUCCCUAUUCAAGACUUUCUCACAAUUUUCAAGUUUUGUAGUGCUUUUAUUAAAAGUGUGAUGAGCUUAGUGAGCGCAAGUAGGGGUUAUAAGGGUCAUUUUGAGCAUUUUUAGUAACUUCUAUGAAUUUUGGAAGGACAGGGGAGCCCAAAAGCAAGAGUAAAUUAGCAAGCUAAGCAAAACACAAUUAGCAUCUCCACAAGCUCGAUUCCAACUAGUUUUGAGUUUGGAGUUAUUUGAAAGGGUUAUAUGCAUCUUAAUAGAGUGGUAAAUUUUAUCAAGUUCUAGACUCUAAUAGGGAAGAAAAGGGGAGUUAGAGAUUUUAUUUUUAAAACAAAGAAAAUACCAUUGCAAGAUAGUAGCAUAAACUUCAACUUAAAUAUAAAAAACAGAACAAAAAAUAGCUAAUCUAAUAUUUGCUUUUUAAUUACAUCAAUUUACUAACUUUCCUAUAAGUGAGCCAACUUUAUUAUUAUUAGAUCAUCUAGUGAAAUAUCUCUCUUUUAUUUUGAUAACUUAGUUUUAGAUCAAGUUUUGAUAAUCUCAUCUAAAAAUUAAUUGGUAUCUUGAGGUUGGACUAAGUCUUUUAUAACAUUCAACCACCAUCAUCUGGGUGACCCAUCCAUUGAGCUUAAAGAGUGAAGUUGUUACACCCCAACAAUCUCUCCACUAACAUGAUGCUUCCCCGGCUUUAACUCAAGACAUUGACUUUGAUACCAAUUCGUGGAUCAAACUUUGAUCAUCUUAUUUGAAGACCAAUUGAUUUUUAGAUGAGAUGAUUAAAACUUAAUUCAAGACUUAGAAAGGUAUUUAUCAGUUCCUUCCCCUUAAAAAAACCUUGUCCUCAAGGUUGGAAGUAAGGAAAAUGACUAAUAAGCUUAUGCCAAUCUCCCUAGCUAGCAUCUUUUAGGGAAGAAUUAAAAUAAUGAACAAGAAUUGGAUCUUUGAAUUGUUCCCAUGUUUGAUAGCAUGUUGAUCAAGAAUUCUGAUUAGUUCAAACAACAUCUGUCCUUUAUCAUUAAUGGCUGGUAGCUCAAGUUUUGCAGUGUUUUUUCUAGCCAAUGGAUCUUUUUCUUUAAACCAGAUAGUGAAUUUUUGAAUGGGAAAGCAAUUCCAAAUAAUAAGCAACUACUCCUAUAUGGAAAUUCACCCUAAAAGGCCUAUAAAACCUUAGAGACAGCUAAUUGAUGCAUGGAAAGGCCACAUAGGCUUAUUAGUCUGGUUAUAGGUACAAUUACACCAUACCUCUCACAUCAAAAGACCUUUCUAUAUGAUGUUGAUUAGCUUGCUGAUUCAUAUGGCGUUGAGCCUUCUCCAAAUUUUCUUUCAAUAGUAGUAAGAUGGCAUGCAUUUCGAUCCGUAAGCGCUUGGCCUAUUGAUACUGCCUUGGUGUCACCUCGUGCAUACAUGGGCAGAGAUGACGAACUCUGACCAUAAUCCAUUUUAUGUAGAAUGAGCCUGAUGGCAGUGUGGAAGGAAGUAUUGAACCACCAUUCAACAAAUGGUAACUAAGGAGACCACUUUUUAGGAUGAUUGCCCAUGACACAAUAAAGAGAAUUUUUCAAACAAUGAUAAAGGCUCUUUUUAGGAAUUGUUUUUUAAAACACUUUUUGGUUCUUCAGAAAAAAAAAAAAAAAAAUUGAAAACAAUAUUUGACAACUGGAAAAUAGAAUUUUUUUUUUGGGACUAUUUUAACUUGUUUUAAAAAAUAAUUAUAUAAUAAAUACAUAAAAUUUAUUUUUAAAACAUAUUUAAAAAAAAUAGAAAACAUAUAUGUUAAGAAUAUUUCAUAUUCCAAAUUGACUUUUGUUAUACAACUUAAUGAAUUAAUAUGAUUUAAUGAUUUAAUUUAAGCCAUUGAGUAAAUUAAAUAUCUUUGGUAAAAUAAUUUAAUAUUACAAUUUAAAAUUACUUUUAACAUUAAAUAUUAAAUCAAAAAAAUUAACUCAUUUUUAAUUUUAAAUCUUUUUUGUUUUAUUUAACCCUAAAGUAUAUUUUAACAUUAUGAUUUUACAUCUAUGAUUCUUUUUUAAAAUAAAUAUUUUAUGGUUAUCAUACCCAUCUACAAUAUUUUAAAUAUGAAUAUUGUCUAAAUAAAAAUUACUUAAAAUUAUUGAAAAUAAAUAUGAGUUGAAAUCAAGGAAGAUAAAUAUUCAUUAAAAUUAAUAAGGGUAAAUAUGUUAAUUUGAUAAUUUAAAAUAAACUUUAAGUUAACUUUAUCAAAUACCUUAAGUAAAAUAAGUAAUAAAUUUUAAGUCAAUCACUUAAAAAUAAUUUAAUUUAAAGUUAACUUAAGUAAUUAAGUAAUAAAUAUCAAAUUUUAUCAAACACUUGAAACUCUAUAUCUUAUGAAAAAUUGUUUUUUUAGAACUACUUUUAAAAACGCUUUCUAAACAAAGCAUAAUCCUUAGUUUUUCCAUGAGAUUGUAGAUGAUAUGAUGAACUCAUAUAAAGUUGAGUGCUGCUCAAAGAGAGCUUGCCAGAAUAUGCUAGUAUAUAUGGGAUCUCUGUUGCUAACAAUGGUAGUGGGCAUGUCCAACAAGUGAACAACAUGUUGGAUAAAAAUCUUAGUAACUUCCUUGGCUGAAUAUCGAUGUCUUAAAGCAAUAAAGUAAUGGUAUUUUCUUAAUAUAUCCUUCAUGAGGAAAAUGGCAUCUUUCCCAUGUGAGCGAGGAAGUCAUCCAUUGAUAAAAUUCAUGGUUGUCAUGUAAUAUUGCAGCCUAGAGAGAAAAAUGUACAACUCAAGACCAGGGAACCCUUGUACUGUAGUUGAUUUUGCAAUAUCGCCAAGAAUACCCCCAUUUGGCAUUUGGCAUUUGGGUCAACAAUAUUAAGUCUUUGUAUUAGUUAUUGUAGUUAAGGGUCUUGCUGCUAUUUUUCCUUGGAAGUAUAUCAAGCCAAUUAAUAGUAGACAAGGAUAGGGUCAUGACUUUCAAUAUUGAACAUACUCUAUAACGGACAAAGCCAGAGAGAAAUAAGAGAAUUGUAUGAGGGUUUAAAUGUUUAUUAAAGAUAUUUGGUGGUAGAAAUUAUCCUUUUAUUCUCACAAUCACUUGAAGUUGGAGCAUGUGACACGGCAUGGAUCGAUGUGUUAGGCAUGGCCCCCACGUGCCUUCGAUGGGAGAUAUCCCUUCCAUACCUUCUCAGGUUAUAAAUGAGGAAAAAUGUCUCUUCCCAUAUGCUUUUCUGUAUCUCAAAUAUAUCAAUUCUAGAAGGAUUGAAACUCAACCAAGCCUUUCAAAUAGGUGAUCAUCCAAUGAACCAGAUUUAAGGCCAUUAGUCCACCCAGUACUUGUUCCUGCAAUGAUAUCCCACAAUGAUGUCUUCAAAGUUGGCCAUAUCCCACUACUUGAUCUAGACUCUCAGAUUUAUUGUGCUGUGAUAUUAGAUCAUAGGGGAGCUAGCUAAUCAAAUUUGAAUCCUUUUCCAUAUCCUAAUUUUUUUGUCAAUUCCUUUGUAUUGACUUUUAAUUAAUAGGGUUAAUUUAUAGUCCCGAUUUCCUUGAACAAUGAAUGUUAAUGAAAAUUAUUACCUACAUAUACAACAAAUAAUCAUAUUUCUUAUAAUACUACUAUGUCCCUUUUUUCAUAAGAUCAGCAGGAUAACCCUGGAAAUUAAGACAAAGAAAACAAGGAGCCGACAUGCUUUGAAGUACUACUAUGAAUUUAUUAUACUUGGAAAUUAAGCAUCUCUCUUGAGUAUUUUUGAGUACAGAAGGAGAAUAAAACAAGAUCUUACUGAAAAACUACCUCAAUUAUAUCUUCCUUGGUCAGCUAAAAGCACAAAGUUGAUCUUAUUUGCACUGACCCAUGGUAUAUAUGCUGAUCAGCUUAUUACAUAUAUGUAGUACUUGCUUAGAGGUCGUUUCAUAAUGUUUAAUAAGGCCGUUGUCCCACAUAGUUGCCCGGUGGAUCGUAGUUGCAUGUGACGAACCACCACCCAUUGUUGCACUGAACCCUGGCGCACCCAAGGCGAACUGAGUUGCUCCAAACAACCUGAGUAUAGUGCAGGCACUCCCCACCAACGCAUGAGUUGGAGUUGUAGUCAUAAUUAGGCUUCUCCCCCACCCACAAGUUCACCGCAUCGGUGCCUGUCAAUGAACCACUGCCCUUGGCCAGGUUCUCACCAUAAGGCCCACCUGAGUGCACUAGAUUGCAGUCGCUAAUCCUCUUGUUAGCAUAGUUCUGGGCGUAGGCAGCUACAGUGUCGUUCCAUGUCAUAGACCCAACGCCAACUUGUGCCCGUGCUGCAUUGUGAGCAUUGACGUAGUCCUGUGGAGAGUUCUGGGCACAACAGACGUGAGCUAGGGCUAAUCCCAUGAGACCAACAAGAAGUGGCAAUGAAAUCUUACACAACCCCAUCCUUUUUAGUUUCUUUGAUGAGAAGUGAGGUUAUUGAUGAGAAAUGAGGCUUGGUUUGAAGGGUAUUUAUAGGGGAGACAGAAGCAUCAUAAUCUCUAAGUCAUGCCCUCCCAAACUUCCCCCUUGGACACAGUCUUUGUGGUCGCCUUCACACGUAAAGAUCAACGACUGAAAAAAUAGUUAGCACUAAGAUCAAAAUGACUUCCAUGCAUGUUCAAUUUUUUCUUAAGGAGUAAUCAACAAUAUUGAAAAUUCUUUGUGUUUUGGAUAUCUUCUAGGGUUUACCCCUGGCGGCCAGACCAGUUUGAUCAAGACUCGUGAACUUCCUUCUAAAAGAACAUGUAUAAAGAAUUAAAAGGGAAAAACAAGUGUUGAUGUUAAAUCAAAAUUAUUUUAACAAUCUUAGAUGCUGAAAUUCUUGACAUUGAUCAGCUAGUAUUUUUUUUUUUUUGAUUCAAAAUAAAACAGCACAAUGGAAUCACAUUUUUUCAGUUCAAAAAAUGGGUAUUUAAAUAUAAUUUAAAAUCAAUAAACUUUUUAUAUCCAGAUAAAUAUCUAAAAAUAAAAAUUUAACUUAAAAAGUAAAUGAUGUUAAAAAGAUUGUAAAUAGAUACAAAUAAAAACUAGUAGGGCCUUGUAAAACUAUUUUUAAUUGAAUUUCUUUUAAGCAUUUUAACUUCCCAUAAUAUGAAAAACUUCUAGAUCCAAAUUUCUCAGUAUUAAAAAUAUUUAACAUGUGAUAUUAUAUUUGGUUCCUAGGAAAUGCAAGAAGGAAAAAAACAAAAAGUCUAAUUAUUUUUUUAUUUUUAAAUAAUGUGGACAAAAAUAAGCAAAAUACAAAAUAAGUUGAUCAAAUGGUUAUAGAUAUAGAAGUCUUGAGAGCGCCCUGAUAAUGAGGCUACAACUUAGGAAUUACGUUUCCAAUUGCCAUGCUUGGAAAAGUCAAAUGAUGGCUUUGUUGGAUGAAUCUAGAUGAAGUUUGGCCUACAUAUAAGGAAGAAUGACAUCAUGGUCACUGGUUGUAGGCGUCAAUUCCGGGACAGCCAUGAGCUUGUGAUGGAAAAUUCACCAGACCCUCCGUUAGUGUAAUCUCUUAACUACCUCAACUUACUCAACCGCUCUCCAUAUAAAGGCAAAGACUGGAGUCAGUAGUAAGGGAUUGGGGUAGACCCAGAGUUCAGCUCAGUCUAGGGCCCAUUUAAAGUUCUGGAUUGGGUUGAGUCUUACAUAAAAGCGGAUAAGCUCUAUUUGUUAAUCUGUGUCAACUUAAUUUAUACUAUUGUUACUCAUUUAACCUAAUUCAUAUCUUAAAUCUAAUCUAAAUUACAAUUUAUUCUAAUAUUUUUGGAUGAUGCACAUCAAAAAAUGUUUCAUACUGUAUAUAUUUUCUAUCAUUUGAAAAUUUUUGGAGUGUAUCAUAGCCCCUAAUAGCUCAAAUUUAUGUUACAUUCCUAUUCAAGACUUUCUCACAAUUUUCAUGUCUGUAGUGUUUAUUAAAAGUAUGAUGAGCUUUGUGAGCACAAGUACAGGUUAUAAGGGUCAUUUUGAGCAAUUUUAGUAACCUCUAUGGGUUUUGGAAGGAGAGGGGAGGCCAAAAGUAAGAGUAAAUAUGCAAGAUAAGUAAAACUCAAUUAGCAUCUCCACAAGCUCGAUUCUAACUAGUUUUGAGUUUGGAGUUGUUUGAAAGGGUUAUAUGCAUCCAAAUAGAGUAAGGUAAAUUUUAUCAAGUUCUAGACUCUAAUAGGGAAGAAAAGGGGGGUUAGGAGAUUUUAUUUUUGAAACAAAGAAAAUACCAUUGCAAGAUAACAACAUAAAGUUCCACUUAAAUAUGAAAAAGGGAAUAAAAAAUAGCUAAUCUACUAUUGCUUUGUAAUUACAUCAAUUUGCUGACACUUCCUAUAAGUGAGCCAACUAUAUUAUUAUUGGAUCAUCUCCUGAAAUUUCUCUCUUUUAUUUUGAUAACUAAGUCUUAGAUCAAGUUUUGACCAUCUCAUUUAAAAAUUAAUUGGUUCUAAGUUUUUUAUGACAUCAUUGUUAUUUGGGUAACCCAUUCAUUAGAAAGUGAUAUGAUUAGACCCCAAAAAUCCCUCCACCAAUAGAAGGCUUUCAUGGCUCUAAUCCAUGACAUUGACUUUGAUAUCAAUUUUAGAUUGAACUUUGAUCAUUUCAUCUUAAAACCAAUUGAUUUUUAGAUGAGAUAAUCAAAACUCGAUUUAAAACUUAGGAAAUUACUUAACCGUUCAUUCUUCUUGAAAAAGCCUUAUUCUCAAGGUUUGAAGUGAGUAAAACAACUAAUAAGCCUAUGCUAAUCUUCCUAUCUAGCAACUUUUGGGAAAUAAUUAAAAUAAUGACAAAAUGCCACAGCCUUAUUAUUAGGGCUACAAGUGCCGUUACCCCAUAUCUGCCACAUCAAAAGACCUUUCCAUAUGAUGUUGAUUAGCUUGCCUACUUAUAUGGUGUUGAGUCUUCUCUAAAUUUUCUUUCAAUAGAAGUAAGAUGGCAUGCAUUUCAAUCAUCAAGCGCUUGCCCUAUUGAUAUCACCUUGGUGUCACCUCCCCCAUACAUAGGCAAAGAAGAUGAACUCUGACGAUAAUCUAUUUUAUAUAGAAUGAGCUCGAUGGCAGUGUGGAAGGAAGUUUUGAAGUUUUUAGGAUGAUUGCCCAUUACACAAUAAAGAGAAUUUUUUAAACAAUGAUUAAGGCUGUAUUUGGAAAUUGUUUUUUAAAACACUUUUUAGGUAUUCAAAAUAAAAAAAAAUAGAAAAACAUAUUUUACAAUGGGAAAGUAGAAAAUAUUUUUUAAUUAUUUUUACAUAUUUUUUAAUGAUUAUUUUAAAAAUAACAUGAAAAGUGAGUUUUAACUUACUAAUUUAAAACCCCAAAUUUUAUAAAUUAUAUUUAGUUUUUAUUCAUUUAAAAAUAUUUUAAAAUACAUACAUUUUUCCAUUUGUCAAAUAAUUAGUUUCUAAAAUGACCCUUUUAUUUAUUAGGUUAAUAAUACCAAUUGAUGAAUUUUUUUUUUUACAAGAAUUGUUCUGACCUCAAUAAAAUAAAAAAUUUUAAAAUUUAAAAUUAAAACUAAAAAAACUUUAAAACUAAAGACAUAAAAUAAAAUAUUAACUUUCAUUUUGAAUUGUGACAAGUAUGCUUGAUACGAGAUAAGUCUUGUGGACAACAGAAUGACCUCCAAUGGGGCUAUCAUGGUUGUCAUGUAAUAUUUCAGCCUUGUACUGUAGUUGAUUAUGCAUUAGCCAAUAUACCCCCUUUUGGCAUUUGGGUCAACAAUAUUAAGUUUUUGUAUUAGUCGUUGUUGUUAAGGGUCUUGCUGCCAUUUUUCCUUGGAGGUAUCGAGCCAAUUAAUAAUAGACAAGGAUAGGGUCUUGACUUUCUAUAAUAAACAUAUUCUAUGACGGACAAAGAGAGAGAGAAAUAAGAGAAUUGUAUGGGUGACUUUCUAUUAUAAAUCUUUAUUAAAGAUAUUUGGUGGUAGAAGAAAGUUUUAAGUAAUUUUUUUAAUAAUUAGUCUUUUAUUCUCACGAUCACCUGAAGUUGGAGAAUGUGACACGGCAUGAAUCAAUGUGUUAGGCAUGACUUCCACGUGCCUUGGAUGGGAGAUAUCCCUUCCAUAAGGAAAAAUAUCUCUUCCCAUAUGCAUUUUGGUGUCUCAAGUACAUCGAGUCUAGGAGGAUUGAGGGAAACUCAACCAAGCCUUUCAUUUGGGUGACCAUCCACUGAACCAGAUUUAGGCGCAUUAGUCCACCCACUACUUGUUCCUGCAAUGAUAUCCCCCAAUGACGUGUCAAAGUUGGCCAUGUCCCACUACUUGAUCUAGACGCUCAGCUUUGUUGUGCUGUGAUAUUAGAUCAUAGAGGAACUAGCUAAUCAAAUUUGAAUCCUUUUCCAUAUAUAUAUAUAUAUAUAUAUAUCCUAAAUUCUUUGUCAGUUCCUUGUAUUAACUUUAAUUAAUAGGGUUUAUAGUCCCAAUUUCCUUGAAAUUUCUUAUAAUACUACUGUGUCCUUUUUUCAUAAGAUCAGCAGGAUAACCCUGGAAAUUAAGACAAAGAAAAAAGAGAAGCCAACAUGCUUUGAAGUAUAACUAUGAAUUUAUUGUACUUGGAAAUUAAGCAUCUCUCUUGAGUACAGGAGGAGAAUAAAGCAAGAUCUUACUGAAAAGCCACCUUAAUUAUGUCUUCCUUAGUCAACUAAACGCACAAAGUUUUAUUUGUACUGACCUAUGGUAUAUAUCCUGAUCAGUAUAUUACAUAAAUGUAGUACUUUGCUUAGAGGUAGUUCCAAGAAGUUUAAUAAGGAUGUUGUCCCUGAUAGUUGCCCGGUGGAUCGUAGUUGCAUGUGACGAACCACCCUCCACUGUUGCAUUGAACCCUAGCGCACCCAAGACGCACUGAGUUGCUCCAAACAACCUGAGUAUAGUGUCGGCAUUCCCCACCCACGCAUGAGUUGGAGUUGUAGUCAUAAUAAGGCUUCUCGGCCACCCACAUGUUCACUGCAUCGGUGCCUGUCAAUGAAGGGCUGCCCCAGGCAAGGUUCUCACCGUAAGGCCCACCUGAAUGCACUAGAUUGCAGUCGCCAAUCCUCUGGUUAGCAUAGUUCUGGGCGUAGGUAGCCACAGUGUCGUCCCAUGUCAUAGACCCAACACCAACUUGUGCCCGCGCUGUAUUGUGAGCAUUGACGUAGUCCUGUGGAGAGUUCUGGGCAUAGCAGGUGUGAGCUAGAGCUAACCCCAUGAGACCAACAAGGAGUGGCAAUGAAAUCUUACACAACCCCAUCUUUUUUAGUUUCUAUGAUGAGAAGUGAGGUUAUUGAUGAGAAAUGAGGCUUGGUUUGAAGGGUAUUUAUAGGGGAGAUAUAUAGAAGCAUCAUAAUCUCUAAGUCAUGCCCUCCCAAACUUACCCCUUGCAAUUGGACACUGUCGUUGUGGUCGCCUUCACACUUAAAAGAUCAACAACUGAAAAAAUAGUUAAUUAGCACUAAGAUCGAAAUGACUUCCAUUCAUGUUCAAUUUUUUCCUAAGGAAUAAUCAACAAUAUUGAAAAUUCUUCUAUGUUUUGGAAAUCUUCUAGGGUUAAACCUGGCGGCCAGACCAGUUUGAUCAAGACUAGCGAACUUUCUUCUAAAAGGACAUGUACAAAGAAUUAAAAGGGAAAAUAGUGCUGAUGUGAAAUCAAAACUAAUACCACUGAUGUUUAACUCCAAAGUAGAUAGAUUUCAGUGAAUUUCAUUAAUAUGCAUAUGGGAUCUGAUCAAAUUUUUUAGGAGGAUAUUUAUCUCAAUUACAACCCAAAAAAAAAAUGAUUUUUUUUUUUUUUUUGGAGAUAAUAUUGGGGUGAUUCUUUCAUUCAAUCAGUUUUUAGUGGAGAUUUUUGGAAAUUUUUUUGUUAAAUGGAGGCCUAGAAGUCAGAAGAGAGAUUUGCCUUUAAUGAUGGCCCAAUUUAUCAAAUCAAAUUUGAAUUGAAGGGAAAGAAAAGAAGGAACUAAUACCAUGUUUGGAAGGUAUUUUCUAAAAGAAUUUUGAAAAAUAAUUUUUUAAUAUUUUGUAAAGCAAAAGUUCAUUUAAAAAUCUACCAUUUUUUAACUUAUUUUUUAUAUUUUAGAAAUAAUUUUUACAUUUAGUGUUUUAUUUUUAAUCAUUUUUUAUAUUUAUAUAUUUAAUUUUUAAAACUGUAUUAUUUUUUUAUUUUUAAAAAUAGAAAAAUGUUUCCUAUUUUUUAUUCCCAUAUGAAUUUAUUAUUUUUGAAAACCCUUACCAAACAUGCAUUGUGAGGAGUACUUCAUGGAGAGUUGAUCUAAAUUCAAAGAAAAAUGUAGGGCUCCUCCCAGAACAAUCAUUUUAACUAGGUCGUCAAGUAGCAUCUGCAUCAACCCCCCAUAUUAAUAAAAAGGCAGUGAAUGCAUGCAUUCAAAUUGUUCAUGUCUUUAGAUGCUGAAAUUCUUGACACUGAUCAGCCAAUAUUUUUCUUAUAUUAAAAAACAAGAAAAAAACAGCCCUUUUAAAACCUUUGAUCACGGACGAAUUUACACGUGGUUCUUCAGAUUCUGCAAAUACAUGAUACAAAUUAUCCUAACCGGUUUGAAUGCUUGACUAAAACAAGGUGUUUGGUCUUUUAAUGUUAGAUUUCGAGAUUCCGUGGAAAGUUGGUUACGACUUAAGAGACACUUGUGGGUAGGCCAUGAAAGUUGAAUAAUUUAUCGUGUAACACAUUAUUUGAGCAAGCAAGUAAUGUGUUACACAUUAUGUGAUUUAAUUUUUAUGAGUUUGAAAUGGUGAUACAAUAUGAUUUUAUUCCUUAUUCUUAUUCUUGGCUAUUAUCGUGACAUCACGAUUGGCGGACUAAUGGUAGCAAAGGAAGACAAAAGUUACAAGGACUUUUAGCUCCUAAUUUAACAAAAAUUAUUGAGGAUGUAGAGUUAUUCUUGAAAGACUAGAAACAUUUUUUAACAUUUAGAAAUUUUUUCUUUAUAGAAAUUAAGUAUUUGAUAAGCAUUAAAAAUUUAAGAAAUUUGGAAUUAUCACUUGAUAUGAUAUUUAUUCCAAAAAUUAUUAUUAUUUUUUGUUAUGUAUUCCAUUCCAUUACUAGAAAUGUUUUCAAAUUUAUCUUUUAAAUUAGAUUCAAACAUUAACUAAAUCUCGAUUAAGUUUUUAUGAUAGAAGUAUUAUCAACAAAAAUUUAAAAGUGCUUUUACAAGAAUUGCCCCCGAGCACAUUGACAAAAUCAUGAUGAUUUUGAGUGAAAAUUUCCAUGGUAUUAGACUUAGUUCUUUUCUAUUGUAAGGUUAUAUAUGUUAUGCUAGAAUAGGAGAAUAUCAUGACUUCUAAUGAAAUAUAACAUCUUUGAAUAUUAUAUUUAUAUCUAAUUAGAUAUUAAAUCAUGCUCAUGUUUGAUUUAUAGAAUGAAUAAAUGAACUGAAAAAUAUACUACAUUUUAAAGUUAAUUAUUUUUUUCUAAAAUAAAAAUAUAUUGCAUUUAAUUGCUUGUUUUUAAACAAAUAUAAAAUCGUUUAUUUGUUUAUUAUUACUAUUUGAAAAUCAUUCUAUAAUUUAUUAUUUGUGUAAUUAUUUUUAUUUAUUUGUUAUAACAUUUAUGAAUAAAAUUAAUAUUUAAAUAUCACAUAAUGUCUACUAUUAGUAUAUUUAAGUUGUAGUAUCCAUAUUUUUUAAUUAUUUUUUCAAAAUAAAAUUUUAAUUUUUCUAAUUUAAUUUAAUUUAAUUUUAUAAAAUACGAUAUAUAAAGAAAUUUUAAAAAUAAAAAAAUGUAUGACAUGAAUAAAUUGACGAAACAUGGAAUCUGUAUAUAUCAUGUCUCAACUUAGAAUUAUUAUAUCUCAUGAUAUAAAUAUGAGGUUGGAUGAGUUAUCCUAUUGUAUGUAUGAUUAAAUAUGAGAUACAAAGAGCAUUGAGAUAAUUAAUUCUAUUCAUCCCUAAUCAAAUAUGAAAUAAAACAUGUUUUUCUAUUCUUUAUCCAAUUAUAAUAACUAACCAACAUAAUUUAAGUCUAAACGAAAAACUCUGUGGUAUUUAUUUAAUUUGAUUUUGUUUUUAUUUAUACAAUUCUUGAUAGAAAUUAAUAUAAAAAUAUCAUUUAAAAUUCAAAUAAAAGUUAAACUCUUUUUAUUUAGAUAAAAUAUCUAAAAAUAAAAUUUAACUUAAAAAAUAAAUUAUAUUGAAAAGAUUGAAAAUAAAUAAAAAUAAAAAUAGUAGGGCUUUGUAAAACUACUUUUAAAUUUAAAAAUAUUGUAAGCAUUUAACUUCCCAUAAUACCAAAAACCUCAAAAUCCUAAACUUCUUUGUUUUAAAAAUAUUAAGAUGGGAUAUUAGAAGUGUGUUUGGGAUUGUUUCUUCUUAGAUGUGUUUUUAGUGGAAGUGUUUUAUUUCUAAAAAAACAUUACAAAUAAUAUUUUAAUGCUACAAGUGAUUUUUCAAAUUUUAAAAAAAUAUUUCAUAAAUUUUAUCAAAUAACUAAUGUUGUUUUAAAAACACUUUUUAGGUUAAAAAUAUUUUCUAGAAUUAUUAUCAAGCGGAUUUUUUAUUUGGUUAAGAAGUUUAGAAGGAGGAAAACAAAAACUCAAUAUAUAUAUAUAUAUAUUUUCCUAUGUUUAAAUAAUAUGGAAAAAAACGUGUGAAAAAUAUCAAGGAAUCCAAGAACAAAAUAAAUUAUAAUUUUCUUUAUCUUUGUCUUUUCUUUUUCUUUUUUUCCUUCAAACUUUUCACAACCAGCCAUAUGCUCAAAGUUAACGUAUAUAUUAUAACAAUCUAAGUUGUCUAGACGGAUUAAAAGCUUUGCCAAAUUAAUUGGGUCUUGGUAGACUUUAAGAAAAAUACAAAACAAAUUGGUCAAAUGGUUAUGUAGAAGUCUUGAGAGAGCCCAACUUGGGAAUUACGUAUCCAAUUAUAAUGCUUGGAAAAGUCAAUAUGAUGAAUUUCUUGGAUGAAUCUAGAUGAAGUUUGGCCUACAUAUAAGGAAAAAUGACAUUAUGGUCACUGGUGGUAGGCGUCAAUCACGGGACAAACAUAAGCUUGUGAUGGAAAAUUCACUUGACCGGAGAUUAAUGCUGUAGGAAUAAUAUCAUUGGACUAAGGAUUUUGCUAAAGAAUUUUCAGAGCUCACAUGGUGUGGAGUAGUUUUCUAAUUUGUGACUCCGCUUGAUUGGACAGCUUAGAAAAAUUGUUUAGUUUUAGUUUCUAAUCUCUUCGAUCUAUUGUGCCAGCUUGGGAGUAGCUUAUAAGUUAUAACUUUGAAAAUUUGAUGUUAAACAGUAGUCAAUUUUGUCUUUUUUUUUUCCAUAUGUCAAAAAUAAAAAAGUAUUUCACUGUUCAAUAAAAAGUGUGUAGGAGUAAUUUUAGUAAAACUAGAUGAGAUUUUUAAGGUUUAAAAAUGUUUGUAUUGCAAUAAUUAAGAGUGUGUUUGGUACUUAUUCUAUAAAACGUUUCUAGUUUUUAUAAUACUUGGAUGAUAACAUUUUUCAAGUGUUAAAAAUAUUAGAAAUGCUUUCUAAAAUUAUUGCCAAAUGAGCUCUAAAGAUUUGACAAUUCCUUGAAAUGAUUUUUGAAUGGAUGCUUGAGAAAUAUUUUUAUAAGGGGUAAAUAAUAGAUAAAGAUUAUUGGAUUGUAAAAUUUGAAUCAAUUUUGUUAUGCUUUUUAUAGGAUCCUCACUAAGUUUGUAGAGAUUGAACCACCCUGUCAGCUCACUGAGGUUGAAAGAGACAACAUCUCCUAGAAAUUUUUUUUUUAUGUGAUGAAUGAUGAAUUUAUCUUUAUUGUAUAUUUAACCUUAUUAUGAUUUAGAGAUUUUUUAGACAAUGUGAUUACAAUUGAAAGGUGUGUGGAAGUUUUAUCGUUGUAACUUUUCUUUUUUAUUUAAUUAGUGGAUUUUUUUAGUGUUGAUACAUUUUAUGAACGUAGGAUCACAUUGAUCGUUAAACCACAUUAAAACUCUAGUGUUUUUCAUUUAUUUUUCUACUUAUUUGUGUGGUUUGAUUUAUAAAUAAUAACUCAAUAAAAUAGGAAUAGUUAACACAUAUGACCCCACCGAAAAAAUUUCUUUCACUUCAAUAAAAAAGAGUGAAGAGAUUUAAUAAUGAAACUUUCCCAAAAAGAUUGAUGAAGGAACUCUCACAUUCACAACCCUAGAAUAAUCCUAGAAAAACAACCCUUAUUGUUUUCUCCAUUUUUUUUCCAUAUCAUAUGACACUUCUCAGUUUUUUGGGCAUCCACAAAAGAAACCCUACUUGCACCUUAUAUUUUAGCUUAAAAAAAAGAGUCUAAAUAUGGGCUUGAAAAACUUUUCAUGACAGAAUAAACCUAACCUAUCAAUUUCUUCCAAAAUAAUUACUUUUUAUUACGGAACACAUUAUCAAAACACUCUAGUUAGAGUUUUUGUAAUGUAGGCACCCUUUCUACUAUGAUUAAGGUUUAAAUUAUGAGGUGUUAGAUUAGUUUCAUCAGGAGUAUAUAGUAAUUCAUUAUUGUUGAUGGUUUCGAUUUUACUUGGAAGUUACUCCAUUGUAAUAGUUCAUAUAGAAAUGAGACUUUUUUCUUACCCAUAAAGGAUUGUGCUCGGAUCAAUUAAGACCCUUUUACAAAUGUCAACCAUUAUUUCUAUUUGGAGCGCAAUUGGUUGAGUUGUGUUGGGUUUUCUAUUAAUGGGUAUACAUUCAAAUAAAACUAAUUCUCGAGUUUUAGAAUGCGUUGAUUUUAAAUAUAGUUUUUAGCAUUUUUAAAACUUGAAAGAUAAAAUUCAUAAAAAAAAUUAAAAACUAAAAAUAUUUCUUAAACUUACUACCAAACAGACCCUUAAAAUGCUUUAUUUAAGCUUCAUACUACCUUAUUUUUUGUAAAGAUCAAAUUUGAAUUAAGUGACAUUAGAUUGAAUUCAAACCAUUUAUAAUGGUUUCUCUUACUUCAAUUUUUAUAGAUUUGUAAGAGGAUCUAAAUAAUAAAUGUGAUGAUAUUUUUAAAAUAUUAAUAGUAUCUUUUGGACAAAAUGAAAUAGUACAUAGUAUAACAAUUAUAAUAUGAAGCCAUUUUUCUUAAAAUUGUUUUAGAAAUAUAUAAAUUAAAUUAAUUAAAUUGGGUUUGAAUUAAAUUUCCUAAAAAUCAUCAAAACUUUAGCUUGAGGCCAAUUUAAACUUAAUUUAUAUUAUAAAUUACAUAAUAAUAUGAAUUAUAAAUAUUAAUUUAGGUUUGGAUUAAGUUUUUGGACAAUUACCAAAACAAGGUAAGGUGAACUCCAACUUAAUUCAUGUUAAAAAAAAAAACUCAAUCAAUUAACUAGAAAACAAAACAAUGAAUGCAUAGCGAAAGAACUGAACUCAACCGCUCCUAACUAGGGUCAAGGCUUGGUUUAAUAGGUGUGAAGAAAAAUAAAACAUUUUUAUCCUUUACUAAUUAUAUAAACAUAUAUUAUGUAUAAAAUAUGGAUGAAUUUAAAACUCAAAAAAGUCAUUUUCAUGCAUUAAAGUAUUAACUUUUGCGCAUGUUUUAAAUAUUACCCUCCAACCAACUAAACCCUCCAUAUGUAUGGAAGGAAAUUAGCUUCCCUCCAAAUAUCACUCGAAAAUCCCAACAAAUCCGAAAUUAUUAAAAAAAAAUUCAACAAAUCGUGAAAAUUGAUUGAAAGGGCAUCGUGGAUAUUUCUCCAUGUGUUGUGUUUGCUACCUUUGACAAACCAAAUUUCAUCAAAAUUUUUGGAUAUUUUCAUCAUUGCUUAAAACAAAACUCUUGUGGCUGAGCCCAAACAAGAAAAAAAGUAUUUAUAUUAAUACUUAAUUUACAAAUCUACCGAGAUCUUAGGUUGGUAUUCACUGUGAUUAUGGACAUUAAAUUUUUUCCUUAUAUGUAUCAAAAGAAAUUUUAGAAAAAAAAAAAAUUCAUAUUUCAAUUGUUACUUUGCACGUAUAAGUUUCAAUAGAAAUACGAAGACGUGGUACAUUUUCUCCUCCGGUGGACAAAAGAUAUGAAGUACAAAAUUGUGGUUGCUUGGGUGGGGCUUGUUACACAACUCAAACAAAAUGAUCUACCGUAUAAAAGCAUAAACAUUUCACUUUAUUUCAUUAUAAUCUUCUAAUACAGAAGUGAUUUUAUUAGGGACCACUCCAACAAGUCUUUAAUCAAAGUUCAUGUAGAACCUUUCUUAAUAUAAGGACGUUCUCCAAAAUAGUUGCCUGGUGGGUCUUAGUUGCAGCAAACAAUCCACCAUUCCCCAUUCUUGCACAACAAUCUUGCACACCCCACAUUCACUGAAGUGUUCUACACAACCUGAGUGUAGUGUCCACACUCUCCUCCAACGCAUGAGUUAGAGUCGUAGUUAUAAUAAGGCUUCUCAGACACCCACAUCUUCACUGCAUCAGCGCCAUCAAAGUCAGUAGCACCCCCUGCAGCCAGGUUCUCACCAUAAGGCCCUCCUGAGUGUUCAAGAUUGCAGUCACCAAUCAGCUUCUCACUAACAUAUUGCGAUGCGUAGUUAGCUAACUUUUUGUCCCAUGUCAUGGGCUGGACUCCAACCUCUGCCCGCGCGGCGUUGUGGGCGGUAAGGUAGUCUUGUGGGGUGUUUUGGGCAUGGGAGAGAUGCGCUAGGGCUAAGCCAAGGAGGCAUAGAAGGGCCAGUGAUGUCUUGCCCAUUUUGGCUUGGAUUCUAUGAUGGAGGACAAGAGCCUUUGAUGGUUAAGAGUAUUGACUUGUUGCAGAGAAUUUAAUGGUGCAAGGUGUUCUUUCUUGAUAUAGCUUUUAAUCAUUAUGAUAGAUAAUCCAAAGAAAUCAAUAAAAAGUGCUCAGCAAUUAAUUGUAGUGCAAUUAUAAAAUAUUAACUUAAUAGAAAAAAAAAAAGGUGGGGUGGGGGGGAAUUUACACGAGUAGGAGAUAAGGAUUGAUAUUAAUUCUCUUGAAGAUGACUACAGCAUGUUAAGAAGGGAUGAUAGUCAUCUUCACAUCUAUUUUAUUCCUUAGGCACGAUUUUUUUUUUUAAUACUGUGGUUGAUGAAUUUUGAGGAGCUCUUCAAUUUGUGAAGUUCUCAUACCCGAAUUAAUGCAUAAAUAUUUUGUUUUGAUUGUUGAUGUAAGAAAACUGGCAACAUCAACCACAAAAUAAAUUUUCAGCUGUAAUUAAUAGUUACAUUAUGUUUGUUUCCUACGGGAAGAAAAAAAUGUUUGUUAUUUUUGUAACCCUGAAAUAACUAAAAAAAAAAUACAAAUAAUAAUAAUUUUCUCAUGAUUUGUUUGUACAAAAUAAAAAAAAUAAAAAAUAAAAAAUGGUUAAACUUAUUUGUUUUUAAAUUAUUUAAUUUUUAUAUAAGAUAAGAAAAAUAGGUGAAACGAGUUUGAAGAAAUGUAUAAAAUUAAUUUAUUAACUUUAAUUUUUUUUUCUUAUUUUUUUCUUCCCAUUUUCACCUUAUUUUAUUUUUAUAUUUUUCUUAUUACAAACCAAACAAAACCUUAAGCUAGUUGAGAUGAUGGAAACUUUUAAGAAUUUACUGUGGGGUAUAUUUUUGGAAAGUAAAGCUGAAAGUCAAAUAUAAUUAAAACUACUAGAAAAAAAUUAUAAAGAUGCAAAUGACCCUCUACAUAAUAAUAAUAAUAAUAAUAAACCAAACAAAACCUUAAGCUAGUUGAGAUGAUGGAAACUUUUAAGAAUUGACUGUAGGGUAUAUUUUUGGAAAGUAAAGGUAAAAGUCAAAUAUAAUUAAAACUAUAUAAUGAAAAAGGUAAAAAAAAAUUAUAAAAUUUUUUCUUGGUUGUUUAUGGGAAUUUGAAAGAGAAGAAAAUUAAAAUGUAAGGAAUAUCCAUGAUAAGAUAAUAGGUUUAUAGUCAUUGCCAAACCACAUUUAUUCUGCAAUUAAAAGGAUUAGUAGUUGAGGUUGGUAAGGGUUUAUAGUCGUGGAUUUUUUUCUGAUAUUUUGGGUGGUUAAUGCAGGUUAAUAGGCGGUCAACGUGGGGUCGGGGCAGUCAAUAUGAUGCUAUAGUGACCGCUAUAGUGAAAGCUCAAAAAUGCCUUUUAAUUGAUGGUGUUUAUUUUUUUGGCUUUUUGCUGAAAGCAAUUUACUUUCAGAAUUUAGGUUUUUUUAAAAAAAAAUUUUAAUGACUUAUUACUGUUUUUUUAAAUUUUUGGCUAAAUGUAAAAAACUAAAAUAUUUGGCUUUUUUUAAAUAGAAAAAUGCAGUUUUUGAAACCUCCCCACAUACGAUUUUCAACCCAACGCCUGACCCUAGCCCACCCAUCCCUUGUAGCUUUCUGCAAUUGGCAUCCUCAACCCUCACCUCAUCCCCAAAGCGGUAAUUUCUUCAUUCUCAUCCUCCAUCCGAGACUACAUAGUUGGAAAGACGCUCCACUUUCAUUCGACAUUGUUGAUCUAAUCGAAGGUAACCCUCAACCCAAAUUUAUUUUGGGUUUUAGGAUUUUAAUAGAGUAACCGAGUCUCAUUUCUCAGUACUUCUCUCUCUAAAACUCUCAUUCUCUAUUUUGGUUCACAAAUGCAAGUGCUCUGUUUAGGGUUUUUGAGUUCACAUGUUGCGGGUCCUAAGAUAAUUUUAGGAUUUCUAGGCUCUAUUAAAAGAGCUAUGUGGGUGUUUUUUUUUGUUUGAGUUCAUUUUUAAGAAAAAAUUUCUAGGCUACUGAUUUUGUUUGAGAUUACAAAGAAUGUGGGUAUCGGGUAUUUGGGUUUUUUGUCUCAAUGAGACCAAAUCAGGAGUAUUCAAUGGGUGGUUGGGAGUUUAAUUUCUAUCUUUUGCAACCCUUCCCCUUUUGCAGGAAUCAACUAAAGCAUAAAAUAAUUCAUGACUUCUUGUCUGUUUAUUGAAAUAUAAGAGAUUAGGUAGAUGGAAUUCUAGGGUGGUUUUGAAACAUUACCAUGCUUUGAGUCUGCUUUGCGUGUGUCAAUGUUAUCUAACUUGGUCCUUGCCCUUCAAACGUUUGAAGGUUAAAUUUUAUCUUGGACCUUUUCUUUUCCUCCUUAAACAAUACAAACUUUGAUGUGCUUCUUGGUCCAAAUAAGAAUAUUGUGUUGGUUGAAUUUGUGUAACAUCUUUCUCUGUUCCUUUGAUGACUAUAAAAUUUCUGGAUUUUGGUUGAAUCAGUAGCUAUGCGGCUAUGCCAUGUUACAUAACCUAUUUUAUUUGGCUUGAGUUUGGACACAUGAAUUGCCCUGUUUCGGUGAUUCUAAAGAAGAAAGUUAGGGAAUUGUCUCUGCGGAGAUUGUAGUUUUAUGCCAUGGAUUUUGAUGCACAAAGGGUUGUUAUUUUGAUUGUUGAAGUUCUAUUUUGUGUUUCAUUUAGUACUUUGGAGUCCCUGGAGUACUGUUUGAAAGCUAUCUUCUGCAAUUAUCCGAUCAUUUAGUGCUUUGGAAGGGAAAGUAAUUCAUGUUCCCACAUGAGAACAAUGAAUUCUAGCUGCAUGAGAGGCCAUUUGCAUCAUGGCUGGAGUACUUCACUCCUAAGAUAGUUUUCUAGGGUGCCUUUUAAUGUUCUUUUGUGUUUUUCAUUGAUUUCAAUACAAUGGAUUCUGCUGGAAGAAAAUUUGUUUUAUCGGAUUCCAGUGGGCAUAGUUUAAUGACCAACAAUUCUGUAAUGACUGUACAUUUACACAAUGAGACUAGAGUAGUUUAGUAGCAAUUCAAUGCAUCUUGUGAGAAGUUUAGUAGCAAUUUAGUGUAGUUUGUAAUUAUUGAUUCGGAACUAAGAAGCAAUAACCCUUUUCAUAGGUUCCCUUAAGAUUUAACAACUAGACUAGAGUAGUUUGUAAUUAUUGAUUCAGAACUAAGAAGCAAGAACCCCAAACAGAGGUGGAAGUUCCAAACAUAAAAUUCUAUAUAAUUCAUCAACCAUAGCAUCUGAUGGGGUCAGUGCAACCCUUUUCAGCAAACUGGCAUAAGCCUUUACCUCCACCAUUUUCCAAAUAUUGCUGAUGGUACUCCUCUGUUCUGUAAAACCUCUUUGCUGGAAGAAUUUCAGUUACAAUGUUCUUAUCAUUCAAAGGUCCCUUAGUCCUAUGAAAAUAUUCUUAGUUAUAAAGCCAUACCCUACUAAAAACCUGAAAUCUCAGGAACACUUUCGCCAGCAUGAAUUAAGUCUGAAGCAUUUUGAUCCAAAGGGAAGUGUUCUGAUGUUAUUUGGGAAGCAACUUUCAACAGAAAAUCAAUCAAAAUGCAUAUUUACUAUAGCAACUCUUUAAACAGAGUCAUCAAGCACUAGACAUGAUUGCAAGAGUCUUUAACUCAAGAAAGCAUGAUCCUAAAACUCAAAAUCCAUUGGAACCCAAUAUGUUGGCAAAACUGCAAUCAACAGAGAUAUCUCGCUCAUCAAUCUUAAAUUCUCAACACAUUUUCCAACAACCAAACAGUUAAAACCAAACCCUUUUCUUUAAUCAAGAAAAUAAAAACACCCUUUUUUUUAUAAGUAAUUUCAUCGUUUUUUUACAUUUCACCUUUUUUAUUCUCUAUUUAUUGUUGGGUCUUGCACUCAUCCUUUAUUGUCAAAUGUGGUUUUGUUCCUCGGCAGCGUGAUUGAGCUGCGUGGUUGGCACAUCCGAAGGAUUCUUUAGUUGACACAGUUGCUAAGAAUCUUUUGGAUCGAUUGGAGGUACUAGUUUACUUUGGAAUUCAAGUUUUUUAGUGCCCAUCUACACUAAAUUGCUACUAAACUUCUCACAAGAUGCAUUGAAUUGCUUAGUAUCAUUUUUUUUUCCUGUAUCAAAAGGAAAAAAGACAUAAAAGAAGCUGCAUAGGUAUUAUGGAAACUGCAUAUUGCUAACAUUUUCAGUUUUUUUUUUUUUUUUUUUUUAAGGAAAAGUAUAUCUUGAGAAUGGAACCAGUGGCUUUGAGCACUACUUUGAUGAUAUAUUUUAAGCAAAUGGAGAUUAAUGUUUUCUAGAACUUUUUUUUUUAUAGGCAAUGCUUUUCAGAACACAAAUUAUAUUAUUGUCCAAUUUGAUGAACGGUUGUCUUCCACUGUUAUACUUUGAGAUAUCACUUCCUAGGAAACACUUCAUCCAUCUCUUGCUCUUUUUGAUGUACAGAAAUGCACGUGCACAUGUAUGUGAGCAUUCAUGUAGACAUGUGUUGGCAUAAAAAGUAGUGAAUAGGCUGGGUGUAAAUGAAUAUGCUAAAAUAAGAAAUAAGAGCCAAUGAGAUAUAAUCAAUGAAAUGUAAAUAGAGUUUAGCCUCAAAUUCACAUAAGAAGGUUACACUAAGUAUAAAGCAAGCCAUACUCAAACUUUAUAUUCAUGAAGAUUUUUAUUUUAUUUUAUUUUAUUGUCUCUAAUUGAAAAUUGAAAAUUAAUCAUUAAUGUUGGUUGGUUUUUUGUAGAGUAAUGAGUCAAAAUGUUGAGAUUAGUAGGGCAAAUUGAACUGACCCCAUCGAAAGAAAACACUUUAUUGAUCUUUGUCUUCAAGAGGCAAACAAAGGCUUUAGAUCAGGUGGAGGUUUAAAGUCUAGUGUUUGGCCUCGAAUUGUUGAAGAGUUGGAGAAGUUACUUGGAAAACGUUAUACUUUAAAACAACUUAAAAAUGGGUGGGAUUACAUGAAAAGACAAUAUCUCAUUUGGAGUAAAAUGAUGACUAUGACAGGACAUGGUUACAACUCUAUAACCAAAACUUUUGAUUGGCCAGCUAAAAAAUGGGAAAAAUAUCUACAGGUAGUUUUUUUAUGGAUUUGAGUGAAUUUUAAAAAUAAUUGUCUUAUAUAUGUAUACAUGACUAAUUUGUUGUUUAUCUUAUAAAAUAUAGAUAUCCAGAAGCUAAACAAUUCUAUUUUAAACCAUUAGCAAAUGUGGAAGAAUUAGAGGCAUUGUUUGGAGGAGUGUUAGCUACUAGGUCUAAAAAUUGGAGCUCUGGAGGAGUGAUAGCUUCUGGGGCUGAGGAAUCAUCAACACAUUCUACAUCUAUGCCUAGCGAAACUUCAAUUAGUUUAGAAGAAGAUGAGGAUUUGCCAAGAAAUACUAAUGAUGAAGCAGAAGGUUCUAAGAAAAAACAAAAGAAAGGAAAGAAAGAGCAAACUCAAGAAGAAAUGAAUAGAAUAAUGAAUGUGUUGGAGAAUUUUGAAGGACCCUAAGUCAAAGAAUUUUGAAGAGGCUCUUGACUUAUGAGGAUCCAUUAUACUAUGUAGCAAUUAAUUCAUUUUGCAAGAAGAAAGAGUAUAGAGAGGUGUGGAUGGAGAUGGAAAGUGACGAAGAGCGAAUGGGAUGGAUUCAAAGCUUGCGAAAAUAACUUUUUGAAUAUUUGUUUUAGAUUUGUGGAAUGCAUAGGGUAUAUGACUUAUAUGAUGAUUUUAAUUUGGUACAUUUGGUUUGUUUGUUUUGGAUAUUUGAUACAUUUAAACUUUUCCAAUUAUAAAGACUUUCUCUCUACAUUUUAUUGAUAUUUGUUUUGGAUAUUUGUUACUCAUACAUUGUUAUAACUAUUUGAUUAUAUUGUUAUGCUUUUAUUUCAUAACUAUUGUUUUUUUAUAAUAGAUAUUCUUAUGGAGAAUCCUUCACAUCACUCAAAUAGUUCAAGUUCAUCAUCAUCAAGUGAAGAUGAAGAUACAAAGUUAGAAGUGACAAGAAUUUUUUUUAAAAAAAAGAUUGGUUGUGUUGUUGCUCAAAUUAUUAAGUGACUCAUCCAUUAAUAAGGAACGAGUCUCUACUUCAUCAUUUAUAGGUUCACUUUUCAUUCAAGAGCUUUUAAAUGGUUCAUCUAGCACAUGUUAUGAACUAAUGCGGAUGGAAAAACAUGGAUUUAUUUCUUUAUGUCACAUGUUUCGAGAAAAAGGAUGGCUUGUUGACAGUAAACAUUUGAAUGUUGAAGAAAAAAUGGUCAUGUUUCUUAUGACUAUUAGUCAUAAUCUUCGGAAUCGAUUGAUUAAGAAUAGAUUCCAACACUCAAGUCAAACAAUUCACAAAUACUUCCAUGAGGUUUUAGUGGCCAUGGUGAAUUUCUCAAAAGAGAUGAUUACUCUUCCAUUAUUCAAUGAUAGUUCAAAUGGUAUCUCCAAUCGUCGGCUAAGACAAAUUUUUAAGGUAUAUUAUUUUUAUUUCUAAUUAUUCAUAUCAUAUUUGUAUUAUUCUCAUAUAAAAAUAAUUAUUUAUAUUUUAAGGAAUUAUUACCAUGUAGAAUGUUGUUGGUGCAAUUGAUGGAACUCUUAUCCAUGCAUGUAUUCCUACUAAUCAACAAGUACCUUAUCGAGGUCGUGGGAAAGGAGAAUGUUUUCAAAAUGUUAUGGCAGUUUGUGAUUUUGACAUUAUAUUUAGGUUUGUUGUUGUUGGAUGGGAAGGAACAACUCAUGAUUCAAGAGUCUUGACAGAAACUAUCCAUUACCCGCAACAUAAUUUUCCAAUGGCCCCAUCAGGUAAAUAUUUUAUUUUCAUUUUAUUUAAUAUAAUUUGUAUUUAUUCAUUAUAAUAAUAAACUCAAUCCUUUUUUUCUUCAGAAAAAUAUUAUUUAGUAGAUGCAGCAUACACACACACUCGAGGUUUUAUGGCACCAUAUCGUAAUGUGCGCUAAUAAUUGGUUGAGUGAUUUUCGUAGUGGUGGUAAAGCUGUAGGAAAAAAGGAGAUAUUCAACCAAUGCCAUACAAGAUUAAGAAAUGCCAUUGAAUGUGCUUUUGGUAUUGGGCGCAUUUCCCAGUAUUGAAGAGAAUGACACCUUAUUCGUUUACUACUCAAACAAAAAUUGUCAUGACAUGCUUCUCCAUUCACAAUUUUCUUCGACAAAUCUCAGUUGUGGAUAGAUUAUUUUCUAAAUAUGGCAAUGAAGUGGAAUUGGAAAGUGUUUAUGCAAAUCAAAAUCAAAACUCAACUACAAGCAGUUUUUUUGCAGCAUCUAAUCAAGAAUUCAUGCAACAAUUCUGAGACCAAAUCGCAAAUGAACUCUUUCAAGUGUUUAGUUAACUUGUCAUUUUUAGCUUUUUACCAUUGUAAGAAAUGCAAUGUUUAGAUAUUAGCAUAAAAUGUGAUGUCUUCGAAUAUUUGAAAAUAUGUACUUGAAUUGUUAUGUUUUUUCUUUAAUUUGAUUUAGGUUUUGUCAAUUCAUUAUUUUUCAUAUUAUUAAGUUUAAAUAUUUUAUUUUAAUUAUAUAAAAAAUAAAUAUAUUAAUUAUUUUUUGUAAGAAUGAUAAUGAUAUAUUAUUUAUUAUAACAAUUUUAUUAUUUUGAACUAUUUAGAAAUAAGUUAAAUUAUAUUUUUUUAAUACAUUAAAAUAUUAAGAUUUAGUUUUUAGUAUAUAAAAAAACAAACAACUUAAUACUUAAUAGAAAUAAAAUAUUAAAAAAAACAAACAACUUAAUACUUAAUACUAUUAAGUAUUAUUUAGUAUUAAGUUAAAAAUAAGUUCUAUUUAGAAUUAAGCAAAAAAAAAACAAACGCCACCUUAGUCUAAAGCUUAAAGAUAUUGCACCAAACAUAUAUAUAUUCAAAGUCAUCAUAUAAAUAAAAUAUUAAAAGGAUAUAUGAUUAAAUGAAAAAGUUUCAUUUAAUUGAUUACCAAAAAUGUAAAAACUAUUAUAAUAAAUUUCUUCAUAGUGUUUUUAAUAUCAUUAAUAGAUUAAUUAAAUAUUAAAAAAUUGUUCAUAUAUCACAAUUUAUUUUAUAUCAUUUAAUACAAUUGAAUUAAAUGGAUCAUAAUUUUAAUAUUAAAUAUAUUUUAAAAUUAGGUAUAUUAUAAUCAAAUAUCACAAUAUUAUUAUGAAAUAAUAUUUUAUGUAAUUUAAUAAUAAAUGUGCACUUAUAAAAUUCAUAUUUUUUAUUGACACAUACAAUAUUAUUAUCAAAUAUGAUAAAUCAUAUUAUAUAUAUAUAUAUAUAUAUAUAUAUCAAAAUCUUCAACAAAACAAUUUUUAAAUGUUUAUUAUACUUUUAAUUACAUUUUUAUGAAGUUUUCUUACAUUUCCAUGAAUUUUCAUCAAUUUUAGGCCCACCGAUAUUUUUUUUCAAAAUAUCCACCAAUAUAUCUCCGAUAUAUCCGUAAAAUUGAAGUACCAAUAUAUCCGUGAUUAUUGAUAUUUUCAUCCUUAGUGAUGAGUGCUACUAAAAGUUCUUUUAGCCAAUGGUAGAUUUUGACCCCUACUAAAAGUUGAGAUAAAAAUAAGGGAGUUUGAUAAGUUGUUUUGAAAAACAAUUUAAAAGUCAAAGAUAAAAAAAAAUAAAAAAACUUGUUAAAUAAAUUGUUUUUGAGAGUAACUUUUCUAUUUUGAUUUUAUAAAAAUAUUGUAAAUAUAAUUUAUUAAUAUUAAUUAAAUUUAAUUCAAGUCUUUCUAAAAAUGAAAUUAGUUUUUUUAAUUAUAAAUAGAUUUAAAAAGAAAUAAUUUUUAGAAAAACAUGAACAAUAAUAAUAUUAUAAUAAAAUAAAAAUAUUUUUAUUAAAAAAAACUAUUUUCGUAUAUGUUAAAAAAUUAUAGAUAUUAACAUCUUCACGAAAAUAUAAUUGAUUUCUUUUCUAUUAAAAAUGAAUAAUAAUAAUAAUUGUUAAUAAUUAUAAGUUUAUAUAGUAAAUUUAGUUGACACAUGCACUUCCAUUCAUCACUUAUUAUGAAGAAAAGUCAUAAACAACCUAAAAAAACUCCAAAUAUUACAAUUUCUAAAUGAGCCUGAUACAAUUCAAAUUUGAUUGAAGCAUUUAGAACUUGUUUUGAUGUGUUUUGAAGGUUAAAACUCGAUCACCAAUGGCUGAGUUUGAAACUAGAGUGAGUUUAAAAUCAAUUUCAAACUCGUAAGUGUGGGAAAAUGCUUAAUUUUGAAAUAAAAAAAGUUGUGAGUCCAAUGCUUUAAAUGAUGUGCAAACCAUAUCUAAAACGAGGAAGUUACUUGCAUUUGAAGUGAACUAGGUAGAAAAGAAUGUUGAGUUCUUGAUACCUUGAAUUUGAAAUAAUUUUUGGCCAUUUAGAACUCAGAGGAAUGCAAGGAUGCUUUGGCAAAGGCUAAGUUCAAACCCCUUUACCUAUUUCAAACAAAAGACGCGCAUUUUAGACCCGAAAACAUGGUGAAAUGGCUUGGGCAAUAAGUGAGUUAGAAAUUCAUAAUGAAUUUCGAACUCGCUUGAAUUUUGAAUUGAGCUUUUCCUAUACUUAUGAGUUCAAAAUUAACUUUGAACUUGCUCGAAAUACAAACUCAGUCAUUGAUGAUUGAGUUUUGAGCUCCAAAACACGUUAAAACGAGUUUUAAAUGCCUUCAUCCAAGUCAAAAUGCAUGAUACUCAUUUAGAACUCAUAAUAUUUGGAGUCUUUUAAGUUGUUGAUGACUUUUAUUUGUAAUAAGUGGCCAAUGGAAGUGUGCCACAUGUUAGGUUAUUGAAUUUAUUAUAUAAACUCUUUUAGUUUUAAGAAUGGAGGAUGAGAGAGGGAACAUAGAGAGGGAUUGAUCUCUCUUGUUGAAAGUCUUUAAUAAAGUUUGAGGUUUUUUUUUCUUUCUUUUUCCAUCUUUUUAUUUUAUUUCUUAGUAGCCAAACAUGGGUUGUGAGGAGAAAUCCUCCACCAUAUUUGGCUAACUUGAUUGAUCCAGAGAUGCUAGCAUGAAGGUGAAAAAUCCAAAGAAGAGUAGUAAGAAACGAUAAUGUAUGAAAUGGUUUGAUUAUGCUUACAAGUUUUAAUUGGUAGAAAUAAAUCUUCUAUGUUAGUUCCCCUAGAUAAAUUACAAAGCAUUCUUAUCAAGAGACUAGUGAUUCUUGGGAAUACCUUGAUCACUAAUUACUAUAACUUAAUCUUAUUAUUAGCGAAUUUAAUGAUCAAAUCUACAGAGAUAGAUAUAGGCUUUUUGAUUGAAUAAAAUUGAAAAUCAAAAUUAACCAUCAUUUUUUAAUUAGUUUAAGAGAUUUGUGUUUCAAAAAUAAAAAUUUAAUGAGAUUAAUGAAUGGUUUGCAUUACAAUUUAUGCAUCUUUGGUCCUAUCAUUGUGAGUUGUUUUAGGAAAUGAUAUCGUAGAUUAUUACCCGAUACUAGUGAUUCUUUGUAACUCCUGAUCAUUAAUUAUUUUUAUCUAUCCUAUCAUUAUCUGCCUCAAAAUAAAGCUAAAAGGAGUAAUAAGGGUUUAAAAACCUAACCUUGAACUAGUAAUCAAUCUCAUUCACUUGAUGGUUUUAGAAAUCUAUUUCAAAAAGGAAAAAUCUAAGUUUUGGAUGCUAUAUUGAUCUUACAAUUAAAUUUAGCCAUGGAUUCACUUUGAUCCUAAAACUUAGGUUUUGUAAUGCUCUCUCUCUAAGGAUUUGACACUAGAUUGUGAAACUCUCUAGGACAUUCUUUCUUUUGUUUUAUUUUAUUUUAUUUUAUUUCACUAAAUAUUUUAAGAAAUCCUUAUUCAUAUUUUAUCAUUAUUUAUUUAAUUUGAUGUUUCAUUAACUUUAGUAAAUAAUUAACCAUUCUAACCUAAAAACAAUCGAACACAUUAGAGUUGAUCCUAGAAGAUGAUAACAUAAAUACUAUAAAACUGUGGUAACUAUAUCUAGCUUUUCUUGGGCAAAGUUACCACAUAUUUACACUUAAGUAUUUUUUUUACAAUAGAAAUUUUCAGUUAGUUAUCUAGGGAGAAAGCUCCCCCUCAAUAGGUGCAUUGAAUAUUAAGUUAAUUAGACUCAAAACUAACUGGACAAAAAUACUUAAAUUAAAUGAAAUGAUCAUUCCAAAAUUAGUUAAGUAUAGACCAAUGCUAGCUAAGAAGAUCAAGAAUCCCAUGAAUAGCAUGUAUAAUCCAUGAGAAUCAUAUAUAAGCCAUAUAUGCAUAUAUCAAGUAGUAGUGAAUGGAGUACAUGGAAAUGGUAAAAACAAAGCACAUCCGACAUAAUAGCAAAAUAUGAUGUCUAAAAUACAACAUCUAGAGUAACAUCAAACAUGUCCAGAAUGCCUAUAUGAGAAUAUCUCCCCGUUUGGUAACAUAAAGUAUAAAGGAGAAAUCAUUGCAACUCAAAAUCAAGGUUAGGAAUGUGGAGGUAGAAAGACCAAACGAAGAUGGUUCAUCAUCUGAUCGUAUUAAGCCUAAAGAUGAGUAGUAAAAAGUACCUGACACUAAUCUAACUGAAUAGUUAAAGUCGUCUCAUACUGAUCCAUAUGGUCCUUAAUCAAAUAGAAACAAGUACUAUUCAUGAGUAGCUCCUUUACCUAAGUACUGAGCGAACUAAUUUGUGCUGAUAUAUCUACCUAGAGUUACUAAUUAACUAAUGGAGAUGAGUGUGGUGUAGUAAACAUAACAACUGAAGCCGAACACAUCUUAGUGAAGACAAGAUUAGAAUGGAAUGUCUUCUUAGUAAGUAUUGUUGGCUCAUGUUGAAAGGUUUAAAAGGUUGCUUUUGGCUACUCGGUAUGGAAAGGCUCCUCAAUCUACAUCUCCUUAGUCCCAUUGCCCUAUGAGAACUCUUUACCCUUCAUAUCAAGUUCCUUGAUUUCCUCCUCAGCAUAGUCCUUACAAACCUUCUGUCCACCCCUCUUGUGAACCCAGGACCCAUCAAUAAGGUGCUCAAAGUGCAUAUGACCUAUGGAUUUCACAUUGUAAAUAUCAUAUGCUCUAAGAGGUUUAAUGUCAUUCGUAGUCCUUAAAUCCACAUUGAAUGCCUUCAAAAUCUAAGUCAAUAGGCAUCCAUAGUAAAGUAUCUUAGACUUAAUCUCACAACACUUCAUUAUGUGCUAAAGAAUAAUGAAUCCAAGAUUGAUUCUCUUAUCAACUAGGAUGGAAUCAAUCAGAAAAGCUCAUAAUAGGAUACCUCAUCUUGAUGUCCUCCUUUAAGAAUAAAUAUAUGACUAAUCAUGUGAUCUAGGACUCGACUAAUCAAUGUGAGAACAUGAACAUGAGGCUUGGUAGUUGUAGUGUCAAAUAGAAGAUUACAUAACUUUUUUUUCACAAAUCAGAGGGUUGGUCGAGUCCAUCAACUCCUCUUGUAUUUGAAUGUUGUGGUCGUUUGGGCGAAUGUACUAUAAGGCUAGGGUGUACACCUUUCCUGACAGCAAUUGCUUUUAGGAGAGCUAGUAGCAUCUGAAGUCCUAUAAGUGGUAUCAGAGUUAAGCCUCUUGUUUAAGACUUAACCGUUUAAGAGGAAACGACUAAUUUAUCAAGUUCAUCUCAUAUUGAAAGUUUUGCAACCAAUAGACCUCCAUUUUUUUUAUAGGAACUAAUUAUUCCUAUUGGAAAAAAAAUGAUUUGGUUUUUAAAAUCUACUAAUCUUGAUCUAUGGGAUAUCAUUGAAGAUGGUCCUCACAUUCCUUCAAAAUUAUAAAAUGGAGUGAUGGUUCCAAAACCUAAGCAAGAAUGAGGUGAACUUGAUAAAAAAAAAAUUCAAUUAAAUGCCAAAUAUGUUUAUAUCUUUCAUUGUGCUACUAAUAGAAAUGAAUUUAAUCAUGUUUGACAAUGUAAAUUGACUAAAGAAAUUUGGAGACUAUUGGAAAUCACUCAUGAGGGAACCAACCAAGUUAAAGAGUUUAGAAUCAACAUCAUUGUGCAUUAUUCUAUGAAGGAUUUUGAAUCUAUUAUAGAGAUGUUUUCUAGGUUCAUGGUGAUUGUGAAGGAACUUUAAGCCUUGGGAAAGACCUACACCGAAGUAGAGAAAAUCAUGAAGAACUUAAGGUCUUUACCAAAGAAAUGGAAAACAAAAGUAAUGGCUAUUCAAGAAGCGACAAGAAUGGGAAUAUAUAUAUAUAUAUAUAAUAGAGAACAUAGCUCUCAAAGCUACAACCAAGGAAGAAGAAGAAGUUGAAGAAGAAAAACAAAGUGAAGAAGGUGAAAAGUUAGCCCUCAUCACAAGAAAGUCUAACAAGUUCAUGAGGGGUGAAAGGUUUAGAGGAAGAAGGUUCACUUCCAGAAGAGACUCUUCUAAAAAGGAAUCUUCAUCCCAUGGUGACAAUGAGAGAUGGGAGGAGAAAAGAGACUUGGUAUUCUUCAUGUGCAAGAAACUGGGACACUUUAAAUAUGAUUGUCUUUUCUACAAAAGUGAAGCCAAAAGGAGAAAGAAGAAGGCAAUGAUGACCACUUGGAGUGAAAGUGAAGAUGAAUCAUUCGAAGAAAUGAGAAAAAAGUGGCAAACAUAUGUUUCAUGGCAAUAGAUGAACUUGAUGAGGUAAACUCUAACAUUAGCUAUGAGGGUAUACAUUAUGCUUUUGAAGAAAGUUCAACAACUUGAAAAAGAACUUGGAGAAGUAAACGGAAAAUUUUCAAAUGUUUAAGAUUCUAAAACUUGUCUUGAAAAAAAGAAUGAGAUUUUAAGAAAGAAAAAUGAAUGGUUGACCUCCUCUCUUUCAAUUUUUUCUUGUGGACAAGAAUAUUUUGAAAUGAUCCUAACUAACCAAAAAUGUAUUUUGACAAACAAGGGUUAUGAUUCAAAUCUUCAAAAAAUCAAAAGUGUUUUAAGAACUAUUUUGUAAAGGAAUCCACAAGUGUCAAUCCUUCCACCACUUGAAACUUUUGUGGAAAAGAAUGACACAUUAGUAGCACACGCCUUUUAAGAAAUGGUUCUCAAAAGAAUUUACAUGCAAAAGCUAAAAAGAAUUGGGUUGAAAAAUUCAAGGUCACUAACCCUCAAGGACCUAAGAAGACAUGGGUACCUAAAUCAACUUGAGUUAUGUGUUUUAGAGUUCAAAGAAGCAUAAGUGGUUCUUGGAUAGUGGAUGCUCAAGACACAUGACCGGAGAUGAAUCCAAGUUUGCUUUUCUUUCAAAGAAAAAAUGAGGAUAUGUUUGUUACCUUUGGAGACAAUGAAAAAGGAAAAAUCAUUGGUCAAGGCAACAUUGGUAAUGACACAACCUCAUUGAAAAUGUUUUACUAGUAGAUGUUUUAAAACAUAAUCUUUUAAUCAUUAGUCAACUUUGUGACAAAGGUUUUAAAGGGAUUUUUGAAGCAUCUCAUUGCAUUACAAAGGAUAUUCAAAAUGACAAUAAUCUUCAUGGGCCAUAGAUGUGAUAAUGUUUACACUAUAAAUAUUUCAAAAUAUGAUGGUCAUGAUGUUUUUCAAGCAUGCAUGAUCAAAGUUGGUUGUGACAUAGGAGAUUGGGACAUGCUAACAUGGACCUCAUUUCCCAACUCAAUAAAAAUAAAUUUGUUAGAGGUCGUCUCAAAAUUAUUUUCAAAAAGAUAAAAGCUUGUGAAGCUUGUCAACUGGGAAAACAAAUAAAAAACUCUUUUAAAAACAAAAACUUCAUUUCCAUAACUAGACAACUUGAGUUAUUGCAUAUGGAUUUAUUUGGUCCCUCUAAGACACCAAGUCUUGGAGAAAAGUCUUAUGGUUAUGUUAUUGUCAAGUGGGCACAUAGCUUGAUGGUCAUUAGUAGAGUGCUACAUCAUAUGUUAUGCUUCAUUUUCCUACCAUGGGGUGGGCACCGAGAUGAGGUUUCCUAUUACAAGGCAUUCCUUAUAGAUUCCAUUUUGACUAGGAGACAAAUCCAUUUAGGAUAUCUGAUGAUGAUGCACAUGAUUGCAUGUUGCGAGAACACAACUCGAGUAUUCCCCUAUGGUCGCUACCUUUCUUGAGUAUUCAAGGAUAAAGGCAUUAACCUUAGUAAAGAGACAGAAUUUGAGGUCCCUAAUACAUAUGAGACAUUGAUGAUCAGUUUAUGGGGGGGAUGACAUUUGAGAAGGCUCCAGAUGGUUCUUGGAUUAGAAAAGCAGAAAGAACACAACCACGGGGAUAGGGAUAGACACACUUUGGAGUUGAGGAAGAGACAGAGAUUAGAUAGAUGGAGGGUGGAGUAAACCCUCAGGGUGGCAUAGACCUUCAGAGUGGCCACCAGCAGAAAGGGCCUGAGCUUGAUAUUCCCCCACUUCAGACAGAGAUUCUUUCACAGACUGAGGGUUUUCAAUUUGAGUCCACUUUCUUUGAGCCGAUUAUGACAUAGCAUACUUUUAUAGAGGGGCCAUCUACUUAGUCAUCAUACAUCGAACCCUCCUUAUUUGGACUAGUAUUCAUCGAGCCCACCUAUAUUGAGAUACUACCUCCUCAGACACCUCCUGCUCCUAACCAUGUUCCUUAGAUAGAUUUAUCGGCUCAAAUUAACUCCCUUAGUACUCGUAUGGAGGAGCUUGUAGUGGUCAAUGAUACACAAUUUUACUUUAUGGAGGAUAUAAUGGACUAGUAUCAGAUUGGGUUCACUACUCAGUUUGAGUAUCUCUAGUAGAGGAUUGAUCACAUGGAGCAGAGGAUUGAUCACAUUGAGGAUCACAUGGAGCAUCAGCAUAAGGAGAUGAUGACCUACUUGCAUUUCGUGUUUCCACAUCCAUCUCCUCAACCUUGAUGACUAGUUGGGAACCCCCUUAUUCUUUUUUUAUGUUGCCAAAGAGUGAGAUAGUUUAGGAUCUAGGAAGAUCUAGGAAGGUAGAUAUAGAAGACUCAUAAUCAUACAUGCAUAUCAUUUUUUUGUUUGGAUCAUAUAUUGCUUAUCUCUAAUUACUUUAGCUUGUUGGACAUAUAAUGUUCUGACUGAUACAUUUGACAUGAAAUAUGAUAUGCUUAUAUAUUUGAUGACUUACAUUAGAUGUUCCUUGUUGCAAUACUUUCUAACAUGUCUUGAUCAUCGUGUUUUUAAUUUCUUAAAUAUUGAUUGUUGGUCCAUGAUUGGUUUGAGGGGAGAUUAUUUUUUUCCUAGAUAACCAAGGUUUUUCAUCACAAAAAAUAAGAGAUUGUUAGCCCAAGGAUUCUCAUAAUCAUGUUUUGAUGAUAACAAACCAUGAUUAAGUUGCUAAUUGGUUUAAAUUAUAAAGAAUUUUAGAUAUUAGUUUGAAAAUUCAUCAAAUGACCCAAUGGAUGUAAGAUCAAGGAAAUUGGAAGACCUUUAAUCAUAAAAAAAAACAUAUGUAGGAUGAAUGCAUUGUUGCACUUAGGAUUUUCAUAUUUUUUUCAUGCAUCUUUAAAAACUCAGUUUAUGCAUUAAAGUUACAUUUCCAUCAAAACUCGAGUUUUACCAAAUGAACCUUAGGCAAAUCAUUUCAAAAUUGACAUAAUAAUUAACCUAAAGACCUUGAUUAAGUGUUAGAAGAGAAAAUAAUAGAAAAAUAUAGGUUUUUGGGCCAAAAAUGGUGAACCAGUUGAGGUACUAGCCAAUCGACUCAAUUGGCUAGGGUACUGGUUGACCGGUUACACCUAUCCGGUCGAGGUCCGGUUGAGAAAUACAAAAAAUCUUUUCUCUAUUCCAGAAUGCUUGUUUAACCGGUCAAAGUUUAACCUCAAUUGGUCAAGGUUGAACCUCAACCGAUCGAGGGGCGGUCAAACGGCGAUCGAGGUCCAACGGUCACCUACCAAGCAUUAAAUGCUAACGACUAGUCAACCGGUUGAAUCGAAACUCGAUUGGACGAACCCCUAAUGACUAGUUUGGCAUUUUUCCUCUAUAAAAAGGCUCAAAUCUUCAUUAUUUCAAGAGCUUAACCUUCCUAAACAUUUCUUGAAUAUAUUUGAGCCUCAUGAGAGUGUUUUUGAGUGCACAAUUGUUCUAAAACUUGCAUAUCAUUAGUGCACCAUUCAAUCCUAAUUUUUCUUGUACAUUUGAGCCUAAAGUUUUGCAUUGGGAUUUUAUGAGAUUAUUUCUUCAUUUGUAAAUCUUUGAAAGGAAAAAUCUAAGUGUGAGGUAUCACUUAAGGGGCUAUUCAAGAGUGAGGUAUCUCUUGAAGAUUGUAAAGGGUGCUUGGAGCCUAAAGUCCAAGAGGGUGGAUUGGAACCAUAAUCCAAUUGUAUUGCUUGAAAGCUUGGUUUGGAAGCCUUGAAUUAGUGGAACCUCAAGCUUAGGAUUGAAGGUAGAGGAGAGUGGAUGUAAGCUGGGUUGCAUCGAACUACUAUAAAAUUUUGUGUUUGCAUUCUCUUUUCCCUACUCUUUUACUUUAUAUGCAAUUUGUCUUUAUAUUAUUUUAUUAUAUAUUUGAAUAUAAUUAUCUCUUGUAUUUACAUAAUUUAAAUUUGUAAAAAAAAAAACCAUCAACCUAUUCACCCCCCCUCUAAGGUGAUUAUUUUAGGUUAGAUUAGCCCAAUUUUUAUAACACCUUUGUAUAACUUUACCAACAUCAAAGUAAUCUUGGCUCAACCACCCUUUCGUCUUAAAGAGACAAUGUAGCUUUAUAUGAACUCCUUUGACUAGUGAAAUGAUUGGGCCACCCAUCUCAUAUCGCAUGUUUGAAUAUAACAUGUAUACCAAGGUCAGGCAAAAAAACUCUCAACAAGUCACCACAGAUAGCUAUCACAUCCUGGCGAAUAACUCCUCAAAUUGAAAAUAUGAUAGUUAGCCAAAAUAAAUAUUACAACUCGGAACCACCAUCUAGGCUGCAAACAAAUGAGUGUAUCAUUGGUAGUACUCCUCCAUGGAUGCUAAGCUCUAAGUGUUAAAUCAAGCUUUUCUCCUAGCCUCAACCUUAAAACUCUCUAUAUAUAGGACACUUGCCUUAGACCUUUGAUGUUGUAGUAACUUUCUGGGGAGCCAUGACACUUUAGUACAUUCACAAGAAUAAGGGGAAAAGUCCAAGAAAGUGAAAAAAAAAAAACAAAGGGAAAAGUGGAAAACGACCACAGUUCAAGAAAUGAAAGGUAAAAACAUAGAGUUCCAAGGAAAUAUCUCUCAAAAUGGCCUACAUAAGAGUUUUAGAGAAACCUUAAAGAGAGAAAUUAGUUUAGACCCUUAGGGUUCAGACCCUCUGCUGGUUGAGCAAUUGGUUCAACUGGUCCUUAAUCGAUUGAGGCUUUACCUUAACCAACUACACCACAACUAUUGUAUAUUAAGGGUGCACAAAGUGCGUCAUGAUGAGUCAAUGCCCAAUUGGCUCAACUAGUUCAUUGGGUCCUCAAUUGGUUGCAAUGUGAAGUGCUUAAGAGACUCAAUUUGAGGUAUGGAACCUUUAGAAACUUGUGUAAACCUUCUUAAAGAUAAGUUUAAAAUGAAUUUGGCUUAAGGUUUUAAUUUAAAACAAAAAUUUAUCCAAUGCUUUGGUAAAAAUGAUCAUUUUAAGUCUAAGGAAGGAUGAAAUUGAAUUUUUAAGUGCAUGAAAAUGAUUUAGACAUUUGAAAGUUGAGUUUAGGUUUGGGUAUUGAUCUUCUUCCAUUAUUCUUUGGGUUUUCUUUGAAUUUUUGUAAGUAAACCUGAAAACUUAAUUUGAUCUAAAUCAUUAGUAACUUUAGUCUUAUUUUGUAAUCGCCAAAAUUCAAUUAGAAUAACCUUUGAGCUAACACCUAUGGUGAUAGCAAAGACAAAGUUAUCUUGCUUAUGGAUAUAUAAAUGACCUUGAUAAAAGGGCAUUUGCAUGUUGUAAAAAGGUAGUAGCAACCAAGGGUCUUUGAAUGAGUCAAGGGACAAGUGACAAAUGACUAAAACUUUCAAAUAUGCUAAAGCCAUUUGAAACUAAAACUUAAGUUUCAAUUUAAAAGAGUUUGAAUUUGAAUUGAACGUUUGUUAUGAACAAACAGACAUUGUCACCAAGGUUUGUUGAAAUAGGCUUUCACUCACCCCUAAGGCAAGAUGGGUCUCCGUGCACUAGCAUUCCCACUUAGCUUGAGCGAGGUGUUAAUGAAGAUAAUCUUAGUAUUCACGAAAGAACAUGAUUGACAAAUCAUACCAACUCAAUAACCACAUUUAUCGACAAUUCAACCAAGAUUAUAAAAAACAAUUCAAUGUAGCAUGUGCUAAUUCUAUUCUCUUUACUGUUGUUAUCAUGAUAUGUAUUCAAUGUAUUUUCAUAAUUUUCCUUUUAGUACAAGAACUUGUUUGUUUAUACAAAUAAGAUUGUACAUUCUUGAUAAUAUAAUUUAGAGCUUCCAUAACCAAAUUCUGAAAAAACUUUUCAUUAUUUCGUGUUAUGAUGGAUUACUGCAAAACUAACUUAUAUUUUAAUAUUUUUUCUAGUUUUUUUUUUCCUUUUUUUUUAAUAAUUUGGUCCAUUAUGUUUUAUACUUUUAAAUUUUCAUGUUAAAAAUUGUUUUAUAACUUGUUUGAUUUAUUUUAACCAAAAAGUUAAAUUCUAAAACCCCUUUACAAAAAAUGUAUGUUUGAUUUUUUUUCCUAUUUAGAAUGUAAGAGCAUUUAAAUAUUAAAUCAUCUUUUUAAGAGCACUUAACAAAAGUAUGUUUUUUCAACUUGAAUAAAGCUUUGAUAUUCCAAUCAACUUCUAUCACAUUUUAAGAUUGGCCAUAAGGAACGUAGUGUUCUUCUAGGUAAGUUGAUUGUGUAAAAUGGUUGCAUACAUACGAGACUUUAAUUUCGUAUUGAAGAUUUUUUUUUUUUUUAAUGUGAUUUAGGUUUAUUUGGAAAUAUUUUUUAAAACAAUUUUGAAAAAAAAAUGAUUAUUGAAAAUAGUUUUCAAAAAAGGUAUAUGGUAUUUUUUUUUUUAGAAUAAAAGUACUGUAGACCUAUUUUUUUUUUUUUAGUUUUGGUUUUCUUGAUAUAUUUAUUUUUUUUAGUCUUUCCCGCCACUUUGGGGAGCACCCGGAAGAAGACAUUUGGAUUGGGGGACCGGCUUCUAAAAAACUCCAUGCAUGAGGCGCGUGGCUGUGGAGAGGACUACAGCCAUGGUGGUGGUUGGGACUACACGGAUGCUGAAUAGGGAACAGGAGAGCAGGUGCUAGCUUUCCGGAUCGGGAGAGGGAGAAAGGGCAGGAAGGAGGCUGGGGGGGAGAAAGUCUAGCGAUGGGGGGGUAUAUUUUUUUAGAGAGAAAAGCAGGAGAGAAGAGGCAUUUCAGGGAGGGGGGGAAGAGAAGAGACUUCCAGAUCAGAGCUACAUUCUUCCUGCUUCUCUUAGCGGCGGUCCAGUCGUGGGUCCCGGUGGCUGGAGUCGGACUUCCCAGAUGUCGAAAAUGUAUGUUACACUUGAUGUAUUUAUCUCAUUCAUUUUAUUAAUUUAUUGGUUUUGAUUGUAUGAUUAAUAUGUUUAUGUUUUCAGUUUUUAUGCUCUUAAUAUUUAAGCCUAUAUUUUAAUUUUUUUAGAUAUUUAAGGGGUGGGAAAAUUGGUUUUGUAAGGCCCUGUUCGGCCUAGAAGAACAGGCUGUUAUAAAAAUUCAGCCGUGGUCACUUGGGCAUUAGGAUGUGUGCGGGCUAUGGUGAGAGCUCAAGCUCAGCACGCAUGGGACAGGUCCAGAUUAUUGGAUCAUCACGUUCAAGUGGCAAGCCUUCCCAUUUCCACCACCUGUCCAUAAUGAUGGACACUCCAUCAUGAACUCUUUGACUUAACCCAGACAACAUGGAAAAUUGAUUCACCACAACCUUUUUUUUUUUACUUAUUAUUUAUUCAUUAUUUCUUUACAGCUUGAUAUCAAAAUAUUUUUUUCAACAUUCCAAUUUUCAAGAUUUAAUCCUCGAAGUUUCCAUUUUUAAACAAUUUUUUUUUUCAAAAUUCCAAUUUUCCGACUUCCCAAAUUUAGAGCCCGUUUGAUAGUGAUUCUAGUGGAAGUGUUUUUAUUUGAAGUGUUUUCUGUUAUAGUGUUUCUGUGAAAAACACUUUUAUGAUAAUCAGAAAAAAUGAUUCUAAAGUGUUUUUGAUAAUAUAUUGUAUAAAUAUAAAAACACUUUUAAUAUUAAUAAAUUACCAAAAAGGACAUACAAUUUUAAUUAAAAAAAAUGGUAUGAUAAACAAAAAAAACUUUUUAUUAAUGAAAAAACAUCUAAAUCACUAAAAAAAUAACAUUGAAUAAAAGAUAAUUUUAAAAUUAAAACAAUAUAUGAUUACCUAUUAAUUUCUAAAAAAAAAAAGAAUUUUCUAAUUAAAAAUAAUAAUUUUUUUAUCACUAUACUAAAAUUUUAAAAAAUAUUUACAAAAAACAUCUAAAUCAAUAAAAAAAAAAAGAUUGAAUAAAAGAUAAUUUUAAAAGUAAAACAAUAUAUGACCACAUAUUAAUUUCUAAAAAAAAAAAAAGAUUUUUCUAAUUGAUUUAUCACUGGGGGCAUUUUUGGAAUAUUUCAAAAAAAUUGAAGUGUUUUUUAAAAAAAAACACCUGUCAAGUGAUUCUCUAAAAAUCACUUCAAGUGUUUUUCCAGAUUUUCAAAAGUGUUUUUUUAAAUUUGCCAAACACUUUAUUUUCAUCCCAAAAACACUUAAAAGUGUUUUUAAAGGUAGAAACACUUUUAAAAAUCACUGUCAAACGGACUCUUAAUCUCCAAUUUCAAAAAUUCCACUAUUCACAUUUAUUUAUUUAAUUAAUUAUUAUUUUUAUUAUUAUUAUUAUUAUUAUUAUUCCAUUUAUUUAUUUAUUUAUUUUUAAAAUUUCAUUUUUAAACAAUUCUUUAAAAUUCCAAUUUUUAAAUUUAAUUCCAAUUUCUAAAAUUCCAAUUUUUAUAUCAAUUUAUUUAAUCAUUAUCACUUUAUUUAUUUGUUUAUUUGUUUAUUUUUAAAAAUUCAAUCUUCAAAUAACUCUUCAAAAUUCCGAUUUCUAAAUUUAAAUUUCAAUUUUCGAAAUUCUAAUUUUCACAUCAAUUUAUUUAAUCAUCAUUAUUUUAUUUCUUUGUUUUAAAAUUCCACCUUUAAACAAUUAUUCAAAAUUUUGAUUUUCAAAAUUUAUUUCCAAAAUUCCAAUUCAAAAAUUUAAUUCCCAAGACUCCAAUUAUCAGAUAAUCUUCAGGACUUCAAUUUUCAAAUAAAUUUCAAAAAACCAGUUUUCACUCGAACAGUUUUAAUUCCACUUUGGUUUUCAAAUAAUCUUCUUUUUCUCUUAAUUUUAUAUAAGCAUGAAUGUCAUUUUCAUAAUUGUGGAACAAUGGAAUUUGUGAGAUUAAUUCGUGCAAGAUCAAUCGGGCUUUGGUGGGGCCCCACAUACGUGAUUUUAUGAUUGAUUUAUUUAUUUGUUGAUUUGUUUGUCACGCGCGAUUGAUUUAUUCUGCUCUAUGACAUGCUAGAAAUUAUUCCUAAAUUGUGCACUAACCCCUCUAUUGAUAGCGCAUGGUGGAUCGUUGCCCAGGUAUGUACCCAUUUUCCCUCUAAUCAAUGUAUAUGCAUGUCCCGAUUCUCAUAUGUGCAUGAUCACUCCGAGUAUUCAUUGAUUCCAUCAUCAAUUGUCAUGAUUGCUUCAUUUUAUUAGUAGAGACCCGACUUUAGGGACUUAGAAGGGUGCUACGGUCUUUACCGUACCUUCCCGAUAAGUAACCUGACCCCCGAACCCGAUCUGCCCCGAACCCGAUCUGGUUUUUCGUAGACCACAUUUUCCAAAUAAGGAGUCACACUUAAGGUUUUUCUUUCUUAUUUUGUUUACCCUUUAAUAAAACAAAAAUAAGUGGCGACUCCAAGUCAUUUUUUUAACCAAUUAAAUCAUUUUUCAAAAUAAAAAUCGAGCUCGUCAUCGAGUGGGAAACGCAUCAGCACGAAAUGCGGGGUCCACAAGUACAUUCCAAAACUUAAAAUACUCUUAAUUUGUUUUUUUGUAUUUGGAAUUUUUUCUUAAAAAUAAUUUAAAUAGUUUUUAAAAAUAAUUAGAAUAUUCUUAUUUUCAAUCAUUCUCUAUAUUUUUCAAUUAUUUUUAAAAAUAAUCCAAAAUAAUUAAAUAUAUAUAUAUAUAUAUAUUUAAAAUACCUUAUUUUUGGAACUAGUUUUCAAAACACUAAUUUUUAUUAAAAAAAUUAUCAAACUUCUUUUUGAAUUUGAAAAAUAUUUUAUAUUUAAUAGAAUAAAAUAUUAAAAAUAGUUAUCAAAUUACUAACUUUUGUUUAUUUUUUUCAAUGUUUUUAGAUGUCAUUGAUAAUAUCGUAAAUAUAUAAUUUAUAUAUUUUUUAAAUUUUAAAAUAUAAAAGUUAGAAUUUUAAAUAUAUUUCAUCAUUUCAUCAUUAAUACUGAUAGAUUAAAUUAUGAUAAGGAUAACAUGCAUGAAGAUUUGUUAAAAUUUUAGUACUUCUAAUGUUAUUAAACAUAUUUAACUUAUAAUUAUUUUUUAAAAUAGUAUUUUAUUAUUUAAAGUUGUUUAAAUUUUAAUAGUUAUAUAUUUUAUUAUUUUCAAAACAAUUAGUUGUUUAUUUAUACUAUUUUGAUGUUUAUUAUCCUAUAAUAUUUGAUAAAUUACAAAUCUUUAUAUUUAUUUUUUAAGUUAUGAAAUUAUAUUACAUAUAUUUUAAAUACAUUUAUAUACAAAAAAGUUGAGACAUCACAGUGCGACACCCUUGUCUUUUUCCCAAUAAAGACCCAAUUAAAUCCUCAUUCCUCAUCCUUCCAUGCCUUUUAAGCAGGUUCGUCGAUUCACCCGAUUAGGUGAACCGAACCAGGUUAAGGUCCGGGAUUUAGGUUUGAUCCGAUUUUUAAAAUAUAGACUGAACAAAGAACCGUCCUUAUCCUCUUUUCCCUUUACAUACGGCAUAGACCUUUUAGGCGAAGACUUGAGUCCUUUGCCAGAUUUAAGUCGUGAAGGUCUACAGAUUCAGUCUCCUAAGAAAUUGGGCAUGAAUCGCAGCCACCAUUCUUGACUUUUUGCUUUGUUUCUCAUGAAUGCGCAUGUACUAUCUAAUCAGACUGGGGACAACACAUUUACUACCAAUUUGCCCGGGAGACUUGGAUUGUUGGGUCAACGUUGGAAUCCAAGUCUACUGCAAAAUAAUAUAAAUAUUAUAAAUAUAAAUCUGAACAAAAUAAGUACAUGGUGAUUUUUUUAUAUUUAAAAUAAAAUAUUAUAUUACAAUCAUUAAAUAAGUUUUAUUCAUUGGAUCGUUUUUAUAAGUAGAUAUAUUUUUAUAUUAAUAAGUAAUUCUUGUAUUACUUAUAAGCAUAUUAGACCGUGUUAUCGCACCAUUAUAAAAAAUAAAAAUAAAAAAUUAGACAAAAAAAAUGAAGGAAAAAAAAGGAUGAAAAAUGAAAAAAAAAAAAAAGGUGAUAUCACGUAGAAUAAAGGGUGUUUGUUAAAAUUUAAUAAGUUGACUUUAAGUUAAAUUAUAUUUAAAUUAUUAUUUAAUUCUUAUUUUAAGUAUUAAAAUUGUUUCAUAAAAUUAACUUAAAACUUAUUUUAAAUCAUCACAUUAAUAUAUUUACUCUCAUAAAUUAUAAUUAGAGUAAAGAAAAUUAAGUAACAGUGGAGAUCAUGAAAUGUUGAAGGAGAUCUUAAAGGUAAUUAAGAUAAAUGAGGGUAAAAAUAUCAAAUAAGAUGUGAAUUUAAGAAUAAGUUAAUUGUUUUUAUAUAUUAUUUGAAGUUGUGUUUUUUACUUAAAGUCAUACCAUUAAAUUAUUUUACCAAACACACUUAAUUUACUUAAUAAUUUAAAUUAAAUUAUUAAAUUACUUUAAUUAUUAAGUUGAUUUAUCAUACACCCUUUAAGUUACAAUAUGUUUAAAAUAUGACAUUAUAUAAAAUACAUUUUUAUUUUAUUUAUGAUAUCACAUGUAAAAACACUAUACAUAUAUCCUAAAAUAUAUUGUAAUAUUACCCCUUCAUACUAAUAUAUCUCAUAACAAAUGAGAUAUAUGUCAUAUAACUGUUGGUUAUAUUCUUUUUACAAAGUUUUUAAAUUUGACCAAAAACUCAAUAUCAAGCAAAUUUUUUUUAAAGAUUUUGGGUCUAUUUGGCAAUUGUUUUAUAUAACAGAAAUAUGUUCAUAAGAAUAGAAAAACAAAAAAACACAUUUGGUAAUAAAAAAUUAUUUUCUAUUUCGGAGAACAAAAACAAAAUGUUUUUAGAGAACAUCUUUUAAUUGUUUUCUAAGUGUUGUUUUUUUAAAAAAAAUUAUACAAGCAUAUAGAAUAAUUAAAAAUAAAAUAUUUGAUAUAAAAAUUAUUUUUAAAAAUAUUUAAAAAAAAGUUAAAAACAUUUUAAGUCUCAAAUAGACUUUUAUUUUACAAAACAUCUUAAAACAACUUUUAAAAAUAAUAUUUUAAAAUUAUUUGAAAAAACAAUUACCAGAACUUUAAUUUUUAAAAUAAUUUUUCUUUAACUAAAAUCUUUUUUAGGAGAGAAACUGAGGAAGAAAGGUAUGUGAUUGUAAUAAAGAGAUGAUUGAUCAUUUUGGUCAAUUAAAACACGGAAUUAUUUUGAAUAUUUGGAAAAUUGUGAUUUCUUCUAAGUUAAAAUCCCUACAUUCCUUCUCAGCAAAAACAACUGAAUGAUCAAAAACCAAUGUUAAAUCAACAUAAAUAUGAACACUUCUGUGGUAUAAAUAAAAUUUAUCUAAAAUAGUAUGAACAAAACAAAAGUUGGCAUGAGAUAUUUUUCUUCAAAAAAGAAAGAAAGAAAAAAGAAAAGUGCAUAAAAAUAAAUAUAUUACUUGUGAUGUCCACGAAUAGGGGAGAAAGUUUUUAACCAUGUAAACGUAUUACUCUCCUCAGUAAAUAGCAACUAUACAACUAUGACUGCUGUUAGAGUUCUCCGUAAAAGGACGUUGUCCAACGUAGUUGCCUGGAGGAUCAUAGUUGCAAGUGACAAACCACCCGCCACUGUUGCACUGAGCCCUAGCGCACCCAAGACGCAAUGAGUUGCGCCAAAUAACUUGAGUAUAGUGCCUGCAUUCCCCACCAACGCAGGAGUUGGAGUUGUAGUCAUAAUUAGUCUUCUCCCCCACCCACAAGUUCACUGCAUCGAUGCCUGUCAAUGAAGGGGAGCCCCAGGCAAGGUUCUCACCGUAAGGCCCACCUGAAUGCACUAGAUUGCAAUCGCCAAUCCUCUGGUUAGUAUAAUUUUGGGCGUAGGCAGCCACAGUGUUGUCCCAUGACAUAGGCCCAACACCAACUUCUGCACGCGCGACAUUGUGAGCAUCGAGGAAGUCUUGUGGAGAGUUUUGGGCAUAGGAGAUGUGAGCAAGGACUAACCCCAUGAAACCAACAACUAGUGAAGAUGAGAUCUUACACAACCCCAUCUUUUAGUUUCUUAAUCCGUGUAAUGCAAAGUGAGAGUUGAGAAAUGAGCAUAUAUGGUUUGAAGGGAAUGUGAAGAACUUGCAAUUUGGUCAGUCAAAAGCAUCAUUAAUAAAGCUUACAAGCAAUCUUUAGGCCACCAAAACUGGGCCCAUGGGCUGUUACGUGUGAAGGACGUUGAGAAAAGGAAAAUUCUACGAAGUGGGUACGUACCUCCAAAAUUCCUGGCCGUUGGAUCAAAAGAUUCCAAUCAAGACCAUCCAAAUGGAAAAUGGAUUAAAAUAAAAAAUGCAAAAGAAGGGUGCAAAAGGUUGCCAGUAGAUAUGCCCCCCUCUAUCUCCCCUCUCUCAAUUUUUGUCACACAUGUCAACAUCAAUUUCAAAAUUUUAAAUUAUUAAUUCUACAUUUGUUUUAUCUAUUUAUAACAAAUAUUACCUUAGAAAGUAAAUUUCAAUCAAUUAUUAUAUUUAAGUAAAAGUUAUUACUAUAUUUUGAUCUAUCUUACAAUGUUUCAAUAUAAUAGGAAAGUGCAAAUACAACUAUCCAAUUACAAAUGCCCUCCAAAAUUUAUUUAAAAUCUAUAGAUUUUUUUAUUUAUUUUAUUUUACUUUAAAUAUUAAUAAAAUUGUUAAUUCGUAUAAUUUCACUUAGAAUUCAUAAAAAAUAUGAGGAAAAAAUAAAAAUAAAAAAUAUUAAAAUUCUUACCCUCACUUAAUUUUAAGAAUUUUUUUUUUCAACUUCAAAUGCCAAUUAAAUUGUUUUUUCAUACUAAUUUCAAUUAGGAUUUUUGAUAAGUAGGAGGGUACAAAGAAGUGUUAUUCGUCAUUUUUAUCAAUUGUAAGUAUAAUUAAUAUUAAUAAGCACUACUAGUACUAUUUGAAGUGGACAAAAAUUGGUUAAAAUUAAAACAAAUGGAAAAUUUGGAGGUACAAAGAAUAUGGGGAAAAGUAUAGAGAAUGUGAGGAAUAAUAGUGUUUAUUCCUCCCAUUUUUUGUGCCUCUCCAAUUUUGUAAUUUUUCUACUUUUAAUUUUUUUUUUUUUUUUUUUUGUAGUAUUCAUACCCUCUCCAAUUUGGUAGUUUUUUACUUUUAAAAUUUUUUUAUUUAUAAUUUCGAUCAAAUUUAAGUAUAAUUAGUAUGAAUAAAUACUAAGAGAAAAAAAUUCUUAAAAUUAAAACAAGUGUAAAUUUGGAGGAUAUGAAGAAGGUGGGAAAAUAAUAUUCACAUUCUUCAUACCCUCCAAAAUUUUCACUUUUUUGAAUUUUAAGAUUUUUUUUCCACUUGAAAUAGUAAUGAUAUUGUAUAUUCAUACCAAUUACACUUUAAAUUUAUGGAAAUUAUACAUAGAAAUUUUAAAACUCAAAAUGCUUCAAAAUUAGGGAGGGUAUGAAGAAUAUGAGGCUCCAAAAUUUUCAAUUUUCUAAUUUUAAGAAUUUUUUCCACUUGAAAUAACAAUUAUAUUGUGUAUUCAUACUAAUUACACAAAUUUAAAACGAAAAAUACUAAAACAUUGGGGAAGGGACGAAGAAUAUGAGACCCUUUAGAUUUUUCAUUUUUUUGAAUUUUAAGAAUUUUUUUAAAAUUUAUUUUAUUUUUUAUAAUAGUUAUAAUUGUCAUUUUUUAUAUUAUUAGAAUAUAAUUCAAUUUUUCAUUAUUCAUAGCCUAAAGUUAUAUAAAAGAAAAAAGGGAUAGUAAAUUAAUAGAUGUCAAAACUCAUAUAGGUAGAAACUACAUAAUUAUUAUUCAUAACCAAAAGUUAUAUAAAUAAUAAUUGAGAAAAUAAAGGUUAAUCUUAAAUGAGAAAAACACCCAAGAGGGGGGUGAAUUGGGUUUUAAAUAUUUUUUUUUUAAACACAACAAAUUUAAACACAAGAGAAGCAAAUAAAAAGAGAUAGAGUUAAAGAGAUCAAAGUCAGAUUUUAUAGUGGUUCGACACUUCCUUGCCUACGUCCAGUCUCCUCAAGCUCCUAACUGAGUGAGGGUUCCACUAACUUGAAGCUUCAACCAAGUUUCUAAUCACCUUUACACUUGGAUUCCGGCUCUAAUGGGCUCUUACACAACCUCUUCAAGUUUCAACUCACUUGAAGGCUUUAACACUCAAUUUACAAGAAUGAAUCUCUCAACCUAUCUCAACAAUAACUGAAAUACAACUUAAGGCUAGGAUGAAUCACAAAGGUGCACUAAAAGAUAUGCAAGUGAAGAUUUAAUGCGCCAAGAAAGAAAUAAGAACUUUUAAGGCAAGAACAAGUGGGUAGAUAAAUAAAUGAAGGUGUUAUCUUGCUCAUAAAUGAAGUGGAGCUCUUUAUUUAUAGGUUUCUAACCUCGGGAGCCAAGAAAAUAAAAAAAGCAACCUCAAUCGAUUGAGCUAGGGGUCAACCAAUUCACUAGCCGUUGGAGCAUUAAAUGCUUUGGCAGGUUACCGUUGCUUCGACCGAAGGUCGACCGAGAAGGCAAAUACCUCGAUUGGAAAGGGGUGGCUAAUAGAAGAAAGAGAGUGCUUUCUGCACUCCUCGACUGGACCUCGACUAGGAAGAGGGAACCGGUCGACCGUUACCUUGGCCGAUUGAACCGGUUGGCCAAUGCCUCGACCGGUUCACCAUUUUUGGCCUGAAAACCUAUAUUUUUCUAGUCUUUUCUCUUCUAACACUUAAGCAAGGUCUUAAACUAGUAUGCCAAUUUUGAAGUAAUUUGCCUAAGGUUCAUUUGAUAAAACUUGAGUUUUAAUGAAACUGUAACUUUAAAUAAUAAAUCAAUUUUUUGAAAGAUUCAUGAAAUGAUAUGUAAAACUUAAGUGCAUCCAUACAUUCAUCUUACAUUUGUUUCCUAUGAUUAAAGGUCUUUCAAACAUCUUGAUCUUGCAUCCCUUAGGUCAUUUGAUGAAUUUCCAAAUUAAUACCUUAGAUUCUUAAUAAUUCAAACCAAUUAGUAACUUAACCAUAAUUUGUUAUCAUCAAAACUUGAUUAGGAGAGCCAUUGUGCUAACAAUAAUAUUAAUACUUUUUUUGUACAAAUUAAAAUUAUAUAUGGUCAAAAGUUAUGUAAUUAUUAUUCAUGAUUAAAAAUUAUGAAAAUAAUGAUAUUAAUAUAUUUUUGUUUUGUACUAGCCAAAAUCUCUGUCAAUUUUUUGUUCCUGAUUGAGAAGUAUUAAAUAUGAUCAUUGAUGUUUGUAACUUGAAUUAUUCUUAUUGUGAAUAUAAGUAUGGAUUUUUCAUUCGAAUUUCACAAUGCUAAAAAAUUCUAGCACAAUUGCAUCAUUAUAUGAAAUCUCUUUAUUUUUAAGAAUUUACAAUUUAUAGUUUUUAAGAUUUACUUAAAUUGUGCUUCCUUUUUAUUCUUUGUAGACACUAUAAUUCUUUUAGAGUGUGUUUGAUAGUGAUUUUACGAAACGUUUCUAAUAUUUUUAAUGCUUGAAAGAUCAAAAUUUUCAAAUGUUCAAAAAACUAAAAACACUUCCUAAAAUCCCUACCAAAAACACACUCUUAAUUAUUGAUAAAGUGAAGAGAGUGAAAAGAAAAUGUCUAUUUGAUGUUUUAAGUAUCCUUAAAAUAAAGAUAUACUAUUUAUAUAUUCUCUAUGCUAUUUACUAUUUAAUUCGAUUCUUUCUAUUUGAAACAUUGAAUUUUAUAUGUUUUAUUUACUAUUUAAUUCACUUCUUUCUAGUUGAAAUGAUGAAUUUUAUAUUUGGAUAAAAUAAUGAGAAUAAAUUAUUUUAUAAAGAUUAAAAAAACAAAAGAGAAGAAUUUGAAUAAGAUUGACUUUAGUUUUUAAACUCUACCAUAUUAUCCUUUUAUAAAAGGAAUUUAAUUCUAAUUAAACUCUUUCGAGUUAUUUCUUUUACUUUUUGAUAAUAAUUUAUUAAAAGACAUUAUUUUUCAAUUUUUUUUAAUCAACAUAUAAAAAGUGAAGGAGCCACUUCUAAUUAUAUCAAGGUUAAUAUUGUGGACCCCGCAUUUUUAAUGAUGCGUUCCCACUCGAUCGGCGAGACUCACUUUUCGUUUAUUUGGGUGAAAAAUAUGAUUUUUAGAAAAGACUUGGAGUCGCCACUUACUUUUAUUUAUUUUUAAAGGGGAAAACAAGUAAGAAUAAAACCCCUAAAUGGACUCCUGAUUUUUUUUUUGGAAAAGCUGUCUACGAAAAACCCGAGUCUGGGUUCGGGGAUCAGGUUACUUAUUGGGAAGGUACGGUAAAAACCAUAGCACCCUUCUAAGCCCCUAAAAAAUGGGUCUCUACUAAAUAAGGUGAACCAGACAUGGCAAUUAACUAGAAGAUCAAUAGAUACCAAAAUGAUCAUAGUUCAAAAAAUAAGUCAUGAUGACGAAAUGAUAAACGAAGUGAGAGUGAGAGUGUACUGUUAUGAAAAUAAGGUUAGUGUACAAUGACAAGUGUAAAAAAAUCUCAUACAAAACCAAAUCAAAAUCAAACAAAAUGGAGAGCACAACUUACUUGAAUUAUUUUUUGAAAAAAAUGUUAUGAAUGUCGGGCCCCCACCAAAGCCCAAUUAAUUUUGCUAUGAACUAAUUCUCAUAAACUCCAUCAUUUUGGAAUUAUGAAAAAUUAUUCAUUUUUAUAUAAAAAAAAAAUUUGAAAAGAGGAAUUUUGAAAAUUAAAUUUGAAAUUUCGGAAGCGUGGAAUUUUAUUUUAUAAAAAAAUGAGUUUGAAAAUUUUGGAAAUCUCUUUGAGAAUGGUAUUUCAAAAUAAAAAUAAAAAUAAAAAAAUAAAUAAUAACAAAAAAAAUAAUAAAAAUAAAUAAUUUUGGAAUUUUGGAAAAUGGGAAUUUUGAGACUGGAAUUUUGAAAAAUUAAAUUAAAAAAUUGAAAAUUUGGAAGGAUUAUUUUUGAAAAAUGAAAUUUCGGAAAAUUAAAUUUUAAAAGUUAUAAAUUUGGAAAAUUGGGACUUCGAGAAUGGAAUUUCGGAAAAUUAAACUAAAAAAAUGAAAUUUUGGAAAAUUAUUUCGAAAAUAGAAAUUUUUGGAAAAUUGGAAUUUUUGAAAAUCGAAACGUGAAGAUCAAAGUUUUGAAAAUUAUAUAUAUUUUUUUAUGUAUGAGAAUAAAAAUAAAAAUAAUAAAUAAACAGAUGGUACGUAGUCGGUGGGAAUGGGGGCCAAUCUUCACUAUUUUCCAAUAGCCUCCGAAAAUUGAAUUUGACAAAGGAUGACCAAAGUGAUAAACCGAAACCUUAGAUCUUACAAGCACUGAAACUUUAACAACAUUUAAUCUUAAGAUAAACUUAAUCAAGCACUAAAUAUUAUGUGACCUUUAAAAUAGUACAAACGAUACGUAUCAACUAAUAUUGACGAUUUGGAGUCAUAAAUUUAAUCGACUAACUAAACAAAUGAAUAAUAAAAAAACAAACACAUGAAUAAAAUUAAUCAAAAACUAAAAGGAACUAUUUUUUUAAGCACAAAAUGACAACAUCGAAUAGAUUAAACUAAUAGCAUACAAUUUGAAAGCAUAGAAUUAAUAGAAAAAUGGAAUUAAAAAAUCUUAACAUAAACUAAACAAUAUGAAACCAAUCGAAUUAAUUAAAACUCUAAAGAAUAUCAACUAAAGCAGGAUCAAUCAAAACUAAAAUAAUUCUUUUUCUUUAUUUAUUUUAAAACAUGAAUAUAUCAACGCGAAAUGGAAUAAAUUAGCCAACUUAAAUACUAAAAUUAAUAAACUAAAAGAAUGAAUCAUGAAUUAAAUUUAACAACCUUUAGAUAUGAAAAGAUGUGACAUGGAAUCAAUUGAACUAAUAAACUAAAUUUUAAUAACAUCUAAACUAAAAGAUAAAUUAAAAUUAAACUAAAAGAAAUUAUGAAUUUCCUAAUUGAGAACCAAAAUAGUGCCAAUCAAAAUUCUAAAUUUUUAACCAUUAUCACAAAUUAUCCAAACUCUAAAAAAUUCUAACUUUUCCAUUAUCAACAAAAUUGCCCAAACCAAUACUUGGAAAUAAUAAUAAUACUAAUAAUAAGUAAAUAAAUAAAAUAAAUCUAAUUUGUCGAACUAAGAAAAUAAAUUGUAACUACAUUAAACAUAAAUCAUAAUUUUCAAGCAAGAAUGAUAAAUCACUAAUAAUUAAUUUAGUUAGUUAAGAAAAAUUAAAAAUUAACAUCUAAGCUAAAUAUGAAUUUACAAUAAAAUAAAAUUUUAAAAUGCAUAGGCCGAAUGGGAAUAACACAAAACUAACUUUAACAAAUUAAAAACAUGAAUACAUUAACAUUGGGAAUGAGUACCUAAAUAUAUAUAAAAUUCUGAGAUAAUUAUGAAUGGCAUUGAAUAGUCAUGAAUCAAAAUUCAAACAGGAAGAAUUAAUUUACCUUUCUCAAAGACGCGUGGGCUACUCUCCAACAAAAGUGAUAGUAUGAUUUUUUUUUUUUUUUUUUUUUUAAAGUCAAUUCUAUGAUGUAUGUUGUGAUAGUUAUGGAUCAAUCAAGACUAAAAAAACUAAUAGUUUAAGGAACAAAAAUGAAUUAAUAUGGAUCAACCAAAAAUAAUACUAAUAAUUUUAAUGACAAUGCAAAUUAACCCGGAUCGAUCAAAAAUAAGAAUAAAAAUUUAAGGAGCAAUAUAAAUAACGUAUAUAUUUAAAUAUUAACAACAAAUGAUUUUAUGAAAAUGGAAAAAAAUACUAAUAAUAAUAAUAAUAAUAUUGAAAUAAAAUAAAAUAAACUAAAAAUAAACAAACAACAUUUCACGAAUAUUAUAAAGCUACAUGGAUAUUAGUUUUCAUUUGUUUCAUUUUAAAUUUAAAACAAUACAAACCAAAACACCAUGACCGACCACUUCCACUUUGAUUUUUAAUUAAAUGAAACAAACCACUAACAUACUUGAAACAUCUCAUGGCCGGCCAUAUAUUGUAUUCUCCUUGAUUUAUCAAUUUAAGAAAAAAUAGAAAACAUCAAAGCGCUAACUCAUGCACACAACCACAUAUCUAGAUUCCUUUGAUUUAUUCAAAAUUUAAAAACCUAAAACAUCAAAGCACUAACUCAUGCAUGCAGCCACACGUCUCAAAAUUUGAUGGUAUUCGGUGUGUCUAAAAGUGCCGUCUGUGCUUUCAAUAUGCAACAACCUGUGUGUGUAGGAGGAAUUACUAUGGUGCGUGCUGCUCGUGUAUAUAUAAAAAAAAACACCUUGCAGCCCUUACAUGUUCCUCCUGUAUUCCUAAAGGAACCCUUGCCGCCAUGCUUAAUACACCAAUAACACGCAUUUUGCAGGCAGAAAUCCGUGUUAGUGCUGUUCGGGCACCUGAAUUUCAUGCUAGGAGUGGGUUGAAGCGCCUCGGGAACAGUUGGGAUGAAAUGGCUCACAGCCCGGUGUGUCUUAGCAAUCGGGCAGUUUCCAGUUUCCACCAAUCGUUGCCCAUUGCUUCAUGUUUUGAAGCUUCAUCCAAACUAUUGCUAGCAACAUAACAGAGGCCAUGUAUCACCUCUUCGUGCCUAGGAAGUUUUGGGUUUCCCCCUUCACCUCAAACCCAAACAUAUCUCCCAGAAACAGAGAGAGGAACGAGGAUACAGUUAAUAAAACAAAACAAACCAAACCCUUCAAGCCAAGUACCAUUUCACGGAUUGUCUAUGUGCUUAAAGUGCAGGUGGAAAGAUUUAAGUGAGCUUAAUAGAAGAAUCAUAGUCAUGACUUUCAAGCACCAACAACAAAUAUGAGUCUUCUUUCAUAUUUUUUUUUUUUCAAAUUUCACUUAAAAAGAAAAGAGGAGUAACACAGUAACAAGUUUGUAACUAACUAAUGAUCAACAAAAUGAAAUGAGGCAUCCAGAAUCUAUACCAGAGCAUCAAAUAAUAUCCAUAGAUCAACAGAGAAGAAAAUAUAAACAAUAGAAAAUGAGAGGCUCGCUAACCAUACCUGUAAAACUUUCCUCAAGCACUGAUAUGCCUCUUCUAGCUCUUGGUGCUGUCACCCAAACCCAGUAGAAAUUCCCCCCUCCCUCCCCCCCCCCAACUCCCUUUUGCUUCCUAAUGCCCAGAAAAACCCUUCGAGAGCCUCAUUUUCUAGCCGAUCCUUUUCUUCUUCUUCAAGACUUCCCUUCUCUGCAUUUUCCCGUGCCAAACUCUUCGAAACUCCCCUUAACCUUUUUCCAAGCUCCUCUUCAUUCCAUGCAGCCUGCUGACCCUUCCAUUUUCUUUUCAAACCCUACUCCACCAUUUUAUUUUAUUUUUUUUAUGUGGCUACCCAACUCCCAUACCUUUCCAUUUGCUUAUUAUUAUUAUUAUUAUUAUUUCUCUUUUUUUAGUUAAUAAAAUAAGAAAAUAAAAAUAAAGAUAAAUAAAUAUAAAAAAAAUGAAGCUAAAAUAAGAUGAAUAACAUAAUGAUAAAAAGAACAUAUAAUAAAUGAAUACUAAAUAUAAUAAUUAUGAUAAUGAUACUAACAAUAAUAAUAAUAUUAAUAAUAACAAUAAUAAUACUAAUAAUACUAGUAAUAAUAAUAAUAAUAAUAUAAGAUCCCCAAUCACUUGCAAAUUUUUUUUUUUUUGAGAAUAAAUAAGUAGAUGGAUAAGUGAAUAAAGCAAGAAAAAUAAAUAAGUGCCCAAUGCACGUAACAAUAAUCUAAACAUUAAACUAUAACACAGAUAAAAAUAAAAAAUAAAAAUAGAAAUAGAAAUAGACAAGAUAUCAAAUUGACACAAUCAAAAUAAUUGAAAAUUCAUCUCAAGCAAUCAAAAAAAUAUAAAAAAUAAAAAUCAAGCCAAAUACUCGCCUAAUCUUAAAAAUAAAUCAAUCAAGAAAUUAGUCUUAAAGAAUUAAGCCUAAAGAAAACAUCUAAGUGACCCAGGUAACCUAAGUGGAAAGUGUCAAGGUGAAUUAGCUGCCCAAUGGGUCAUCAGAGAAUUAUCGUAAAGUAUCAAAUGGACACAUAAUAAAACAUGUGCUAGUAGGACAAAAUAGAGGGUCUACAAAUAUGCCUCUCUUCGGUAGAGAUCAUGAGUGUAAGGAAUAUGAGGGGAAACACAAGUAAUGAGUGGAACGAAAUGAACUAUACCGAAGAACUAAGAAAGACCAGAAAUUUUGUCCUAGCACAUGAUGCAAUAAAUCCCAAGAUAAACCAUAUGCAAGGAAAGAAAUACCCUGAAUAAGAGGUUUAUAGAAAGUGACUCUGAACGCCUAUGAAAGUGAUGGCUCUGAACGCCUAUGAAAAUGGUGGCUCUGAACGCCUAUGAAAAAAGAUGGUGGCUUUGAACGCCUAUGAAAAUGGUGGCUCUGAAUGCCUAUGAAAGUGGUGGUGGCUCUGAACGCCUAUGAAAAUGGUGGCUCUGAAUGCCCAUGAAAGUGAUGGCUCUGAACGCCUAUGAAAAUGGUGGCUCUGAACGCCUAUGAAAAUGGUGAUGGCUCUGAACGCCUAUGAAAAUGGUGAUGGCUCUGAACGCCUAUGAAAAUGGUGGCUCUGAACGCCUAUGAAAAUGGUGGCUCUGAACGCCUAUGAAAAUGGUGGCUCUGAACGCCUAUGAAAGUGAUGGCCCUGAAUGCCUAUGAAAAUGGUGGCUCUAAACGCCUAUGAAAAUGGUGAUGACUCUGAACGCUUAUGAAAGUGAUGGCUCUGAACGCCUAUGAAAAUGGUGAUGGCUCUGAACGCUUAUGAAAAUGGUGGCUCUGAACACCUAUGAAAAUGGUGAUGAAAAUUGGAUAACUUCUACUAAGGGGAUAUGCCCCAGUAUGACGACCUAAAACUAAACUAGGUAAUAACAGAUUCUAACCUAAGCUUGAUAUUUUCAAAGAAGGGGGUAUGCCCCAGUAUUACGGUUGUAUCAAGCUGGUAAAAUGUCCAAUGAAACAAGCGGCUGCAAACAUCGUAAUGAGAAAAAAACAACACCUCAUGACAAAGGUCUCGAGAAGUAUAAACAUAAAUUUCUUCAUAUUUCAAAUAAAUUCCUUGUCAACUGAUCUCACAGAUAAAGCUCAACAAAUGCGCAUCACAAAUUUACAAAAGAACGACUAUGGCGAAAAGAAAUCGUCUCAUAAACUCUUGACAAGGGAGUCCAUUGAUACUUUCUGGGUGAAAUCUGAUGGGGUCCAUCUCAGUCUCAAGCAAUGUCGUAUGUAGCCAAUCACAAUAUCACAAAUUAUAAAACUGAAGAAUGUGCUCAUAUAAGGAGAUAAACUGGCUACGAAAUCAAAAACUGAUCAUAGAGACAUCAAUCUCCCAUGUAGAGUAGAGAAUCAUAAAUACAAGGCACAAAGCCAUCAAUCUCAUCAAAACAAGAAAUAUGCUCCAGUGUAACAGAUGAUCCUCACGUGAAGUAAGUAAUUAAUGCAAACCAUCCACCCAUGCAUUACUACUCCAAUCAGUUCACCUCAGCAAGAGAGGGAUAUGCCCCAGUAUGGCAUCUGAUGAUCAAGUCUCAAGAUAAUCGAACAACAUUGAUUAUCCCCUUUAUGCACCCAACAUUCAAACAAAUCUUAGCAUCCCAAGAGAAAAAUAACACGCUCAUAUGAUGAUAACCCAAGGUACUGGGCCAAGGUGUACCAGAGUAGAUGCGUAACGUAUGACAAGGGUCUAUCAUUACCAGUUAAGCAAUCUCUACAAAUCCUGGAUGUGGGAGUCAUACAAACCAAUCACAACUAGAAAAAUCCCAUGAUAAGGGUAAUAUGCCCCAGUACAGGCAUCUGGUGUGUCAAAGAAACAAGACUGAUAUCACCAGUUAAACACUAUCUUCAUACUCAGGUUCUGCCAAACAUCAUCAGACUAAGCAUAAGAGGAACCAAAUGUCACUUGAAGCAUCUUCCAUAAGGGAAAGCAUAGCAACACCCAUAUUUCAACCAAUUGUUAAGACCUGCCCAACUGGAGACUGUCAAAGAUAACGUUUAAUCUCAUGGCCUCAGGGUGGUCUUACGACACGGACCGUAAUGUAGGCUUAGGUUAUAGGGUAAAAGAAAUGAAAGGAAACUAAGCUCAAGUAUCCAAUGAUCAAACCCAAUACCCUUAUGUGUAAGAUGUGAUGUGUAAGGUAAUCUCGUGAGCCAACUAACUCGAUAACAAACAAUGGAAGUGUCAAGGACGAACUAUAAGAGAAAAGGAAUUGGUCAGGUCUUCAAUGCGAUAUGUAAUGGCUAUGAAGAGGCUAACAAAACAAAGACAUGUAUCAAUGUAAGAAAAGAAUAAAUAUGGAAUAAUCACCACGAAAAGAGAUGAUCGAAAAUGAAUGAGAGAAGCGAGAAGAUACAAGGAUGAUGACUAACUCAAAUUAGUGCAGCCAAGGAAAAUCAUAUCACCAAAGAUGGAAUGGAAGUGAAGACAGUGAUCUGGAGAUCCUAGUGAUGGGUUACCCAAUCCUCACACCCAAUGUAUACCAACCCUGAUCCAUGAAGCGAAGGAUCUCACAAAACUCUCAUCAAACUAUUGUUACUUAGAAAACAUGAGUAACACAAGGAACAUGAUGCUCUCAGAUAGGCUCACAUACGAGCUCAAUGAUAGAUAACUCAAUGAACAACCCUCAAACAUCAAUGAAUGCCCAGUGGAAUAUGCUACCAUAAACAAACUUAUUGUCACAACUUUUUUUUUUUUUUUUUUUGGUUUUUUUUUUUUUUUUUUUUGCUUUUUGUGAACACUAGUAUCAAUAAACUGAAACCCCACUGAGCAAAGAAUAGAAAUGAAUAAACUCUCUUCAAUCCCCAAUGAAAAUAUGAAUCAUACACAAACCCCCAAAAGUAUGUCGACUCCAAUCACUGACAUGUAUAUAAAGCCCCAACCCUAAGGUCAUCUCUCAAGCUAAGGUAUCUAGAUCAAAGUCAACAGAUGGAAUGAAGGGUGUGACAUGACUAACUUGAUGCACCAAAAAAUGUGAAAAGUCAUCAACUAGAGAAAUAAAGAGAAUGAGACGAAGCAAGGAAAGACAAAACACGUAAGUAGAUGAAAAAUGAACAAUAAUGAAACAUAAUAGAAGUGGAAUAGUAAAGGAUGAUGGCAAGAAAAAUGAAAAUAGAUCAAAGAGUUGAAACUCACGAGACUAACCAAGUAAAACAUUCAUACACAACCAAGGGCCCCUACCCAGGUGAUGAAAGGUAAGCAGAGCUAUAAGAAUGAAAGGCUUUAAUGUACUCAUGGGGCUCAAGGGGCUAGCAACGGGAUGUAUGUGAAAUGGGCACGAUAAGGUAUAAGGCUAAUCGAAAUGAUGGCCACCCAUCCUUUGACCAUGAUCUUAAACGUAAUACUUCUUCAGUUGAUCCACAUUGGUUGGUUCCAAAAAUUGGUUUCCAUCUAAGUCAGUCAACCAUGCAGCCCCUUCUGGAGUCAGCUCUCGAAUAACGUAAGGUCCACUCCAAUUAGGUUUGAACUUCCUCCUAGGGUCUCCAAUCAAACCUCUGAGCAUCCUCAAAACCAAAUCCCCCUUAUAUAAUGGUCUAGGCUUGACCCUUUUCCUGAAGGCAUGAGCCAUUUUUCUUUGAUAGGCCUGAACAUGAUCCGCUGCUCUCAAUCUCCUCUCAUCUAAAAGGUUAAGCUGAUCAAAUCGAGCCUGGGCCCACUCUGUCUCUGAAAUCUGCUGCUCGAGAGCCACUCUUAAAGAACCCAUUUCUGUCUCGAUUGGCAAAACAGCCUCCAUACCAUACACCAAGGAGUAAGGUGUAGCUUCUGUAGGAGUGCGAAAAGAAGUACGAUAUGCCCAUAAGGCAAAAGGAAGCUUCUCUGACCAAUCUUGAGAAGUCUCGACCAUCUUUCUCAGAAUUCUCUUAAUGUUCUUAUUUGCAGCCUCUACAGCUCCAUUAGUUUGUGGCCUGUAUGCAGACGAUCUGUGGUGUUGGAUGCCAUACUUCUGUAACAAAGUUUCGACUUCAGCUCUAAAGUGUGCACCCCUAUCUAAAAUCAACUCGUGUGGAACUCCGUAGCGACAAAUGAUGUGUGACCUGAUGAAACUGGCAACUCUAGUAGAUGUCAACUUCGCAUAUGAUGUAGCCUCCACCCACUUGGUAAAAUAAUCAAUGGCUACUAAGAUGAACUCAUGGCCAUUGGAAGAUUUUGGCGAGAUCUUUCCAAUGAUAUCAAUACCCCAUACUGAGAAUGACCAUGGUGAUGUCAAAGCAUGCAACUCUGAGGGUGGUACAUGAAUAAGAUCCCCAUGCAUCUGACAUUCUGGGCAUCUCUGAACAAACUGGCAACAAUCUGGCAACAAACUGGCAAAUUAAUUGGGUCUUGGUAGACUUUAAGAAAAAUACAAAACAAAUUGAUCAAAUGGUUAUGUAGAAGUCUUGAGAGAGCCCAACUUGGGAAUUACGUAUCCAAUUAUAAUGCUUGGAAAAGUCAAAAUGAUGAAUUUCUUGGAUGAAUCUAGAUGAAGUUUGACCUACAUAUAAGGAAAAAUGACAUUAUGGUCACUGGUGGUAGGCGUCAAUCACGGGACAAACAUAAGCUUGUGAUGGAAAAUUCACUUGAUCGGAGAUUAAUGCUGUAGGAAUAAUAUCAUUGGACUAAGGAUUUUGCUAAAGAAUUUUCAGAGCUCGCAUGGUGUGGAGUAGUUUUCUAAUUUGUGACUCCGCUUGAUUGGACAUCUUAGAAAAAUUGUUUAGUUUUAGUUUCUAAUCUCUUCAAUCUAUUGUGUCAGCUUGGGAGUAGCUUAUAAGUUAUAACUUUGAAAUUUUGGGGUUAAACAGUAGUCAAUUUUGUCUUUUUUUGUCUUUUUUUUUUCCAUAUGUCAAAAAUAAAAAGGUAUUUCACUGUUCAAUAAAGAGUUUGUGUAGGAGUAAUUUUAGUAAAAUUAGAUGAGACUUUUAAGGUUUAAAAAUGUUUGUAUUGCAAUAAUUAAGAGUGUGUUUGGUACUUAUUUUAUAAAACGUUUCUAGUUUUUCUAAUACUUGGAUGAUAACAUUUUUCAAGUGUUAAAAAUAUUAGAAACGCUUUCUAAAAUCAUUGCCAAAUAAGCUUUAAAGAUUUGACAAUUCCUUGAAAUGAUUUUUGAAUGGAUGCUUGAGAAAUAUUUUUAUAAGGGGUAAAUAAUAGAUAAAGAAUAUUGGAUUGUGAAGUUUGAAUCAAUUUUUGUUAUUCUUUUUAUAGAAUCCUCACUAAGUUUGUAGAGAUUAAACUGCCCUGUCAGCUCACUGAGGUUGAAAGAGACAACACCUCCUAGACAAAUUUUUUUUAUGUGAUGAAUGACGAGUUUAUCUUUAUUGUAUAUUUAACCUUAUUAUGAUUUAGAGAUUUUUUAGACAAUGUGAUUACAAUUGAAAGGUGUGUGGAAGUUUUAUCAUUGUAAUUUUUCUUUUUUAUUUAAUUAGUGGAUUUUUUGAGUGUUGAUACAUUUUAUAAAUGUAGGAUCACAUUGAUCGUUGAAUCACAUUAAAACUCUAGUGUUUUUCAUUUAUUUUCUACUUAUUUGUAUGGUUUGAUUAAUAAAAAAUAACUCAAUAAAAUAGGAAUAGUUAACACAUAUGACCCCACCGAAAAAAUUUCUUUCACUUCAAUAAAAAAGAGUGAAGAGAUUUAGCAAUGAAACUUUCCCAAAAAGAUUGAUAAAGGAACUCUCACAUUCACAACCCUAGAAUAAUCCUAGAAAAACAACCCUUAUUGUUUUCUCCAUUUUUUUCCAUAUCAUCUGACACUUCUCAAUUUUUUGGGCAUCCACAAAAGAACCCUACUUGCACCUUAUAUUUUAGCUUAAAAAAAAGAGUCUAAAUAUGGGCUUGAAAAACUUUUCAUGACAAAAUAAACCUAACCUGUCAAUUUCUUCCAAAAAUAAUUACUUUUUAUUACGGAACACAUUAUCAAAACACUCUAGUUAGAGUUUUUGUAAUGUAGGCACCCUUUCUACUAUGAUUAAGGUUUAAAUUAUGAGGUGUUAGAUUAGUUUCAUUAGGAGAAUAUAGUACUUCAUUAUUGUUAAUGGUUUCGAUUUUACUUGUAAGUUACUCCAUUGUAAUAGUUCACAUAGAAAUGAGACUUUUUUUCUUACCCAUAAAGGAUUGUGCUCGGAUCAAUUAAGACCCUUUUACAAAUAUCAACCAGCAAUUGGUUGGGUUGUGUUGGGUUUUCUAUUAAUGGGUAUGCAUUCAAAUAAAACUCAUUCUGCUCGAGUUUUAGAAUGUGUUGAUUUUAAAUACAGUUUCUAGCAUUUUUAACACUUGAAAAACAAAAUUUAAAAACUAAAAAUACUUCUUAAAAUGCUUUAUUUAAGCUUCAUACUGCCUUAUUUUUUGUAAAGAUCAAAUUUGAAUUAAGUGACAUUAGAUUGAAUUCAAACCAUCUAUAACCGUUUCUCUUACUUCAAUUUUUAUAGAUUUGUAAGAGGAUCUAAAUAAUAAAUGUGAUGAUAUUUUUAAAAUAUUAAUAGUCUCUUUUGGACAAAAUGAAAUAGUACAUAGUAUAACAAUUAUAAUAUGAAGCCAUUUUUCUUAAAAUUGUUUUAGAAAUAUAUAAAUUAAAUUAAUUAAAUUGGGUUUGAAUUAAAUUUCCUAAAAAUCAUCAAAACUUUAGCUUGAGGCCAAUUUAAACUUAAUUUAUAUUAUAAAUUACAUAAUAAUAUGAAUUAUAAAUAUUAAUUUAGGUUUGGAUUAAGUUUUUGGACAAUUACCAAAACAAGGUAAGGUGAACUCCAACUUAAUUCAUGUUAAAAAAAAAAACUCAAUCAAUUAACUAGAAAACAAAACAAUGAAUGCAUAGCGAAAGAACUGAACUCAACCCCUCCUAACUAGGGUCAAGGCUUGGUUUAAUAGGUGUGAAGAAAAAUAAAACAUUUUUAUCCUUUACUAAUUAUAUAAACAUAUAUUAUGUAUAAAAUAUGGAUGAAUUUAAAACUCAAAAAAGUCAUUUUCAUGCAUUAAAGUAUUAACUUUUGCGCAUGUUUUAAAUACUACCCUCCACCCAAGUAAACCCUCCAUAUGUAUGGAAGGAAAUUAGCUUCCCUCCAAAUAUCUCUCGAAAAUCCCAACAAAUCCGAAAUUAUUAGAAAAAAAUUCAACAAAUUUCACCGAAUUUUUCAGAUAUUUUAGGAAACUUUCAUUAUUGCUUAAAACAAAACUCUUGUGGCUGAGCCCAAACAAGAAAAAAAGUAUUUAUAUUAAUACUUAAUUUACAAAUCCACCGAGAUCUUAGGUUGGUAUUCACUGUGAUUAUGGACAUUAAUUUUUUUCCUCGUAUGUACCAAAAGAAAUUUUAGAAAAAUAAAAUUUCAUAUUGCAAUUGUCACUUUGCACGUGUAAGUUUCAAUAGAAAUACGAAGACAUGGUACAUUUUCUCCAUAGGUGGACAAAAGAUAUGAAGUAAAAACUUGUGGUUGCUUGGGUGGGGCUUGUUACACAACUCAAACAAAAUGAUCUACCGUAUAAAAGCAUAAACAUUUCACUUUAUUUCAUUAUAAUCUUCUAAUACAGAAGUGAUUUUAUUAGGGACCACUCCAACAAGUCUUUAAUCAAAGUUCAUGUAGAACCUUUCUUAAUAUAAGGACGUUCUCCAAAAUAGUUGCCUGGUGGGUCGUAGUUGCAGCUAACAAUCCACCAUUCCCCAUUCUUGCACAACACUCUUGCACACCCCACAUUCACUGAAGUGUUCCACACAACCUGAGUGUAGUGUCCACACUCUCCUCCAACGCAUGAGUUAGAGUCGUAGUUAUAAUAAGGCUUCUCAGACACCCACAUCUUCACUGCAUCAGCGCCAUCAAAGUCAGUAGCACCCCUUGCAGCCAGGUUCUCACCAUAAGGCCCUCCUGAGUGUUCAAGAUUGCAGUCACCAAUCAGCUUCUCACUAACAUAUUGCGAUGCGUAGUUAGCUAACUUUUUGUCCCAUGUCAUGGGCUGGACUCCAACCUCUGCCCGCGCGGCGUUGUGGGCGGUAAGGUAGUCUUGUGGGGUGUUUUGGGCAUGGGAGAGAUGCGCUAGGGCUAAGCCAAGGAGGCAUAGAAGGGCCAGUGAUGUCUUGCCCAUUUUGGCUUGGAUUCUAUGAUGGAGGACAAGAGCCUUUGAUGGUUAAGAGUAUUGACUUGUUGCAGAGAAUUUAAUGGUGCAAGGUGUUCUUUCUUGAUAUAACUAUUAAUCAUUAUGAUAGAUAAUCCAAAGAAAUCAAUAAAAAGUGCUCAGCAAUUAAUUGUAGUGCAAUUAUAAAAUAUUAACUUAAUAGAAAAAAAAAAAAAAAAAAGGUGGGGUGGGGGGGAAUUUACACGAGUAGGAGAUAAGGAUUGAUAUUAAUUCUCUUGAAGAUGACUACAGCAUGUUAAGAAGGGAUGAUAGUCAUCUUUACAUCUAUUUUAUUCCUUAGGCACGAUUUUAUUUUAUUUUUUUAAUACUGUGGUUGAUGAAUUUUGAGGAGCUCUUCAAUUUGUGAAGUUCUCAUACCCGAAUUAAUGCAUAAAUAUUUUGCUUUGAUUGUUGAUGUAAGAGAACUGGCAACAUCAACCACAAAAUAAAUUUUCAGCUAUAAUUAAUAGUUACAUUAUGUUUGUUUCCUAAGGGAAGAAAAAAAUGUUUAUUAUUCUUGUAUCCUUGAAAUAACUAAAAAUAAAAAAUAAAAAAUAAAAAUAAUUUUCUCAUCAUUUGUUUGUAAAAAAUAAAAAAUAAAUAAAAAAUGGUUAAACUUAUUUAUUUUCAAAUUAUUUAAUUUUUAUAUAAAAUAAAAAAAAUAAGUGAAAUGAGUUUGAAGAAAUAUACAAAAUUAAUUUAUUAACUUCAAUUUUUUUUUCUUUUUUUUUUCUUCCUAUUUUUCACCUUAUUUUAUUUUUAUAUUUUUCUUACUACAAACCAAACAAAACCUUAAGCUGAAUCCAAUCGUGAUGGUUUGUAACUACUUAAUGCGAUUGAAAAAGGUCAAAAAAAUUGCAAAAUUUUUUCUUGGUUGUUCAUGGGAAAUUUGAGAGAGAAGAAAAUUAAAAUGUAAGGAAUAUCCACGAUAAGAUAAUAGGUUUAUAGUCACUGCCAAACCACAUUUAUUCUGCAACUAAAAGGAUUAGUAGUUGAGGUUGGUAAGUGAUGAGCAGGUUGGUAAGGGUUUAUAGUCGUGGAUUUUUCCUCACUAGGUGCAUUGAAUAUUAAGUUAAUUAGACUUAAAACUAACUAGGCAAAAAUACUAAAAUUAAAUGAAAUGAUCAUUCCAAAAUUAGUUAAGUAUAGACCAAUGCUAGCUAAGAAGAUCAAGAAUCCCAUGAAUAGCAUGUAUAAUCCAUGAGAAUCAUAUAUAAGCCAUAUAUGCAUAUAUCAAGUAGUAGUAAAUGGAGUACAUGGAAAUGGUAAAAACAAAACACAUCCAACAUAGUAGCAAAAUAAGAUGUCUAAAAUACAUCAUCUAGAGUAACAUCAAACAUGUCCAAAAUGCCUAUAUGAGAAUAUCUCCCCAUUUGGUAACAUAAAGUAUAAAGGAGAAAUCACUGCAACUCAAAAUCAAGGCUAGGGAUGUGGAGGUGGAAAGACCAAACGAAGAUAGUUCAUCAUCUUAUUGUAUUAAGCCUAAAGUUGAGUAGUAAAUGGUACCUGACACUAAUCUAACUAAAUAGUUAGGGUCGUCUCAUACUGAUCCAUAUGGUCCUCAAUCAAAUAGAAACAAGUACAAUUCAUGAGUAGCUCCUCUACCUAAGCACCGAGCGAACUAAUUUGUACUGAUAUAUCUACCUAGAGUCACUAAUCAACUAAUGGAGAUGAGUGUCGUGUAGUAAACAUAACAAUUGAAGCUAGACACAUCUUAGUGAAGACAAGAUUAGAAUGGAAUGUCUUCUUAGUAAGUAUUGUUGGCUCAUGUUGAAAGGUCUUAAAGGUUGUUUUUGGCUACUCGGUAUGCAAAGGCUCCUCAAUCUACAUCUUCUUAGUCCCAUUGCCCUAUGAUAACUCUCUACCCUCCAUAUCAAGGUCUUUGAUUUUCUUCUCAGCUCAGUCCUUACAAACCUUCUGUCCACCCCUCUUGUGAAUCUAGGACCCAUCAAUAAGGUGCUCAAAGUGCAUACGACCUAUGGACUUCUAUCAUAUGCUCUAAGAGGUUGAAUGUCCUUCUUAGUCCUUAAAUCCACAUUGAAUGCCUUCAAAAUCUAAGUUAGUAGGCAUUCAUAGUAAAGUAUCUUGGACUUAAUCUCACAACACUUUAUUAUGUGCUAAAAAAUAAUGAAUCCAAGAUUGAUUCUCUUAUCGUCUAGGAUGAAAUCAAUUAGAAAAGCUCAUAAUAGGAUACCUCAUCUUGAUGUCCUCCUUUAAGAAUAAAUAUAUGACUAAUCAUGUGAUACAUGACUCGACUAAUCAAUAUGAGAGCAUGAACAUGAGGCUUGGUAGUUGUGGUGUCAAACAAAAGAUUACAUAACCUUUUUUUGGCAGAUCGGAGGGUUGGCCGAGUCCAUCAACUCCUCUUGUAUUUGAAUGUUGUGGUCGCUUAAGUGAAUGUACUAUAAGGCUAGGAUAUGCACCUUUCCUGACAGCAAUUGCUUUUAGGAAAGCUUGUGGCACCUAAGGUCCUACAAGUGGUAUCAAAGUUAGGCCUCCUGUUUAAGACUUAACCGUCUAAGAGGAAACGACUGAUCCAUCAAGUUCAUCUCAUAUUGAAAGUUUUGCAACCAAUAGACCUCCAUUUUUUACAGGAACCAAUUAUUCCUAUUGGAAAAAAAAUGAGUUGGUUUUAAAAAUCUACUAAUCUUGAUCUAUGGGAUGUCAUUGAAGAUGGUUCUCACAUUCCUUCAAAAUUAGAAAAUUGAGUGAUGGUUCCAAAACCUAAGCAAGAAUUGGGUGAACUUGAUAAAAAAAAAAAAAAGUUCAAUUAAAUGCCAAAUCUGUUUAUAUCUUACAUUAUGCUAUUGAUAUAAAUGAAUUUAAUUGUGUUUAACAAUGUAAGUCGACUAAAUAAAUUUGGAAACUAUUAAAAAUCACUCAUGAGGGAACUAACCAAGUUAAACAGUUUAUAAUCAACAUCAUUGUGCAUUAUUAUGAAUUAUUUUCUAUGAAGGAUUUUGAAUCUAUUAUAGAGAUGUUUUAUAGGUUCAUGGUGAUUGUGAAUGGACUUUAAGCCUUGAAAAAGACCUACACCAAAGUAGAGAAAGUCAUGAAGAACUUAAGGUCUUUACCAAAGAAAUGGAAAACAAAAGUGAUGGCUAUUCAAGUAGCAAAGAAGCAGCAAGAAGGGGAAGAUAUAUAUAAAUAUAGAACAUAGCUCUCAAAGCUACAACCAAGGAAGAAAAAGAAGUUGAAGAAGAAAAACAAAGUGAAGAAGAUGAAGAGUUAGCCCUCAUCACAAGAAAGUCUAACAAGUUCAUGAGGGGUGAAAAGUUUAGAAGAAGAAGGUUCGCUUCCAGAAGAGACUUCUCUAAAAAGGAAUCUUCAUCCCAUCGUGACAAGAAGAGAUGAGAGGAGAAAAGAGACUUGGUAUUCUUCAUGUGCAAGAAACCGGAACACUUUAAAUAUGAUUGUCUUUUCUACAAAAGCGAAGCCAAGAGGAGAAAGAAGAAGGCAAUGAUGACCACUUAGAGUGAAAGUGAAGAUGAAUCAUUCAAAGAAAGGAGAAAAAAGUGGCAAACAUGUGCUUCAUGGCAAUAGAUGAACUUGAUGAGGUAAACUUUAACAUUAGCUAUGAAAGUAUACAUGAUGCUUUUGAAGAAUUGUAUGAGGAUUUUAAAAAACUUGGUUUGAAAAAUGCUUCUUUAAAAAACAAAGUUCAACAACUUGAAAAGGAACUUGGAGAAGUAAAAGAAAAAUUUUCAAAUGUUGAAGAUUCUAAAACUUGUCUUGAAAAAGAGAAUGAGAUUUUAAGAAAGAAAAAUGAAUGGUUGACCUCCUCUCUUUCAAUUUUUCUCGUGGACAAAAAUCUUUUGAAAUGAUCCUAGCUAACCAAAAAUGUAUUUUGACAAACAAGAGUUAUGAUUCAAAUCUUCAAAAAAUCAAAAGUAUUUUAAGAACUAUUUUGUAAAGGAAUCCACAAGUGUAAGUCUUUCCACUACUUGCAACUUUUGUGAAAAAGAAUGACACAUUAGUAGCACAUGCCCUUUAAGAAAUGGUUCUCAAAAGAAUUCAAAUGCAAAAGAUAAAAAGAAUUGGGUUGAAAAAUUCAAGGUCACUAACCCUUAAGGACCCAAAAAGAUAUGGGUACCUAAAUCAACUUGAGUUGUGUUGUAGAGUUCAAAGAAGCAUAAGUGGUUCUUGGAUAGUGGAUGCUCAAGACACAUGACAGGAAAUGAAUCCAAGUUUGCUUUUCUUUCAAAGAAAAAAGGAGGAUAUGUUACCUUUGGUGACAAUGAAAAAGAAAAAAUCAUUGGUCAAGGCAACAUUGGUAAUGACAUAUCCUCAUUGAAAAUGUUUUACUAGUAGAUGAUUUAAAACAUAAUCUUUUAAGCAUUAGUCAACUUUGUGACAAAGGUUUUAAAGUGAUUUUUGAAGCAUCUCAUUGCAUUACAAAGGAUAUUCAAAAUGAAAAUAAUCUUCAUGAGCCAUAGAUGUGAUAAUGUUUACACUAUAAAUAUUUCAAAAUAUGAUGGUCAUGAUAGAUGUUUUUCAAGUAUGCAUGAUCAAAGUUGGUUGUGGCAUAGGAGAUUGGGAUAUACUAACAUGGACCUCAUUUCCCAACUCAAUAAAAAUGAAUUUGUUAGAGGCCAUCUCAAAAUAAAUUUUCAAAAAGAUAAAAGUUUGUGAAGCUUGUCAAGUGGGAAAACAAAUAAAAAAACUCUUUUAAAAACAAAAACUUCAUUUCCAUAACUAGGCCACUUGAGUUAUUGCAUAUGGAUUUAUUUGGUCCCUCUAGGAUACCAAGUCUUGGAGGAAAGUCUUAUACUUAUGUUAUUGUGGAUGACUUCUCUAGAUACACGUGGGUCUUGUUUUUAAGUCAAAAGACUAAAACAUUUUAUAAGUUUUCAAAGUUUUGCAAUAAAGUUCAAAAUGAAAAAGGUUUUGCAAUUACCUGCAUAAGAAGUGAUCAUGGAGAGAAUUUUAAAAUGUUGAUUUUGAAAAUAAUGAGCAUGGAAUUGACCACAAUUUUUUGGCUCCUAGAACUCCUCAACAAAAUGGGGUAGUUGAAAGGAAAAAUAGAACCAUUCCAGAUAUGACAAAAACAAUGCUAAAUGAAAACAACCUACCAAAUAUUUUGGGUCAAAAUGGUUAACACCUCUUGAUAUGUUUUAAAUAAAGUUUUAUUAAGGCUCAUACUUAAGAAAACUUCCUAUGAGCUUUGGAAAAACAAGAAACCCAACAUUAACUAUUUCAAAGUUUUUGAAUGCAAAUGUAUUAUAUUAAACACCAAAGAAAAUCUUGGAAAAUUUGAUGCAAAAUCGAAUGUUGAAAUUUUUCUUGGUUACUCAACUUCAAGUAAAACUUUUAAUGUUUUCAACAAAAGAACCAUGGUUGUCGAGGAGUCCAUCCAUGUUAUUUUUUAUGAAUCUAACAAUUCUCUCCAAGAAAGAGAGAGUGUUGAUGAUGAUUUAGAUUUGGAGACUUACAUGGAAAGAUUGCAAAUUGAAGAUAGAAGAAAAUGAAGUGGAUCCUAAGGAAGAAAGAUCACCAUUGGCACUACCACCUCCUCAACAAGUGCAAGGGGAAUCAAGCCAAGACCUUUCUAAAGAAUGGAAGUUUGUCAUCAAUUACCAAUAAGAUUAAAUCAUAAGUAAUCCAUCUAGUGGGGUAAGAACUAGAUCCUCUCUUAGAAAUAUUUGCAAUAAUCUAGCUUUUAUCUUUCAAAUUGAACCUAGUAAUAUAAAUAAUGCUUUAAAUGAUGAAAAUUGGAUGAUUGCUAUACAAGAAGAAUUAAAUCAAUUUGAAAGAAUUAAAGUAAGAGAAUUAGUACCAAGACCUUCAAAUCAAAGUGCUAUCAGAACUAGAUGAGUCUUUACAAAUAAAAUUGAUGAAAAUGGCAUAAUUGUUAGAAACAAAGCAAGGUUAGUAGCCCAAGUUUGUAAUCAAGAAGAAAGAAUAGGUUAUGAAGAAACCUUUUCCCUCGUAUCUAGGUUGGAAGCCAUUAGGAUGCUACUUGUCUUUGCAUGUUUUAAAGACUUUGUUUUAUAUCAAAUAGAUGUGAAAAGUGCAUUUUUAAAUGGUUUUAUAAAUGAAGAAGUGUAUAUUGAACAACCCCUCGGAUUUGAAAGUUUUAAUUUUCCUAACCAUGUUUUUAAACUUAAAAAGACACUUUAUGGUUUGAAACAAGCACUUAGAGCAUGGUAUGAAAGAUUGAGCAAAUUUCUUUUUAAAAAAAUGAUUUUAAAAUGGGUAAAAUUGACAACUCUUUUCAUAAAAACCAAAGAAAAUAAUAUGCUUUUAGUUCAAAUAUAUGUUGAUGAUGUUAGUUUUGGUUCUACUAAUGUCUCUCUUUGUGAAGAAUUUGCUAAGUGCAUGCAUAGUGAGUUUCAAAUGAGCAUGAUAGGAAAACUCAACUUCUUUCUUGAACUUCAAAUCAAGCAACUAAAGGAAAGAAACUUCAUCAAUCAAGCAAAGUAUAUAAGAGAUCUUCUCAAAAGAUUCAACAUGGAGGAAGCCAAGAUAAUGAAGACUCUAAUGAGUUUAUCCAUCAAGCUUGAUAAGGAUGAGAAAAGUAAAUCCAUUGACUCUACUAUGUAUAGAGGCAUGAUGGGUUCUUUUCUAUACUUGAUCGCUAGUAGACCUGAUAUUAUGUAUAGUGUAUGCUUGUGUGCUAAAUUUCAAUCUUGUCUUAAAGAAUCUCACUUGAGUGUUGUAAAAAGAAUUCUUAAAUAUUUGAAAGGAACAAUGGACAUAGGCUUAUGGUAUCCUAAGGAUAAUAACUUUGAAUUAAUUGGUUUUUCAGAUACUGAUUUUUCUGGUUGUAAGGUUGAAAGAAAAAUCACUAGUGUCACAUGUCAUUUUUUAGAAAACUCACUUGUUUCAUGAUAUAGUAAGAAACAAAAUUCAAUAGCUUUGUCAACGGCGAAAGUUGAAUACAUAGUUGUCGAUUUAUGUUGUGCACAAAUUCUUUGGAUGAAACAAACACUUAGUGAUUUGGGUUUAUCUUUUGAGCAUGUAUCUAUUAAAUGUGAUAAUAUUAGUGUCAUAAGAAUAUCAAAAAAUCUCAUGCAACACUCUAGGACUAAGCAUAUAGAGAUUAGACAUCAUUUUCUUAGAGAUCAUGCACAAAAGGGUGACAUAACACUUGAAAUUGUAAGCACUAAAGAUCAACUUGCUGAUAUUUUUACAAAACCUCUAAGUGAAAAACAAUUUGUUGAGAUUAGAAGACAAUUAGGGGUGAUUUCAUUAUGAUUUAAUGUUUGCUUAUGAAUGCUUGAUGUAUAUGCCUAUUGAUUACUUGAAUUUCAUGACAUAUGCAUCAUAUAAAACAUCAUAUAGACAUAUACUUAAAAAAUGGUCAAUUUUUGACCAAAAAUCAAAAUUCCAUUAGCAUUGGGCAUAAAAAAUUGGGGAACCCAACUAAAAAAGGCAGAGAGAGGAUUAAAAAAUGAAAAAGUGUGCAAAAGUGGAAAGUCAAAUAGCAUUGACCUUUGGUGCAUUUUGAACCGAUUGACCUGAUUUUGGGGAAAAUUUGAGGGCUUUAAAGGCUAGGGUUUCGAAUUUGGGCCAUUUUUCUCUUCUUUCCAUGCGUCACAACCAGUUUCGGCAUCGAUUCCUCUCCAUUUUUAUUCGUCAAGGUUUCAAGUGUGAGCUUCUACCAGUUCCUCAUCUUCACCUUGCGCUAGCUCCAUUUUCCAUGGCUCCCAGACGAGAGUUCGUAUCUUCCAAAGCUCAAGGCAAGCGCCCAACUGAUCCGUCUUAGCCAGAGACAUGCCGAAAGGCGUGUUUUGAGACCGCCUUGUUCAGUACCGUGGAGGAGUACCAACGGUACAAGCAGCAUUUUGCUUAGAGACGAGUAGUUCCGAGGAGAAACAUCAACUUUCUACAGCUUCAACACUUUGGAUUUGAGGGAUUGUUCACUAGGAUAGGCUGGUUGUUAGCUGUUACAAUUUAUGAGCCAGUUUUUUCGACAUUGGUAUGAGCAUUCUACUCAAGGGUGACUUACAGCAUGGGUGGCCCGAUCAUAUCCACUGUUAGAGGAGUUGAGAUUCGUUUGGACUCGGAGAACAUUUGUAGUAUUUUUUAUAUUACUCAUGUUGAACUCAGAGUAUAUGAGUCCAAGAUGUGGCCCACUGUGCUAGGAUUUGAGCCUAGAAAGGUUAUUUAGAGGACUUGUGGACUGUCAGAUGCCCAUGGGAUGGGCAAGACAUCGACACACAGCUUGAUGGUCAUUAGUAGAGUGCUACAUCAUAUGCUAUGUUUCAUUUUCCUACCAUGGGGUGGACACCGAGAUGAGGUCUCCUAUUACAAGGCAUUCCUUAUAGAUUCUAUUCUAACUAGGAGAAGAAUCCAUGUGAGAUAUCUGAUGAUGAUGCACAUGAUUGCAUGUUGCGAGAACACGACUCGAGUAUUCCCCUAUGGUCGCUUCCUUUCUUGAGUAUUCAAGAAUAGAGGCCUUGACCUUAGUAGACAGACAGACUUUGAGGUCCCCAAUACAUAUGAGACAUUGAUGAUCAAUCUAUGGGGUGGAUGACAUUUGAGAAGGCUCCAAAUGGUUCUUGGAUUAGAAAAGCAGAAAGAACACAACCACAGGGAUAGAGAUAGGCACACUCUGGAGUUAAGGAAGAGACAGAGAUUAGAUAGAUGGAGGGUGGAGUAAACCCUCAAGAUGGCAUAGACCUUCAGAGUGGCCACCAGUAGAGAGGACUUGAGCUUGGUAUUCCCCCACUUUAAACAAAGAUUCUUUCACAGACCGAGGAUUUUCAAUUUGAGUCCACUUUCUUUGAGUCGAUGAUGACAUAGCCUGCUUUUAUAAAGAGAACAUCUACUCAGUCAUCAUACACUGAGCCCUCCUUAUUUGGACCAGUAUUCACCGAGCCCACCUAUAUUAAGAUACCACCUCCUCAGGCACCUCCUACUCCUGACCAUGCUUCUUGGAUGGAUUUAUCGGCUCAGAUUGACUCCCUUAGUACUCGUAUGGAGGAACUUGCAAUGGUCAAUGACACACAAUUUUACUUUAUGAAGGAUACAAUGGACUAGUAUUAGACUAGGUUCACUACUCAAUUUGAGUAUCUUUAGUAGAGGAUUGAUCGCAUGGAGUAGAGGAUUGAUCACAUUGAGGAUCACAUAGAGCGUCAACAUAAGGAGAUGAUGACCUACUUGCAUUUCGUGUUUCCAUAUCCACCUCCUCAACCUUGAUGACUAGUUGGGAACCCCUUUAUUCUUUUUUUAUGUUGCCAAAGAGUGAGAUAUUUUAGGAUCUAGGAAUAUCUAUGAGGGUAGAUAUAGAAGACUCAUACUGAUAGAUGUAUAUCAUUUUUUGUUUGGAUCAUAUAUUGCUUAUCUCUAAUUACUUUAGUUUGUUGGACAUAUGAUGCACUGACUGAUACAUUUGACAUGAUAUAUGAUAUGCUUAUAUAUUUGAUGACUUACAUUGGAUGUUCCUUGUUGCAAUACUUUCUAACAUGUCUUGAUCAUCGUGUUUUUAAUUUCUUAAAUAUUGAUUGUUGAUACAUGAUUGGUUUGAGGGGAGAUUUUUUUUUCCUAGAUAACCAAGGUUUUUUAUCAUAAAAAAUGGGAGAUUGUUAGCCCAAGGAUUCUCAUAAUCAUGUUUUGAUGAUAACAAACCAUGGUUAAGUUUCUAAUUGGUUUGAAUUAUAAAGAAUUUUAGGUAUUAGUUUGAAAAUUCAUCAAAUGACCCAAUGGAUGCAAGAUCAAGGAAAUUGGAAGACCUUUAAUCAUAAGAAACAUAUGUAAGAUGAAUGCAUGGGUGCACUUAGGAUUUUCAUAUCUUUUCAUGCAUCUUUAAAAACUCAGUUUAUGCAUUAAAGUUAUAUUUCCAUCAAAACCCGAGUUUUACCAAACGAACCUUAGGCAAAUCAUUUCAAAAUUGACACAAUAAUUUAUCUAAAGACCUUGACUAAGUGUUAGAAGAGAAAAUAAUAGAAAAAGAUAGGUUUUUCAGCCAAAAAUGGUGAACCGAUCGAGACACUAGCCAAUCAACUCAACUGACUAGGGUAUCAGUAGACCGGUUACACUAUCCGGUCGAUGUCCAGUCAAGAGAUACAAAGAAUCUUCUCUCUAUUCCAGAAUGCUUGUUUAACCAGUCAAAGUUAAACCUCAAUCGAUCGAGGUUGAACCUCAACCUAUCGAGAGGCGGUCAAGGGGCGAUCGAGGUCCAACGGUCACCUACCAAGCAUUAAAUGCUAACGACUAGUCAACCGGUGAAAUCGAAACUCGACCAGAUGAACCCCUAAUGACUAGUUUGGCAUUUUUACUAUAUAAAAAGGCUCAAAUCUUCAUUAUUUCAAGAGUUUAACCUUCCUAAAAAUUUCUUGAAUAUAUUUGAGCUUUUGUGAGAGUGUUUUUGAGUGCACAUUGUUCUAAAACUUGCAUAUCAUUAGUGCACCAUUCAAUCCUAAUUUUUCUUGUACAUUUGAGCCUAAAGUUUUGUAUUGGGAUUUUGUGAGAUUAUUUCUUCAUUUGUAAAUAUUUGAAAGGAAGAAUCUAAGUGUGAGGUAUCACUUGAGGGGUUAUUCAAGAAUGAGGUAUCUCUUGAAGAUUAUAAAGGGUGUUUGGAGCUUAAAGUUCAAGAGGGUGGAUUGAAACCAUAAUCCAAUCGUAUUGCUUGAAAGCUUGGUUUGGAAGCCUUGAAUUAGUGGAACCUCAAGCUUAAGAUUGAAGGUAGAGGAGAGUGGACGUAGGUCGGGUUGCAUCGAACCACUAUAAAAUCUUGUGUUUGCAUUCUCUUUUCCCUACUUUUUUUUACUUUAUAUGCAAUUUGUCUUUAUAUUAUUUUAUUAUAUAUUUGCAUAUAAUUAUCUUUUGCAUUUACAUAAUUUAAAUUUGUAAAAAAAAGACCAUCAACCUAUUCACCUCCCUCUAAGGUGAUUACUUUAAGUUAGAUUAGCCCGAUUUUUCUAACACCUUUGUAUAGCUCUACCAACAUCAAAGUCAUCUGGGCUUAACCACCCAUUCAUCUUAAAAAGACAAAGGCCUAUCCACUAGAUAUCUAGAAUCUAAUAAAGGUUGGAAGAAUGUAGCUCCAUAUGAACUCCUUUGACUAGUGAAAUGAUUGGGCCACCCAUCUCAUACCGCAUGUUUGAAUAUAACAUGUGUACCAAGGUUAGGCAAAAAAACUCUGAGCAAUUCACCAUAGAUAGCUAUCACAUCUUGGCGAAUAACUCCUCAAAUUGAAAAUAUGAUAAUUAGCCAAAAUAAAUAUUACAACUCGGAACCACUAUCUAGGCUGCAAACAAAUAAGUGUAUCACUGGUAGUACUCCUCCAUGGAUGCUAAGCUCUAGAUGUUAAAUCAAGCUUUUCUCUUAGCCUCAACUUUAAAACUCUCUAUAUAUAGGAUAGUUGCCUUAGACCUUUGAUGUUGUAGUAACUUUAUGGGGAGCCAUGACACUUUAGUACAUUCAUAGGAAUAAAGGGAAAAGUCCAAGAAAUUGAUAAAAUAAAAAAAAACAAAGGAAAAAGUGGAAAACGGCCACAGUUCAAGAAAUGAAAGGCAAAAACAUAGAGUUCCAAGGAAAAAUAUCUCAAAAUGGCCUACAUAAGAGUUUUGGAGAAACCCUAAAGAGAGAAAUUGGUUUAGACCCUAGGGUUCAAACCCUCUGCUGGUUGAGCAAUUGGUUCAACUAGUCCUCAAUCGGUUGAGGCUCUACCUCAACCAGCUACACCACAACUAUUGUAUGUUAAGGGUGCACAAAGUGCGUCAUGAUUAGUCAAUGCCCAAUUGGCUCAACUAGUUCCUUGGGCCCUCAAUUGGUUGCAAUGUGAAGUGCUUAAGAGACUUGAUUUGAGGUAUGGAACCUUUAGAAACUUGUGUAAACCUUCUUAAAGAUAAGUUUAAAAUAAAUUUGGCUUAAGGUUUUAAUUUAAAACAAAAAUUUAUUCAAUGCUUUGGUAAAAAUGAUCGUUUUAAGUCUAAGGAAUGAUGAAAUUGAAUUUUUAAGUGCAUGAAAAUGAUUUAGACAUUUGAAAGUUGAGUUUAGGUUUGGAUAUUGAUCUUCACGGUAUUGAUCUUCUUCCAUUAUUCUUUGGGUUUUCUUUGAAUUUUUGUAAGUAAACCUGAAAACUUAAUUUGAUCUAAAUCAUUAGUAACUUAGUCUUAUUUUGUAAUCACCAAAAUUCAAUUAGAAGAACCUUUGAGCUAACACCUAUGGUGAUAGCAAAGACAAAGUUAUCUUGCUUAUGGAUAUAUAAAUGACCUUGAUAAAAGGGCAUUUGCAUGUUGUAAAAACGUAGUAGGAACCAAGAGUCUCUGAAUGAGUCAAGGGACAAGUGACAAAUGAUUGAAACUUUCGGAUAUGCUAAAGCCAUUUGAAACUAAAACUUGAGUUUCAAUUUAAAAGAGUUUGAAUUUGAAUUGAACAUUUGUUAUGAACAAAUGGACAUUGUCACCAAGGUUUUGUUGAAAUAGGCUUUCACUCACCCUUGAGGCAAGAUGGGUCUCCAUGCACUAGCAUUCCCACUUAGCUUGAGCGAGGUGUUAAUGAAGAUAAUCUUAGUAUUCACGAAAGAACGUGAUUGACAAAUCAAACCAACUCAAUAACCACAAUAUUUAUCGACAAUUCAACCCAGAUUAUAAAAAACAAUUCAAUGCAGCAUGUGCUGAUUCUAUUCUCUUUACUGUUGUUAUCAUGAUAUGUAUUUUCAUAAUUUUCCUUUUAGUACAAGAACUUGUUUGUUUAUACAAAUAAGAUUGUAUAUUCUUGAUAAUAUAAUUUAGAUCUUCCAUAACCAAAUUCUGAAAAAACUUUUCAUUAUUUCGUGUCAUGAUCGAUUACUGCAAAACUAACUUAUAUUUUAAUAUUUUUUUCCUUUUUUUUUUUUUUAAUAAUUUGGUCCAUUAUGUUUUAUAAUUUAAAAUUUUCAUUUUAAAAAUUGUAUUGUAACUUGUUUGAUUUAAUUUAACCAAAAAGUUAAAUUCUUUAACCUCUUUACAAACAAUGUAUGUAUGAAUUUUUUUUUUUUCCUAUUUAGUAUGUAAGAGCAUUUAAAUAUUAAUUCAUCUUUUUAAGAGCACUUAACAAAAGUAAGUUUUUUCAACUUGAAUAAAGCUUUGAUAUUCCAAUCAACUACUAUAACAUUUUAAGAUUGGCCAAAAGGAACAUAGUGUUCUAGGUAAGUUGAUUGUGUGAAAGGGUUGAAUGCAUAUGAGACUUUAAUUUCGUAUUGAAGAUUUUUUUUAAAAAAAAAUCUAAUUUAGGUUUAUUUUGAAAUAUUUUUCGAAACAAUUUUGAAAAAAAUGAUUAUUGAAAAUAGUUUUCAGAAAAUGCUUAUGAUAUUUUUUAGAAUAAAAGUCUAUUUCAAAACUUAAAAUAUUCUUAAUUUGUUUUUUGUAUUUCAAAUUUUUUCUUAAAAAUAAUUAAAAUAUAUUUUAAAAAAUAAUUAGAUUAUUCUUAUUUUCAAUCAUUCUCCAUAUUUUUUCAAUUAUUUUUAAAAAUAAUCCAAAAUUAUUAAUAUAUAUAUAUAUAUAUAUAUAUAUAUAUAUAUAUAUAUAAUACCUUAUUUUUGGAACUAGUUUUCAAAACACUAAUUUUUAUUAAAAAAUUAUCAAACUUCUUUUUGAAUUUGAAAAAUAUUUUCUAUUUAAUAGAAUAAAAAAAUUAGAAAUAGUUAUCAAACUAUAAAGUUUUGUUUCUUUUUUUCAAUGUUUUUAGGUGGCAUUGAAUAAAAAUAUCAUUUUAAAUUUUAAAAUAUAAAAAUUAAAAUUUUAAACAUAUUUCAUCAUUUCAUCAUUAAUACUGAUAAAUUAAAUUAUGAUAAGGAUAACAGAAGAUUUAUUAAAAUUUCUAAUGUUAUUAAACAUGUUUAACUUAUAAUUAUUUUUUAAAAUAAUAUUUUAUUAUUUAAAGCUGUUUAAAUUUUAAUAGUUAUAUAUUUUAUCAUUUUCAAAAUUAUUAGUUGUUUAUUUAUACUAUUUUGAUGUUUAUUAUCCUAUAAUAUUUGAUAAAUUACAAAUCUUUAUAUUUAUUUUUAAGUUAUGAAAUUAUAUUACAUAUAUUUUAAAUACAUUUAUAUACACCCUUGUCUUUUUCCCAAUAAAGACCCAAUUAAAUCCUCAUUCCUCAUCCUUCCAUGCCUUUUAAGCAGGUUCGUCGAUUCACCUGAUUAGGUGAACCGAACCAGGUUAAGGUCCGGGAUUCGGGUUUGAUCCGAUUUUUAAAAUAUAGACUGAACAAAGAAUUGUCCUUAUCCUCUUUCCCCUUUUCGGCGAAGACUUGAGUCAUUUGCCAGAUUUAAGUCGUGAAGGUCUACAGAUUCAGUCUCCUAAGAAAUUGGGCAUGAAUCGCAGCCACCAUUCUUGACUUUUGCUUUGUUUCGCAUGAAUGCGCAUGUACUAUCUAAUCAGACUGGGGACAACACAUUUACCACCAUUUUUGCCCGGGAGACUCGGUUUGUUGGGUCAACGGUGGAAUCCAAGUCUACUGAGAAAUAAUAUAAAUAUUAUAAAUAUAAUCUGAACAAAAUAAGUACAUGGUGAUUUUUUAUAUUUAAAAUAAAAUAUUAUAUUACAAGCAUUAAAUAAGUUUUAUGUAUGGGAUCGUUUUUAUAAAUAGAUAUAUUUUUAAAUUUUUAUAAUAUAAAUAUUAGUUAUUUUUUAUUGUUUUUAUUUGUUUUCUAAGUAUUAUUUAAAAAAAUAUACAAAUAUAUAAAAUAAUUAAAAAUAAAAUAUUAGAUAUAAAAAUAAUUUUUAAAACAUAUCUAAAAAUAUUAAAAAUAGGUUAAAAAUAUUUUAGGUUUCAAAUAGAUUUUUAUUUUUUAAAACAUCUUACAACAAUUUUUAAAAAUUAUUUUUUAGAAUUAUUUUAAAAAACAAUUAUUAGAGAGAAACUUUAUUUUUUAAAAUAAUUUUUCUUUAAUCAAAAUCUUUUUAAGGAGAGAAACUGAGGAAGAAAGGUAGGACUUUUCUCAAUAGUACAGCAAUUUAAAAAAGUUAUGCUUAAAUUACUGUACUGGCAGAAGUUAUUACAAAUAUAGGGUAGUUUUUGCCACAUAGGAGAGAGGAGAGAGGAAAGAGGAGAGAGGAGAGAGGAGAGAGGAGAGAGGGUGAGAGAAGAGAGGAAAGAGGAGAGAGGAGAGAGGAGAGAGGGUGAGAGAGAGGAGAUAGGAGAGAGGAGAGAGGAGAGAGGGUGACUUAAAAAAAAAGCAAACUCGUCUCUUGAAGAGACGAGUUCCAUGAAAGAAGAGAGGAAAGAGGAGAGAGGAGAGAGGAGAGAGGGUGAGAGAGAGGAGAGAGGAGAGAGGAGAGAGGAGAGAGGGUGUGUAAAAAAAAGCAAACUCGUCUCUUGAAGAGACGAGUUCCAUGAAAAAAAAAAAUAUAUAAUUUUAAAAAAAUUCUAAACAAUUAUUCAAGGGAACUCGUCUCUUGAAGAGACGAGUUCCAUGUAAAAAAAUCCAAGAGACGAGUUCCAUGUAAAAAAAAAAAUAUUUUUUAUUUUAAAAAAUCCCAAAUUUAAAAAAAAAAAUUCCAAAAAAAAAAAAAUUCCAAAGGGAACUCGUCUCUUGAAGAGACGAGUUCCAUGUAAAAAAAAAUAUAUUUUUUAAAAAAUAUAAUUUUUAUUUUAAAAAAUCCCAAAUUAAAAAAAAAAAAAAUCCAAAGGGAACUCGUCUCUUCAAGAGACGAGUUCCAUGUAAAAAAAAAUANNNNNNNNNNNNNNNNNNNNNNNNNNNNNNNNNNNNNNNNNNNNNNNNNNNNNNNNNNNNNNNNNNNNNNNNNNNNNNNNNNNNNNNNNNNNNNNNNNNNNNNNNNNNNNNNNNNNNNNNNNNNNNNNNNNNNNNNNNNNNNNNNNNNNNNNNNNNNNNNNNNNNNNNNNNNNNNNNNNNNNNNNNNNNNNNNNNNNNNNNNNNNNNNNNNNNNNNNNNNNNNNNNNNNNNNNNNNNNNNNNNNNNNNNNNNNNNNNNNNNNNNNNNNNNNNNNNNNNNNNNNNNNNNNNNNNNNNNNNNNNNNNNNNNNNNNNNNNNNNNNNNNNNNNNNNNNNNNNNNNNNNNNNNNNNNNNNNNNNNNNNNNNNNNNNNNNNNNNNNNNNNNNNNNNNNNNNNNNNNNNNNNNNNNNNNNNNNNNNNNNNNNNNNNNNNNNNNNNNNNNNNNNNNNNNNNNNNNNNNNNNNNNNNNNNNNNNNNNNNNNNNNNNNNNNNNNNNNNNNNNNNNNNNNNNNNNNNNNNNNNNNNNNNNNNNNNNNNNNNNNNNNNNNNNNNNNNNNNNNNNNNNNNNNNNNNNNNNNNNNNNNNNNNNNNNNNNNNNNNNNNNNNNNNNNNNNNNNNNNNNNNNNNNNNNNNNNNNNNNNNNNNNNNNNNNNNNNNNNNNNNNNNNNNNNNNNNNNNNNNNNNNNNNNNNNNNNNNNNNNNNNNNNNNNNNNNNNNNNNNNNNNNNNNNNNNNNNNNNNNNNNNNNNNNNNNNNNNNNNNNNNNNNNNNNNNNNNNNNNNNNNNNNNNNNNNNNNNNNNNNNNNNNNNNNNNNNNNNNNNNNNNNNNNNNNNNNNNNNNNNNNNNNNNNNNNNNNNNNNNNNNNNNNNNNNNNNNNNNNNNNNNNNNNNNNNNNNNNNNNNNNNNNNNNNNNNNNNNNNNNNNNNNNNNNNNNNNNNNNNNNNNNNNNNNNNNNNNNNNNNNNNNNNNNNNNNNNNNNNNNNNNNNNNNNNNNNUCUCUUCAAGAGACGAGUUCCCUUUGGAAUUGUGUUUUUUUUUUUUUUUUUUUAAUUUGGGAUUUUUUUUUUUAAUAUAUAUAUUUUUAAAAAAAUAUUUUUUUUUUUACAUGGAACUCGUCUCUUCAAGAGACGAGUUCCCUUUGGAAUUUAUUUUUGUUUUUUUUAAAUUUGGGAUUUUUUAAAAUAAAAAAUAUAUUUUUUUAAAAAUAUUUUUUUUUUUACAUGGAACUCGUCUCUUCAAGAGACGAGUUCCUUUUGCAAUUUUUUUUUUUUUUUUUUUAAAUUUGGGAUUUUUUAAAAUAAAAAAUAUAUUUUUUAAAAAAUAUAUUUUUUUUUACAUGGAACUCGUCUCUUCAAGAGACGAGUUCCCUUUGGAAAUUUUUUUUUUUUUUUUAAAUUUGGGAUUUUUUAAUAAAAAAUAUAUUUUUUAAAAAAUAUUUUUUUUUUCCUAAAGGAACUCGUCUCUUGAAAUUUUAUAUUUAAAAAAAAAUAUUUUUUUUUAGAUGAGAACUCGUCUGUUAGGAAUUUUGAGGAAUUGUUUUUUUUUUUUAAUAUAUAUAUAUUUAAAAAAAUAUUUUUUUUUUUACAAGGGAACUCGUCUCUUCAAGAGACGAGUUCCCUUUGGAAUUAAAUUUUUUUUUUUUUUUUUUUUAAUUUGGGAUUUUUUUUUAAUAUAUAUAUAUUUUUAAAAAAAUAAUUUUUUUUUUACAUGGAACUCGUCUCUUCAAGAGACGAGUUCCCUUUGGAAUUUUUUUUUUUUUUUUUUAAUUUGGGAUUUUUUAAAAUAAAAAAUAUAUUUUUAAAAAAAUAUAUUUUUUUUUACAUGGAACUCGUCUCUUGAAGAGACGAGUUCCCUUUGGAAUUGUGGUUUUUUUUUUUUUUUUUUUUUUAAUUGGGGAUUUUUUUUUUUUAAUAUAAAAGANNNNNNNNNNNNNNNNNNNNNNNNNNNNNNNNNNNNNNNNNNNNNNNNNNNNNNNNNNNNNNNNNNNNNNNNNNNNNNNNNNNNNNNNNNNNNNNNNNNNUUUUAAAAAAAAAAAAGAUAUUUUUAAAAAAUAUAUUUUUUUUAAAAAGGAACUUGUUUUUUGAAAAGACGGGUUCCCUUUGGAAAUGGGUUUUUUUUUUUUUUUUUUUUUUUAAUUUGGGAUUUUUUUUUUUUAAAAUAAAGAGACGAGUUCCCUUUGGAAUUUAUUUAUUUUUUUUUUAAAUUUGGGAUUUUUUAAAAUAAAAAAUAUAUUUUUUUUUACAUGGAACUCGUCUCUUCACUUUGGAAUUGUGUGUGUGUUUUUUUUUUUUUUUUUAAAUUUGGGAUUUUUUAAAAUAAAAAAUAUAUUUUUUUUUACAUGGAACUCGUCUCUUCAAGAGACGAGUUCCCUUUGGAAUUGUGUGUGUGUUUUUUUUUUUUUUUAAUUUGAGAUUUUUUUUUUAAUAUAUAUAUUUUUAAAAAAAUAUUUUUUUUUUUACAUGUAACUCGUCUCUUCAAGAGACGAGUUCCCUUUGGAUUUUUUUUUUUUUUAAUUUAGGAUUUUUUUAAAAAAAAUAUUCUUUUUUACCUGGAACUCGUCUCUUGAAGAGACGAGUUCCCUUUGGAAUUUUUUUUUUUUUUAAUUUGGGAUUUUUUAAAAUAAAAAAUAUAUUUUUUAAAAAAUAUUUUUUUUUUUACAUGGAACUCGUCUCUUCAAGAGACGAGUUACCUUUGGAAUUUUUUUUUUUUUUUAAAAAAAAAUUUGGGAUUUUUUAAAAUAAAAAAUAUAUUUUUUUUUACAUGGAACUCGUCUCUUCAAGAGACGAGUUCCCUUUUUGGAAAUUUUUUUUUUUUUUUUUAAAUUUGGGUUUUUUUAAAUUAAAAAAUAUAUUUUUAAAAAAAUAUAUAUUUUUUUUACAUGGAACUCGUCUCUUCAAGAGACGAGUUCCCUUGAAUAAUUGUUUAGAAUUUUUUUAAAAUUAUAUAUAUAUUUUUUUUCAUGUAACUCGUCUCUUCAAGAGACGAGUUUGCUUUUUUUUACACACCCUCUCUCCUCUCUCCUCUCUCCUCUCUCCUCUCUCCUCUUUCCUCUCUUCUUUCAUGGAACUCGUCUCUUCAAGAGACGAGUUUGCUUUUUUUUUUACAGUCACCUUCUCUCCUCUUUCCUCUCUUCUCUCACCCUCUCUCCUCUCUCCUCUCUCCUCUUUCCUCUCUCCUCUCUCCUAUGUGGCAAAAACUACCCUAUAUUUGUAAUAACUUCUGCCAGUACAGUAAUUUAAGCAUAACUUUUUUAAAUUGCUGUACUAUUGAGAAAAGUCCAAGGUAGGUAUAUGAUUGUAAUAAAGAGAUGAUUGAUCAUUUUGGACAAUUAAAACACGGAAUUAUUUUGAAUUGGAAAAUUGUGAUUUCUUCUAAGUUAAAAUCCAUACAUUCCCUCGUAGCAAAAACAACUUAAUGAUCUCUGUGGUAUAAAUAAAAUUUAUCUAAACGAGAGCGAACAAAAGUUGGCAUGAGAUAUUUUUCUUCAUAAAAAAGAAAAAUGCAUCAAAAUAAAUAUAUUACUUGUCAUGUCCAUGUCAAAUAGCGGAGAAAGUUUUUAGUCGUAUAAAUGUACGUUUUGAUUUGUUUAGGUAGGGCCGUUACAUUACUCAUAUGGCAUUUUCAGCAACUAUUCUAAAGAAAUUUUAGGAGAAAACUCUACUCAGUAAAUAGCAACUAUACAACUAUGACUGCUGUUAGAGUUCUCCAGAAAAGGACGCUGUCCAACGUAGUUGCCUGGAGGAUCAUAGUUGCAAGUGACAAACCACCCACCCGUGUUGCACUGAACCCUAGCGCACCCAAGGUGCAAUGAGUUGCGCCAAAUAACUUUAAUAUACUGCAGGCAUUCCCCACCAACGCAUGAGUUGGAGUUGUAGUCAUAAUAAGGCUUCUCCCCCACCCACAUGUUCACUGCAUCGGUGCCUGUCAAUGAAGGGGUGCCCCAGGCAAUGUUCUCACCGUAAGGCCCACUUGAAUGCACUAAAUUGCAAUCGCCAAUCCUCUGGUUAGCAUAGUUCUGGGCGUAGGCAGCUACAGUGUCAUUCCAUGUCAUAGAUUCAACACCAACUUCUGCACGCGCGGCAUUGUGAGCAUCGAGGAAGUCUUGUGGAGAGUUUUGGGCAUAGGAGAUGUGAGCAAGGACUAACCCCAUGAAACCAACAACUAGUGAAGAUGAGAUCUUACACAACCCCAUCUUUUAGUUUCUUAAUCUGUGUAUGCAAAGUGAGAGUUGAGAAAUGAGCAUAUAUGGUUUGAAGGGAAUGAGAAGAACUUGCAAUUUGGUCAGUCAAAAGCAUCAUUAAUAAAGCUUACAAGCAAUCUUUAGGCCACCAAAACUGGGCGCCCAUGGGCUGUUACGUGUGAAGGACGUUGAGAAAAGGAAAAUUCUACGAAGUGGGUACGUACCUCCAAAAUUCCUGGCCGUUGGAUCAAAAGAUUCCAAUCAAGACCAUCCAAAUGAAAAAUAGAUUAAAAUAAAAAAUGCAAAAGAAGGGUGCAAAAGGUUGCCAGUAGAUAUGCCCCCCUUUAUCUCCCCUCUCUCAAUUUUUGUCACACAUGUCAACAUCAAUUUCAAAAUUUUAAAUUAUUAAUUCUACAUUUGUUUUAUCUAUUUAUAACAAAUAUUAUCUUAGAAAGUAAAUUUCAAUCAAUUAUUAUAUUUAAGUAAAAGUUAUUACUAUAUUUUGAUCUAUCUUACAAUGUUUUUCAAUAUAAUAGGAAAGUGUAAAUACAACUAUCCAAUUACAAAUGCCCUCCAAAAUUUAUUUAAAAUCUAUAGAUUUUUUUUAUUUUUUUAUUUUACUUUAAAUAUUAAUAAAAUUGUUAAUUCGUAUAAUUUCACUUAGAAUUCAUAAAAAAAAAUAUGAGGAAAAAAUAAAAAAUAAAAAUAUUAAAAUUCUUACCCUCACUUAAUUUUAAGAAAUUUUUUUUUCAACUUCAAAUGCCAAUUAAAUUGUUUUUUCAUACUAAUUUCAAUUAGGAUUUUUGAUAAGUAGGAGGGUACGAAGAAGUGUUAUUCGUCAUUUUUAUCAAUUGUAAGUAUAAUUAAUAUUAAUAAGCACUAUUAGUACUAUUUGAAGUAGACAAAAAUUGGUUAAAAUUAAAACAAAUAGAAAAUUUGGAGGUACAAAGAAUAUGGGGAAAAGUAUAGAGAAUGUGAGGAAUAAUAGUGUUUAUUCCUCCCAUUUUUGUACCUCUCCAAUUUUGUAAUUUUUCUACUUUUAAAUUUUUAUUUUUUUAUUUUUUUUUUGUAGUAUUCAUACCCUCUCCAAUUUGGUAGUUUUUUACUUUUAAUUUUUUUUAUUUAUAAUUUCGAUCAAAUUUAAGUAUAAUUAGUAUGAAUAAAUGCUAAGAAAAAAAAAAUCUUAAAAUUAAAACAAGCGUAAAUUUGGAGGAUACGAAGAAUGUGGGAAAAUAAUAUUCACAUUCUUCACACCCUCCAAAAUUUUCAAUUUUCUAAUUUUAAGAAUUUUUUCCACUUGAAAUAACAAUUAUAUUGUGUAUACAUACUAAUUACAUUUAAUGAUGAUAAAAAUUAUGUGCAAACAAAUUUAAAACGAAAAAUACUAAAACAUUGGGAAGGGACGUAGAAUAUGAGACCCUUUAGAUUUUUCAUUUUUUUGAAUUUUAAGAAUUUUUUAAAAAUUUAUUUUAUUUUUUAUAAUAGUUAUAAUUGUCAUUUUUUAUAUUAUUAGAAUAUAAUUCAAAUUUUUAUUAUUCAUAGCCUAAAGUUAUAUAAAAGAAAAAAGGGAUAGUAAAUUAAUAAAUGUCAAAACUCGUAUAGGUAGAAACUAUAUAAUUAAAAUUUUAAACAUAUUUCAUCAUUAAUACUGAUAGAUUACAUUAUGAUAGGAUAACAUGAAGAUUUAUUAAAAUUUUAGUAUUUCUAAUGUUAUUAAACAUAUUUAACUUAUAGUUAUUUUUUUAAAUGAGAUUUUAUUAUUUAAAGUUGUUUAAAUUUUAAUAGUUAUAUAUUUUAUCAUUUUCAAAUUUAUUAAUUGUUUAUUUAUACUAUUUUGAUGUUUAUUAUCCUAUAAUAUUUGAUAAAUUAUAAAUCUUUAUAUUUAUUUUUAAGUUAUGAAAUUAUAUUACAUAUAUUUUAAAUACAUUUAUAUACACCUGUGGACCCCGCAUUUCGGCUCAUGCGUUUCCCACUCGAUGGCGAGCUCGAUUUUAAUUUGAAAAAUUGAUCUUUAUUGAUUAAGAAAAAUUGACUUGGAGUCGCCACUUAUUUUUAUUUUAUUUUUAAAGGGUAAACAAAAUAAGAAAGAAAAACCCUAAGUGUGACUCCUUGUUUUGGAAAAGGUGGUCUGUGAAAAACCGGAUCGGGUUCGGGGGUCAGGUUACUUAUCGGGAAGGUACGGUAGAGACCGUAGCACCCCUCUAAGUCCCUAAAUUCGGGUCUCUACUAAUAAAGUGAAACUGACGUGGCAAUCGAAUAAGAAAGUCAAUGGAUACUCACAUCAAUCAUGCAUAUAUGAGAAUCAGAAUAUGUAUACUGAAUGAUCAGAAUGAGUGAAUGCGUACCUGGGCAGCAAAUAGCAAACAGCAACGCGCUAUCAUGGAAUGAGGUUAGUGAAUAAACGCAAAAUGAUUAUAUGUAUAUCAAGGAACAAAGUAAAUCGAUCACACAUGGCAAAUGAAUCGAUCAAUCAGUCAAUCAAUCAUGGAAUCUCAUAUGUGGGACCCCCACCAAAGCCCAUUCUAUUUUGCACGAAUUAGUCCCACAAAUUCCAUUAUUCUGGAAUUAUGAAAAUAGCAUUCGUGCUUAUAUAAAAUCAAGAGAAACCGAAGAUUAUUUGAAACCCGAAGAGAAUUAAAACUGUUAGAGAGAAAAUUGGAUUUUUGAAAUUUAUUUGAAAAUUGGAGUAUUGGGAAUUAAAUUUAAGAGUUGGAAUUUUAGGAUGUCAAACUUGAAAGAAAUUAGAAUUUUAGAAAUCGAAAAUUAAGUUUGGAAAUUGGGAUUCAAAAAAAUGUUUAAAAAUGGAAUUUUGAAAUAAAUAAAUGGAAUAAUAAUAAUAAUAAGGACGAAAAUAAUGAUUAAAUAAAUGAAUGGGAAUGCUGGAAUUUUUGAAAUUGGAAAUUAGAUUUGAAGGUCGGAAUUGUUUAAAGAAUGAAUUUUUGAAAUAAAAUAAAUAGAAUAAUAAUAAUGACGAAAGUGAUGAUUAAAUGAAUGAACGGAAUUUUCGGAAUUUCUUCGUAUUGGAAAUUAGAUUCGGAAGUCGGAAAAUUGGAACUGCUUCAUGAUAGAAUUUUAAAAUAAGCAAAUAAAUAAAUGGAAUAAUAAUAAUAACGAAAAAAUAAUGAUUAAAUAAAUAAACCUGAAUUUUGGAAAUUUUGAAAUUGGAAAUUAAAUUCGGAAGUCGGAAAUUUUAAAGAAAUGUUUAAAAUAGAAUUUUAGAAUGAAUAAAUAAACUAUUAGUGAUAAAUUAAUGUGAAUGUGAGAAUUUUUCGAGAUUAGGAAUUUAAUUCGAAAAUCAAAAGUUUUAAAGAAUUGAUUUAAAAUGGAGUUUUAAAAUAAAUGAAUAAAAUACUAAUGAUUACAUAAAUUAAUGGGAGUACGAGAAUUUUCGGGAUUAAGAAUUUAAUUCGGAAAUUAGAAGUUUUAAAGAAUUGAUUUAAAAUGGAAUUUUGAAAUAAAUGAAUGAAAUAUUAGUGAUUAAAUAAAUUAAUGUGAAUAUAGGAAAUUUUGGGAUUAGGAAUUUAAUGCGGAAAUCAGAAGUUUGAAAAAAAUUUGUUUAAAGAUAGAAUUUUUAAAAUAAAUAAAUAAAUGGGAUAAUAAUAAUAAUGACGAAAAUAAUAAUUAAAUAAAUGAACGUGAAUAGUGGAAUUUUUUUAAAUCGAAGAUUAAAUUUGAAAGUUGGAAUUGUUUGACGGUGGAAUUUUAAAAUAAAUGAAUGAAUAAAUAGAAUAAGAAUAAUCGCAAAAAUAAUAAUUAUUAAAUAUGUAAAUACGGGAAGACCUAAAAAGAAUCUAAAGAUGAAAUAUUAGAGAGUUGAAUUACUUAAAAACUAGAUUUUAAAAAAAAAACAAUUUUUAAAAUUGGUGGGCUUUGGAAGUGGGCCAAGCAAGGUGGCCAUGCAAAGGUGGAGGAAAUAGGGUUGAUGGGUAUUUGGAAAAUGGGUAUGUGGUGGGCUUUGGAAGUGGGCCAAGAAAGGUGGCCAUGCAAAGGUGGGUUGAUGGGUAUUUGGAAAAUGGGUAUGUGGUGUAGAGAGAUAACCGGGUAGGGAGUAGAAAAUGAAUGAGUUAGUGAGAAAAUGAGGGCUUGGUGGUAGUGGGUAUGAAGAUGGGAGGAUGAAAGACGGGUUUAAUAGGUAUGCAUGGAGAUGACUUAGAGAGAGAAAAGGGUAUGAAGAUGGGUAUGGGGGGGAUGAGAAUGGUGGUGAGUAAAAAAAAAGAUGGGUAUGGAGAUGGUUGGCAUGAUGGAUGGAUAUGAGUUGUAGGGAAGAUGGGUAUGGGGGGUGAGUGUGUUUAUGCAUGCAUGAGGGUUGGUGGUAUGGAGAAAUGAGAAGAAUGAAAGCGGGUAGCGAGAGAAACGGGAAAUGGGUUUAUAUUCUUGUACAUGGGUGGCAUGGGUGAUGAGAUAUGAGUAUGAAGGUGAUAGGAAGAUGUAUGCACGAGAUUGGUGGUAUGGAUAUAAGGGAGAAAUGGGCAUGGCAUGGCCAUGCAAGAGUGGGGAGAAAUGGGUUUGGCUGGUAUUUGGGAAAUGUCAUGAAGGGUGCAUGGUGUGGUGAUGAGAGAGAAAAGGUGGUGAGAAAAAAAAUGAAGGCUUAGAGAGAGGAAUGGGUUUAAGGGGGGUGUAGUUAAAUGAGGAUAUGUAUGGGAUGAAAAAUGAAGUAUGGAUGAUGGGCUUGGGAGGCCCGUGGUGUAGAGAGAGAGAGUGUGUGGUGAUGGGUAUAUGAAGGUUUAGGUGGGCUAUAGUGAGGGUGAACACGUUAAUGAAUGGAUAUGGAAGACAUGGGAUGAGAUAAGUGGAAUGGGUAGUGGGAUGAUGACCUUGUGCAUGAAAGAGAGGUUGAAGGGAUGGGUGAGUGACUAUGCAUGUGCAAGGAUAGGCUGCGGGUUGGUGGAGUGAGUAGGGUGGUGCAUUUCAAUGACGGUGAGCAUGGGCACGGGUAUGAAGGGCAGUGUUGACUUGUAGGAUGAGGACUCCCUUUCUAACAGCUUCCUGCAGCUUUUCAGCUAUUCCGGUUGGAGCAGAGACACUAGGGAGUUUACUUGAUGACAUAACCCAAUAAAUUGCCUUACAACAUUCAGCAUACCCACAAACAACCAUGAGCCUUCAUUAACCAACACAAGUAACUUCUCCACCAAGAUUAAUUACACCAAUGCACUGAAAAGUUUGACAAUCUCGCAUCCUCAUAGUCUCAUCUUCACUUCCAGUAUAAGGCUUAUCCAACCCAGACGGCAAAGUAAUCCCAAAUACAAAACUUCUAUUCAACUCCAUGGCCAAUAUUUUGGACUAAUAAGCUAGAGCACAUAUAUAAUCACAGAAGCCCUCCAUUGAGUUCAUGUCUCUUCACAAACUCACUUCUUCAGUCUCGGCAAUUUGGCCAUUGGUCACCUCAGUCCCACCACCAACAAGAAACAGAGCAAUACAUAGAAAGGAGAAUCAACAGGAAACGAAACAUGAUCUUUAUAUAAUCGGGUUCAGGGAUGAAACUAUACAUCAGAUACUUAAUGAGGGAGUCGAGGAAACCAAGAUAAAGUCAAACAAAGCAUAUAUGCACACAAACAGAUUCAGGAAAACAGGCCAGUAAUCCUAGAUGCCCAAACCUAUCAAUGAAUCACACCCAGGAAUAUGCAGAAAGAUUUAGCAGAAUAGUGUGAUAACAGGAAAAAGUGAAAAUCAUAGGGACGUUACCUGGAAGUUUCUUCCUCGAGCAGAGUAUGCUUGUCCUCAAGCACUCUCUCUCCCUCCAAAAUAUCUCACCCGGCCAUCCCCAGCAUCACACUUCUCCCGCUCCAAAAAAUCAUUGUAUAGAAACCUCCGAAACGUUUUUUUUUCACCCCUCUCCGGCUCGCUCUCGUCUGAAUAUCUCCCACACGGACGUCCUCUGCCUCCAGAAAAGCCCCCCGUCUCCUCUGCAGAUCUCCCCUUCUUUUCUUCCUAUCUAGCCUCUUUUUUCUUUUUUUUUUUCUCUGUUCCUGUCUUCCUGCGCAAGCCAGCCAUCCUACUGCUACACAUCCCAUCUGCCGCCCCCCAGAGCAGCCCACUCGAGAGCCGUCAGAGAAAACCGCAAAAAAAUAAUCAUAAUCCCCCGAAAGCUCUGCUCUUCGGGUGGGGGGGUCUACAACACCCUUGUCUUUUUCCCAAUAAAGACCCAAUUAAAUCCUCAUUCCUCGUCCUUCCAUGCCUUUUAAGCAGGUUCGUCGAUUGACCCUAUUAGGUGAACCGAACUAGGUUAAGGUCCGGGAUUCGGGUUUGAUCCGAUUUUUAAAAUAUAGACUGAACAAAGAAUCAAUGUUUUAAAAACCGGACCGGUCAUUGAACCGAAAAAGUUACCGGUUCACGGUUCACUGGUCGGACCGCCGGUCGAACCGCUAUCGAACCGGUGACGUCAUAAAUAUAUAUUUUAUUAUUUUUUAUAAUAUAAAAAUUAAAAAAUUAAUAAAUUCUAUGUAAAUUUUGAUAGCAUCUACUUUGUUUAUUGAGUAACUUGAGUUUUGUCACAAAAUUUUUUACCUGUAGAAGUCAUCAAUUAUCAUAUAUGAUAUUUAUAACACAAUAUAAGAUAUUAUACAUUCAUAAUGUCAAUAAACUCAAUAUUUAUCAAAUAAUCAAACCAUUACUAUCCUAUAAUAACCAAAUUAUCAAAGAGUUGUUAACUUAACACAUUGUCCAUAACAAAUAAUACAAAUGUCAAUCAUAGGUCCACAACACUUAAAUAAUUACUCAAAAUAAAAACAUAACAUGUCAAUGUUUGAAUAUUCAUGAAGAUUUUUGCAUACUAAUAAAUAUAAAAUUCAUGUCUUCAUUUAUUUUGGAAAUUGGAAUAUGGAGAUUGAAAAUGAGCAUUUGGAAAACCAAAAAAAAAAUUAAAAUAAUUUGAACCGGUUUUUUCCCUCAGAACCGGCCGGUUCGUCCGGUUCACCGGUUGGACCGCCGGUUCAAACGGUCCAAUCCCGGUUCGGUCUCCAUCCGGUCUAAUGACCGGACCGAACCGGAACGAUGACCGGUUGGCGGUCCAACCGGUCGGACCGGCCGGUCCGGUCCGGUUUUUAAAACCAUGCAAAGAAUUGUCCUUAUCCUCUUUUCCCUUUUCGGCGAAGACUUGAGUCAUUUGCCAGAUUUAAGUCGUGAAGGUCUACAGAUUCAGUCUCCUAAGAAAUUGGGCAUGAAUCGCAGCCACCAUUCUUGACUUUUUGCUUUGUUUCGCAUGAAUGCGCAUGUACUAUCUAAUCAGACUGGGGACAACACAUUUACCACCAUUUUUGCCCGGGAGACUCGGUUUGUUGGGUCAACGGUGGAAUCCAAGUCUACUGAGAAAUAAUAUAAAUAUUAUAAAUAUAAUCUGAACAAAAUAAGUACAUGGUGAUUUUUUUAUAUUUAAAAUAAAAUAUUAUAUUACAAGCAUUAAAUAAGUUUUAUUUAUUGGAUCGUUAUUAUAAGUAAAUAUAUUUUUAUAUUAAUAAGUAAUUCUGGUAUUACUUAUAAGCAUAUUAGACCGUGUUAUCACACCAUCAUAAAAAAAUAAAAAUGAAAAAUUAGACAAAGAAAAUGAAGGAAAAAAGAAGAAGAUGAAAAAUAGAAAAUAAGGGUAAUGUCACGUUGAAUAAGGGGUGUUUGUUAAAAUUUAAUAGUUAUUAAAUAAUGAUUUAAGUUGAUUUUAAGUUAAAUUAUAUUUAAAUUAUUGACUUAAAACUUAUUAUUUAAUUAUUAUUUUAAGUAUUAAGACUGUUUCAUAAAAUUAACUUAAAAUUUAUUUUAAAUCAUCAAAUUUACUCUUAUAAAUUAUAAUGAGAGCAAAGAAGAUUGAGUAACAGUGGAGAUCAUUAAGGCAAUUAAGACAAAUAAAGGUAAAAAAAUUAAAUAAAUAUGUGAACUUAAAAAUAAGUUAAUUAUUUUUAUUUAUUACUUGAAGUGGUUUUUUUACUUAAAGUCAUACCAUUAAAUUAUUUUACCAAACAUACUUAAUGAUUUAAAUUAAGUUAUUAAGUUACUUUAAGUUAUUAAGUUGAUUUAUCAUAUACCCUUUAAGUUACCGUAUGUUUAACAUUAUAUAAAAUACAUUUUUAUUUUAUGUAUGAUAUCACAUGUAAAAACACUAUACAUGUAUCCUAAAAUAUAUUGUAAUAUUACCCCUUCAUACUAAUAUAUCUCAUAACAAAUGAGGUAAAUGUCAUAUAACUUUUGGUUAUAUUCAUUUUACAAUGUUUUUUAAUUUAACCAAAAACUCAAUAUCGAGUAAUUUUUUUUAAAGAUUUUGGAUUUAUUUGGCAAUUGUUUUAUAGAUCAGAAAUCUAUUUUUGAGAAUAAAAAAAUAAGAAAACAUAUUCGAUAAUUAAAAAUUAUUUUCUAUUUUCUAUUAUGGAGAAUAAAAACAAAAUGUUUUAAGAGAACAUCUUUUAGUUAUUUUCUUUUGUUUUCAUUUGUUUUCUAAGUGUUAUUUUUUAAAAAAAAAAAUUAACAACCAUAUAAAAUGAUUAAAAAUAAAGUAUUGGAUAUAAAAAUUAUUUUUAAAACAUAUUUAAAAAUAUUAAAAAUAGGUUAAAAACAUUUUAGGUUUCCAAAAAAAAUUUUAUUUUACAAAACAUCUUAAAAUAGCUUUUAAAACCUGUUUUUUGGAACUAUUUUAAAAAACAAUUAUCAUACAAAACUUUUAUUUUUUAAAAUAGUUUUUCUUUAACCAAAAUUUUUUUAAGGAGAGAAACUGAGGAAGAAAGGUAUGUGAUUCUAACAAAGAGAUGAUUGAUCAUUUUGGACAAUUAAAACACGGAAUUAUUCUGAAUUGGAAAAUUGUGAUUUCUUCUAAGUUAAAACCCAUACAUUCCCUCUCAGCAAAAACAACUGAAUGAUCAAAAACCAAUGUUAAAUCAACAUAAAUAUGAACACUUCUGUGGUAUAAAUAAAAUUUAUCUAAACUAGUAUGAAUAAAAGUUGGCAUGAGAUAUUUUUCUUCAUAAAAAAGAAAGAAAAAAGAAAAGUGCAUAAAAAUAAAUAUAUUACUUGUGAUGUCCACGAAUAGGGGAGAAAGUUUUUAACUAUGUAAACGUAUUACUCUCCUCAGUAAAUAGCAACUAUACAACUAUGACCGUUGUUAGAGUUCUCCGUAAAAGGACGCUGUCCAACGUAGUUGCCUGGAGGAUCAUAGUUGCAAGUGACAAACCACCCGCCACUGUUGCACUGAGCCCUAGCGCACCCAAGACACAAUGAGUUGCGCCAAAUAACUUGAGUAUAGUGCCCGCAUUCCCCACCAACGCAGGAGUUGGAGUUGUAGUCAUAAUUGUUCAAAUUGAUAAAUGAUAGUUUUUUCAUUCAUAUUUUCAUUCAUUCAUGUACAGAGUAUAUAUAGAGGGUAUCACCAUUCUAAGAAUGGGGAAGAAUUAUACAAGGAAAGAAUGACAUAAGGAAAUAACAAUUAAUAUCUUAAUAUCUCAACUUUCCUAAUAUCUCAAUAUUCAUAAUAUCUCAACUUUCCUAAUAUCUAAACAUUCCUAAUAUCUCAACACUAAAUGAUAUAAGGAAAGCAUUACUAAUAUCUCAACACUCCCCCUCAAGUUGGUGCAUAGAUGUCACACAUGCCCAACUUGUCUAAAAAUUUUGAGAACACUUGACUUGAGACAACUUUGGUAAGGAUAUCGAUCAAUUGAUCUUCUGAUUGAAUCUUAGGCAAUUCCACAAUCUUAUCAUCCAACUUUUCCUUAAUGAAGAAUCUAUCCACCUCGACAUGCUUUGUACGAUCAUGUUGUAUUGGAUUAUGAGCAAUGUCACACGCGGCUUUAUUGUCACAAAACAAUCGGAUUGGUUGCCUAGAUAGGUAACCUAAAUCCUGUAAGAGGAGUCUUAGUCAUAAUGCCUCACAAAGUCCUAGAGUCAUACCUCUAAAUUCCGUUUCUACACUUGAACGAGCGACGACAUUUUGCUUCUUACUUUUCCAUGUUACAAGAUUACCACCUACAAAGGUAAAGUAACCAGAUGUAGAUCGCCUAUCAUCCACUGCACCGGCCCAAUCAGCAUCAAUAUAUACUUCUAUACUUUGAUGAUCAACAUUUUUAGCGAACAAAAUUCCCUUCCCAGGAGCAUUCUUCAAAUACCUCAAAAUACGCAUGAUUGCAUUCAUAUGUUGCUCUCCAGGAUUAUGCAUGUAUUGACUCACUACACUCAAUGCAUAAGUAAGAUCUGGUCUUGUAUGAGCUAAGUACAUUAAUCUCCCCACAAGUCUCUGGUAUCUUCCCAUAUCAGUUGAUACUUGAUUAGGCUCAACACACAAUUUCAAACCUUCUUCUAUUGGUGUAUUAACAGGUUGACAUCCCGACAUUCCAGUCUCCUGUAAAAGAUCUAAGGUAUACUUUCUUUGAGACAGAAAAAUUCCUUCACUUGAUCAAGAAACUUCAAUCCCAAGAAAGUAUUUUAGAGGACCUAGAUCUUUCAUUUCGAAUUCUCUAAAUAGAUAAUUUUGCAGAGCUUUUCUUUCUUCAGGAUCAUUUCCUGUAACUACCAUGUCAUCCACAUAUACGAUGAGUGUCGUAAUCUUACCAUGUUGCUUUUUCAGAAACAAAGUGUGAUCUGAAUUUGCUUUGACGAUAGCCAAAAGCUCUCAUUGACUUUGUGAACCUUCCAAACCAUGCUCUCGGGGAUUGCUUCAACCCAUACAAUGACUUCUUCAAUUUGCACACCUUCUGACAUUGCUUUUCUAACACCAUGCAUCCUGGUGGAAGAUCCAUAUAUACUUCUUCAGAUAACUCACCAUGCAGAAAGGCAUUUUUCACAUCAAAUUUUUGUAAUGGCCAAUCUAGGUUUGCAGCUAAAGACAGUAAUACUCGAACUGUGUUGAUCUUAGCUACAGGUGCAAAUGUCUCUGUGUAGUCAAUUCCAUAAGUUUGAGUGUACCCUUUUGCUACCAGUCUUGCUUUAAAUCGUUCAAUACUACCAUCUGCCUUGUACUUCACAGUAUAGAUCCAACGACACCCAACUGGCUUCUUUCCUGGUGGACAUUCUACGAGUUCCCAUGUUUCAUUCUUCUACAAUGAUUUCAUCUCUUCAUUCAUAGCUGUUUUCCACCUUGGAUCAGCUAAGGCUUCUUGCACACUAUUAGGAAUAGCUACAGUAGAUAAUUGAUUUACAAAUGACUUGUUUGAUUCAGACAAACGAUGGUUAGACACAUAGUUGCUUAUGGGAUAUUUGACUUUGGUAGACAAUUCAGGUUCAUAUAUGGGUUUAGGAAUACCUCUAUUAUGACGGUGUGGUAACCGUUUCAUGAAUGAAUCGGGUUCCAAAUUAAGAACACCCUCAACAGACGACGAUUGGUUUGGUAUUUCAGUGAAGACAUUUUCGGACCCAAAUUGUUGACCACUCAUAUCCAACUCACCCACUUCCUGGUUCACUAGUUCAGAUUGUCCAUAUUCAUCUUCCUCAAAUAUAUGAUAAUCAUAAUCGAGAGUCUGAAUUUCCUUAUGGUACUCCCCCUGAAGUUCAGACUCAGAUGAAAAAUACAUCGAAUCUUCAUGAAACACCACAUCCAUUGUAAUAUACAUUUGUCGAGUUGGAGGAUGGUAACAUCGAUAUCCCUUUUUGUGCAAUGCAUAUCCAACAAACACACAUUGUAAUGCAUGAGAAGUUAACUUGGUGCGUUGGUGCUUGUGUAGAUGCACAAAUGCCACGCAACCAAAAACACGAGGAGGUAGAUUUGGGACAGUUGGGGCAACUACGACAUUAGUAAGAGCUUGGAGUGGUGUUUGAAAGUUAAUUGAGCUAGAAGGUACCCGAUUGAUCAAGUAUGCAGCAGAUGUGAUUGCUUCUCCCCAAUAAGAUAUCGGUGUUUUUGCUGCUAUCAAGGAAGCACGAACAACCUCUAACAAGUGCCGAUUUUUUCGUUCAGCGACUCCAUUUUGCUGGGGUGUAUUGGAACAAGUAGUUUGAUGAAUGAUGUCAUGUCAUUCCAAAUACUUUUGAAGAUCAGAACUUUGAUAUUCUCCACCAUUAUCACUACGCAAAACCUGAACCUUUGCAUUGUACUGAGUUUCAAUCACUUUAUGAAAUUUUUGAAACAAUAAGUUCACUUCAUCUUUGGUCUUCAUCAAGCAUAACCAUGUCAUUCUAGUACAAUCAUCAAUAAAAGUAACAAACCAACGUGAGCCACUCAAAGUUGGGACUUUGGAUUGGCCCCAAACAUUAGAAUGUAUAACCAUAAAAGGAAACGAACUUUUAUUUAAAAUUAACGAAACGAAGCACAAUGACUUUUAACCAAUUCACAAAUAUCACAACGGAAACCAGAAAUAUCACUCUUUGCAAACAAACUAGGAAACAAUUUUUUUAAAUAACCAAAGGAAGCAUGUCCCAAACGUCGAUGCCAUAACCAAAUUUCAGAUUUUUUCUUCUCUCCCUCAAAUUCAUCUGCCAUCAAGGCUUGUUGCAACUUAUUUGAAUCCUUUGACUGCAAGUCUAAGUAAUAGAGUUUUCCCCGCUUAAUACCACAACCAAUCGUUUGUCUUGUUUGGAUGUCCUUAAUCACACAAAAUUCAAGCCAAAAAAUGACAAUACAAGAUAAGGUUGCAGUGAUUUGAGAAACUGACAAAAGAUUGUAAUCUAAAGAUGGAACAACUAAAACAGAAUUCAAAUUCAAAGUAUCAGUAAGAGUUAAUGAUCCUUCCCCAAUGACUGGGGUUAUGUUACCAUUGGCUGUGGAAACAAUUUUUUGUAAGGAAGGUCUAAGGGUUGAAAUGUCUAGAAUCAAAAGUCAUAUGAUCUGUAGCACCAAAAUCAAUUAUCCAUGCACUAUUAAUAACAGGUGUAAAAGUAUUUAAAAACUUACCACCAUGAUCUGUAGCGGCUACCAAUGUAGAGGCUUUCUCAGCAACAUUAACCUCUGUUUUUAUUUCGGCAAUAGUUGCAGUCGAGGUUUUCUUGGAAUCCUUCUUCCGUUGAUCACAAUUAUUAUCAUUAAUAACAAAGUGUUGAUAACCUAAACAUGAUUUAAAGGUCCAUGGUUCAAACCCUCGGUUCCUUAUUUUUUUCUUGAUUAUACCAAGAGUCGUUGCUUUGAAAUUGUGGGAUAUCCAGAUUGGUGGGAUCAGUCUUAUUGCAGUGAGUGCCUUUGAAGGUUGACUUAUCAAUAUUAGGGCUUGUCUUAGGAUGGUUGAUCGCUGUCGGACUACCAUAGUGACAAAAUAUCCAGGAUUUCAGUUUCAUGGCUCUGAUACCAUGUUCAAAUUGAUAAAUGAUAGUUUUUUCAUUCAUAUUUUCAUUCAUUCAUGUACAGAGUAUAUAUAGAGGGUAUCGCCAUUCUAAGAAUGGGAAAGAAUUAUACAAGGAAAGAAUGACAUAAGGAAAUAACAAUUAAUAUCCUAAUAUCUCAACUUUCCUAAUAUCUCAAUAUUCCUAAUAUAUCAAUAUUCAUAAUAUCUCAACUUUCCUAAUAUCUAAACAUUCCUAAUAUCUCAGCACUAAAUGAUAUAAGGAAAUAAUGAUAUAAGGAAAGCAUUCCUAAUAUCUCAACAAUAAUUAGUCUUCUCCCUCACCCACAAGUUCACUGCAUCGAUGCUUGUCGAUGAAGGGGAGCCCUAGGCAAGGUUCUCACCGUAAGGCCCACCUGAAUGCACUAGAUUGCAAUCGCCAAUCCUCUGGUUAGUAUAAUUUUGGGCGUAGGAAGCCACAGUGUUGUCCCAUGACAUAGGCCCAACACCAACUUGUGCGCGCGUGGUGUUGUUAGAUUUUUCAUUUUUUUUGAAUUUUAAGAAUUUUUUAAAAAUUUAUUUUAUUUUUUAUAAUAGUUAUAAUUGUCAAUUUUUAUAUUAUUAGAAUAUAAUUCAAUUUUUUUAUUAUUCAUAGCCUAAAGUUAUAUAAAAGAAAAAGGGGAUAGUAAAUUAAUAGAUGUCAAAACUCAUAUAGGUAGAAACUAUAUAAUUAUUAUUCAUAACCAAAAGUUAUAAAAAUAAUAAUUAAGAAAAUAAAGGCUAAUUUUAAAUGAGAAAAACACCCAAAAGGGGGGUGAAUUGGGUUUUUAAUUUUUUUUUUAAACACGACAAAUUUAAGCACAAGAGAAGCAAAUAAAAAGAGAUAGAGUUAGAAAAAUCAAACUCAAAUUUUAUAGUGGUUCGACACUUCCUUGCCUAUGUCCAGUCUCCUCAAGCUCCUAACCGAGUGAGUGUUCCACUAACUUUAAGCUACAACCAAGUUUCUAAUCACCUUUACACUUGAAUUCCGACUCCAAUGAGCUCUUACACAACCUCUUCAAGUUUCAACUCACUUGAAGGCUUUAACACUCAAUUUACAAGAAUGAAUCUCUCAACCUAGCUUAACAAUAGCUCAAAUACAACUUAAGGCUAGGAUGAAUUACAAAGGUGCACUAAAAGAUAUGUAAGUGAAGAUUUAAUACACCUAGAAAGAAAUGAGAGCUUUUAAGGCAAGAACAAGUGGGUAGACAAAUAAAUGCAGGUGUUUUCUUACUCAUAAAUGAAGUGAACCUCUUUAUUUACAGGUUUCUAACUUCGGGAGACAAGAAAAUAAAAAAGCAGCCUCAAUCGGUCGAGCUGGGGUCAACUAGUUCACUAGCCAUUGGAGCAUUAAAUGCUUUGGCAAGUUACCGUUGCUUUGACUGGACCUUGAUCGAAGGUCGACCGAGAAGGCAAAUACCUUGAUCAGGAAGGGAAGACUACUGGAAAAGAGAGGGUGCUUUCUAUACUCCUCGACCGAACCUCGACUAGGAAGAGGGAACCGGUCGACCGGUGCCUUGGCCGAUUGAACCGGUUGGCUAAUGCCUCGAUCGAUUCACCAUUUUUGACUCGAAAACCUAUAUUUUUAUGGUCUUUUCUCUUCUACCACUUAGGCAAGGUCUUUAGGUAAACUAGUAUGCCAAUUUUGAAGUAAUUUGCCUACGGUUCAUUUGAUAAAACUCGGGUUUUGAUGAAACUGCAACUUUAAAUAAUAAAUCGAGUUUUUGAGAGAUGCAUGAAAUGAUAUGUAUAACUUAAGUGCAUCCAUGCAUUCAUCUUACAUUUGUUUCCUAUGAUUAAAGGUCUUUCAAACGUCUUGAUCUUGCAUCCAUUAGAUCAUUUGAUGAAUUUCCAAAUUAAUACCUUAAAUUCUUAAUAAUUCAAACCAAUUGGUAACUUAACCAUAAUUUGUUAUCAUCAAAAUAUGAUUAGGAGAGCCCUUGGGCUAACAAUAAUAUUAAUACUUUUUUUGUACAAAUUAAAAUUAUAUAUGGUCAAAAGUUAUGUAAUUAUUAUUCAUGAUUAAAAAUUAUGAAAUAAUGAUAUUAAUAUAUUUUUGUUUUGUACUGGCCAAAAUCUCAAUCAAUUUUUUGUUCCUGAUUGAGAAGUAUUAAAUAUGAUCAUUGAUGUUUGUAACUUGAAUUAUUCUUAUUGUGACUAUAAGUAUGGAUUUUUCAUUCGAAUUUCACAAUGCCAAAAAAUUCUAGCACAAUUGGAUCAUUAUAUGAAAUCUCUUUAUUUUUAAGAAUUUAUAAUUUACAGUUUUUAAGAUUUACUUAAAUUGUGCUUCUUUUUUAAUCUUUAUAUACACUAUAAUUAUUUUAGAGUGUGUUUGAUAGUGAUUUUAUGAAACGUUUCUAAUAUUUUUAAUGCUUGAAAGAUCAAAAUUUUCAAAUAUUCGAAAAACUAAAAACACUUUCUAGAAUCCCUACCAAACACACUCUUAAUUAUCGAUAAAGUGAAGAGAGUGAAAAGAAAAUGUCUAUUUGAUGUUUUAAGUAUCCUUAAAAUAGAGAUAUACUAUUUAUAUAUUCUCUAUGCUAUUUACUAUUUAAUUCGAUUCUUUCCAUUUGAAACAUUGAAUUUUAUAUGUUUUAUUUACUAUUUAAUUCACUUCUUUCUAGUUGAAAUGAUGAAUUUUAUAUUUGGAUAAAAUAAUGAGAAUAAAUUAUCUUAUAAAGAUUAAAAAAACAAAAGAGAAGAAUUUGAAUAAGAUUGACUUUAGUUUUUAAACUCUACCAUAUUAUCCUUUUAUAAAAGGAAUUUAAUUCUAAGUAAACUCUUUCGAGUUAUUUCUUUUACUUUUUGAUAAUAAUUUAUUAAAAGACAUUAUUUUUCAAUUUUUUUUAAUCAACAUAUAAGAAGUGAAGGAGUCUCUUCUAAUUAUAUCAAGGUCAAUAUAAUAUGAGAUAAUUAUAUUUCAAGCAAUUGUGAAUUCAAUUAUAUUGCAAUUUUUUCAUACUCCUCUAUCAACACCUAUGAGAGUAGCAAAUAACAAAAAAAAAAAAAAACAAGUUUUCUAAUAUAAUUUUAUCAAUGUUUCAAAAAAUAAAUAAAUAAAUAAAACAAGGAUAAUUAUAUUGUUAAUUUAAGAAUAAUAUUAUUCAAGGAGACUUAUCAUGUCAAUUUUAAUUAUAUUAUAUAUAUCAAUAAUAUAUAUCUUUAUAAUAUUCCAAUAAUCUUGUUUCAUAAUGUGUGAUGAUUUUUAUAUUAAGGUGAUAUAUUUUUGGCAAUAAUUAUUAAAUUGAUGUUAUAAAUUUGAAAUGAUAUUUAUCUUAAAUUAAUUUAGACUCAUAAAAUUUAAUGAGGUGAUAUUGUAGUGCUAUUGGAAGAUAUAUAAUACUAUUAUUUAAACGUCUUUGCUAUGAUUCUUAUACAUUUCAUUAAUAAAAGAAUUAAAGAAAAUCGUAUUUGCACAAUCAUCAUAUUUUAUAUAUUUAUGAGAUAGUUGCAAUUCAAUAUGCAAUAAAUUUUAACCAUAAAUAAAUUUGAAUAAAUUAUUUUCAUGUGUUAUUAUUAUAUUAUUUGUGCAUUAUAAUUAUUACGUGGAUAAGUAUAUUAAAUGAUAAUGGUGUGAUUUUGAUAGAAACUUUUUAACUUUAAAAUGUAUAUGUCAAAUGAUUUAUGCAUAUACUUUUUUAAUUGAUUAAAAAAUAAGGUUACACUGUUUUGUUAUAUUUUAUAUAUAUGGCAUAAUUUGUUUAAUAUGCUAGGAUAAUUUGUUUAAUAUCAUGCAAGAAACAUGCACAUUUAUAAAUUUAAUUGUGAAUUGAGACACUUUACAUUUUAUUUUCUAUGUCAAUAUUGAGAUAAUUCCAUGUAGCAAAAUUAAAAUUUUAUAUUCAAGAUUAGUCUCUAGUAUGCUUAAUUAUGUUAGCUUAAAUGUCUUGUACCACCUAUAAAUUAGAGGAUGAAACUUUUACAUCCUCAACAAUAACUAAUCUUUUACUUUUUAAGUUUUAACUCUCCCUUUAUAAUAAGUUUUCUUAAACCCUUAAAGGGUAAGCUUUUUACAACAAGCUUUAUGGAUUGUCAUUUUGGUGAAACUCUUGUCUUAUCAUUUGUACAACAUUGGUAAUAGUUGAUGUUAAUAUCAUGUCAAAAAAUUAGAAAUUGAUUAAAAGCUCUAGAAGAAUUAACAUUAUGUUAUUAGUGACACGAUUCUAUGUGAAUAACACUUUACAUUCUAUUAGAUCUAGAAGAAUCUAACAUGACCAACUUUGUCUCUUAGGAUAAACAGUAAUGCAUCAAUUCAUUAUACAGUCACAUGGACAUAAAUUGUAAAAUUAGAAGUUUUUACUUAGUAACUAAUUUAAUAAAAUGUUGUAUAAAUUGUCUUUUUGAUGAGACAAUUUUCCCACGGUUAGGGGAGAAAAGCUAAUUCCAAAAGAAUGAUAUGAAAAUUUGGAUUCAAGAAGAAUAACAAGAAAUUUUUGGAAAUAUUUUAUUGACAAAUAUGAAAUGAUAUCUUUAAAGAACAAUUAUAUAAUAACAAUUGUUAUCUAAAACACACUUUGAAGUGUAAUAACUUGACGUUUCAAUAAGAGAAUGAGACAUGCCUAAAGCAUUGUAGACAUUUCAGUUGAAAAGAUAUAUUCUCUAAAGGUGGAAAAGGCAUAAGUUAUCCUUUAACAUCCACAAAUUGAACAAAUAGCCCUUGAAGAGAUCCAACUAAAAUAAAUAGCCCUUAAAGAGGUACAUAUUAAACAAAUAAGUCUUGAAGAGGCAUAUAUUGAUCAACAAAUAACACUUAAAGAGGUACAAAUUGAAUGAAUACUCCUUGAAAAAGCACUUAUUGAAUGAAUAGCCCCUGAAAAGGCACAUAUUGAACAAAUAGUUUGUAAACAAGCACAAAUUGAACGAAUGGUCCCUAAAGAGACAUAAAUACCUUCAUAUCUAAAAGUAAAAGAGAUUUUUAUUAGCUAUGAACCUGAUAAGAGGAAGAUGGGAUCAAAAUAAUAUUGUCAUUGACAAUGUAUCUUCUUUUUAGAUGACUUUUGAUAUCAUAAGGAAUGAUGAAGAUUCCAAAUUAUGAAUUAUGCAAGCUACGUUGACACAAAUAUUUGACCAAAAUGGAAAGAUGCAAUAUAUACAGAGUUAGACUUGUUAGCGAAAUGAGGAAUAUUUGGAGUUGUAGUCUCACGUUAAAAUACGUUGAAUCUAUUGAAUAUAAAUAGACCUAAAGUCUAAUGCUUUAAGACAUAAAGAUUGUUGAAUAUCGAUGGGUUAUUAUGCUAUAAAACAAAAAUUAUAGCAUAAGCAUUCCUACAAAUAUCACUUAGUAUCAAUUUCCUAAGCCUAAUUUCUACUUGGAAAUUAAAAGACAUCUUGAAGUUGAGCCUGCAAGUUGUGUCUUCAUUGAUAACAAGUGUUUUCCUAUAAUAUUUUCUUAAUUGAUUGAACCUAACUUGUAAAUCUUCAAUUUUGUCCUCUUAGCACAUGUGACUCUAGGUGUCUUCCUAUACUUCUCUCUUGAUUCAUUAUCAUCCCUUAGUAGUCCAUCGACACUCAUUUGACCUAAUUUUUCUGAGUCACCUUCAAGGGCUUCUUGUUUAGGGCUAAACUUAGAUCUCACUUAGAUCUUUUUAAGGAUAGGUUUCACUUAGAUGCUUCUAUAUGCCUAGAUCACUUGGUUAGUUUUUGAGUUUGAUUGCUUGAUUUUGAGUUUAAGCAAGGUUUGGCUUGAUUUAGAAAAUAACAUGAGAUUGAAGAUUCUAUUCUUUUUAAGUUGUAUGAAGUAAUAUUUUUAUUCUCUUAUGUGUCCAUGUGAUUGGUUUUGUUUACUUUCAUUUUAAAUUACAUGAUUUCUAAUUUUUAUUUUAUUUUAUUUUUGCAUGAGUUUGGUACUUCGAUUUUUUGCAUCUGUAUUAAUAAUUGAUUUUAAAUAUGCAUGUGAUUGACAUAUUAAUUUUUUUUAAUUACAUAACUUUGAUUUUUAAUUUGCAAUUGCAUGCUUUUUAUUUUAAUCUUUAUUUUGUUUUGCAUGGGACUAGAGUGCUGCAAAUUGGAGAGGAUCCCUUGGUGUACACGGCUUCCACAAAUAGGAAGGAGAUUAGGACACUUUGGAGAUAUUUUUGGAUGAAGAGAUUCAUUUGGCUUUUGUUUUUGGAAAAGAUUUUCAAUAAGCACGCAUGUAUGAAAGGAUUUUGAAUCAGCAAUGGGCAUGGGCUGGGGCUGCUAUAAAAAUGGAAGGACAGCCACACGCGUAGGGGAGGAACACUAUUGAAAAAGGAAAGAGUCAUGUCAGAGAUUGUCCAUGCAAAACCACAUCCCAUAUUCCCAUAUUCAUUCUUGGAUUUUGAUUUGAUUCUUCGGAUAUUCUCCACAACCAUAAUAUAUAUAUAAAAUUAGUCCACAUGCACUGCGGAGGAGGGGCAGAUUGCGGGGCUGUGAGAAAAGAAAAAGGGAUCCAUGGGAAACUUUGAAGAGAAUAAUAAAAGCUGCCAUAAUGGGAUUUCUAAUGAGCUUCCACAUGCGGAUUGCUAUGUUUCUUCCAUGGAUGAUGGAGAUUGCAUGUAAUACAAAUUGUGAGGGCGCACCAUGAUUCUGGCUUUGUGAGGGAUUCAGCAAGACACAAUGCACCACUCCGUGGGAAGGUAUGGCGGCCCACACGCACUCACCAUGGAGAUCUAGAGAGCCUAUACCUAUUUAUUUUAUUUUAUUAGGGGAACACACAUUAUGGCAUAUAAGGAGGGAUUCAGAUUUUGUUUUAGGCUCCGACACACACCAUCAGUCUACACCGAUCGUCAUCCAUAAAGAAAAAUCCAUCAUCACGGAAGGGAUCACACAACCAGCAGGCAUUCUGGACACGCUCCAUGGAGAUUGGGGAGCAGAUUCUUUCGCAAGAAAAUCACAGAGACACCAUUAAUUUUUUAAGGCUCCACAUGCAUAUUGGGAACGAUCAGCUCUUUUAGAGAUGAAUACAGAUCAGAUUUCUUGCAGAUGACGGCAAUAGAUUUUCUAGAAGGUGCUGAUGGUGUACACGGUUUGGUUAUGAAGAACCUCGAAUUUUAGGAGUUGCAUGAGUGAACGGUCUGUUGAUGAAGACCAUUAGAUUUUUUGGAGGUAGUGGUGCACGGUUGCAUGUGAAUAAUGAGCAUCUAAAUGCUCUAGAUGAAAGUUGAUGCUGAAUUGACGAGUACACGGUUCGGGAACUGAGUGAUGAAGAUUUUUUUUUUUUUUUUUUGUGGAGCAUGGUGUGGACAAUUGGAUAUAGAGAAACAACAUCUUGAUUUUUUUGGGGACUCCGCCAACAGGAUCAUGCACAAGCAGCCUACACAUUCCAUAGGUAACCACAUGCGGCUGCCAUCCAUUGAAAAGAAGCACACGCAUUUAUUCAUCAGUAGAGAUUCAACCUGCGCGCAUGGAGAGGCCAUGCCGCUUGAUAGGAAUUCUCCACCAAAGAGAUAUCCAGCCUGCAUGAACGGUUUUUGAACGUGUAUUAUUGACCCUCUUCUCCUAUCAAUAAAAUACAUAUACAGAAACCCCUUCAUGUGCGGUGUGUGCUUUUCCAUCAAUUACAGAAAAAUAACUCUGUGUAUUAAGGUUUGAUAAGGAGAAGAAGAAUCAAGGAUUUAAGAUCUAUAAGCUGAAGGGAAAUCUCUCAUGGCUGCGUCUUCUUCAAACGGUAUGUGAUCUAUUUGUUAAUUAAUGUUUAUUUUAUUAUUUUAUUAUCAGAGACGAGUUUGAAUCAUAAUGAUCUGGAUAAUUGCAUGUUAAUUUUCGUGUUAAAUUCUAUCAAUUGGUAUCAGAGCUUGGUUUUGAAUUUAAAUAUUCAGAUCAAUUUAUAAAAGAUUAGAUUUUUUUUUUUAAGAUUUAUCUUCCAUUAAUUCGUCUCACUAAAAUUACUAAAAUAAAAUAAAAUAAUAAUAAAAUAAUCAAAAGACCCAUUGCGUUCCUCUGUAUCCUUGAGUUCUAAGGAGACAGGAACUAUAUCUGAGCGUGAUUGACCGUUUCUAGACAUGUGGAUUGCUUAUAUAACCCAUUGCGUAACAGCUCCUAUUAGGAAAAAUAAAAUAAAGAAGAGUAGUGAUUCCAUGCGCCUAAAGGAAUAUUGAAAAUUUUAUUGUACGUGCUAUUGGGUCAGCACACAGUAGAGGAUCGUUCAAGCGCCAUUGUCGGCACCGCAGUUUCUCUAGGUUUCACGCGCCAGUUCAGGCGCGAUUUCCGGCGCCAUCGCGCUGAUUUCAGGUGCCGUUGAAGGCGCCAUUGCCGGCGCCAUUGAAGGCGUUGGUUGCAGGCACCAUUGCCAGUGCCAUUGAAGGCACCGUUUUCAGGCGCCAUCUCCUGGUUGCAGGCACCGUUGAAGGCGCCAUUGAAGGCGCUGGUUGCAGGCACCAUUGCCGGUGCCAAUGAAGGCGCCGUUUUCAGGCACCAUCUCCUGGUUGCAGGCGCCAUUAGAGGCGCUAUUUGCAGGCGCUAUUGCCGUUUGCAGUGCCGUUUGAGGUGCGGUUCAGGCACCACUUUUCAGGCUCUCCAAAAGUGCUAUUUCAGGCACUAAUUCAAAGAUAUUAAUUGAUUUAUUUUAUGAUUUGAAUCUGAACAUUUGUGAAAUUAUUAUUAUUAUAUAUGAGGAAUGCAAGUAUUAGCUUUAGUAUAUUCAAUGAAUGCAGAUUUCUUUAAUUUUAUUAUGAUUGAUUAAUGAAUCUGUUGAUUAUUAAAGAUACUAUAUUAUGAUUGAUUAUUGAAUCUGUUGAUUAUUAUGGAUACUAUUUCCUUGUUUUUUAACUCAAAUAAAAGAAUUAAUUUCAUCUUGUGAAUAUUUUAUUCAAAUGACAAUUUAUGAAUAUAAGGUUAACUAAUUUGGAUAGUUGCCAAAGUAACCUAAAUUAGUGAGCCUUGUAUUUAUUGAAUUGCAUAAAAGAAUAAAGGGAGACUUGUAAAAUUCUUAAUAAUUUUCUUUAUAAUUAGGAGAAUGAGACUAACCCAAAGGAGAGUCAAUUUCUGUUAAUUAUUAAUUAAUGUUUUUAUUUUGUGUUGCUUAGAAAAGUAAAAUGGAUACCCAAAGGUAACAUAUAAAUGACACAAAAUAGUAAAGUGUUUUAAGCUCCCUCCAAGUGAACACUGGAUAUGUUAAAAUUUACCCAAAGGAGAAUUUUAAUGAUAUCAAUAGUUCAUUGUUUUUUAUUUUAUACUUGAAGCUUAUUGUGAGCAUUAUUCUAUUUUGUACAGUUCCCACUUCAUUACACUCUCUUGCAUCUGGAAUGACUAUUUUUUAUGGGUCAAACUUUUCUGAAUGGUAUGAAAGGGUUCAAUUCUCACUGGGUGUAUUGGAUCUUGACUUGACUUUAAUAUCUGAUAAACCUCCUGAAGCUACGGAUUACAGUACUCUGGAGCAGGUGGAACAAUCAAAAGCCUGGUCAAAAUCAAACAGACUCAGUCUGAUGUUUAUGAGAAUGACUAUUGCCAAUAAUAUCAAGACCUCUCUCCCUCAAACCGAGUUUGCCUCGGAAUUUCUGAAAUCCGUUGAGGAGCGCUUCAAACGCGUUGAUAAGUCCCUUGCAGGCACAUUGAUGGCUGAAUUGACCACCAUGAAAUAUGAUGGUCAGAAAGGUAUUCAGCAACAUAUUUUAAACAUGACUGAAAAGGCUGCAAAGCUUAAGGCACUAGGUAUGGGUAUGGAUGAGUCCUUCUUGGUACAGUUUGUCCUUAACUCACUUCCAUCACAGUUUGCUCCAUUCAAAAUCCACUAUAAUACUAACAGUGAUCAGUGGAACUUGAAUGAGCUCACCAGUAAAUGUAUACAAGAGGAAGUGAGAUUAAGACAAGAAGGACAUAAUCUUGCUCUUGCUGUAACUCAUGGAGUCACGAAGAAGAAAGGAAAAUUCAAAAAAUGAAAGAACUUUCCACCUAAGAAAAGCGGACCUGGGGAAGGUAGCCAGAGUCAUGAUGGAAAAUUCACAGUAAGUUGCUACUUUUGUGGCAAGAAAGGGCAUGUGAAGAAGGACCGUAUCAAGCACAAGGCUUGGUUCGAAAAGAGAGGUAUAAAUCUUUCUUUUGUAUGUUAUGAAUCCAAUCUUGUUGAAGUUCCUUCAAAUACUUGGUGGAUUGAUUCUAGAGCCACAACUCAUGUGACUAAUUUAAUGCAUGGAUUCCUUACAACCAGGAAACCAAAGGAAAGUGAAAAGUUCCUCUAUAUGGGAAACCGUCUCAAGGUUGAAGUGGUAGUUGUUGGUACCUAUCGCUUACUAUUAGAGACAGGUCAUCAGAUGGAUCUUUUAAACACUUUUUAUGUACCUUCUAUCUCUAGGAAUUUAGUUUCCUUGUCUAAAUUAGAUGCUACUGAAUAUUCUGUUUUAUUCAGUUUUGGACAAUUAAGUUUGAUGUUAAAUUCUGUUACAGUUGGUUCUGGUAUUUUAUGUGAUGGUUUAUAUAAAAUUUCCUUGAAUCAUGAAUUUUCACAAGCUUUGAUAACCCUGCAUUCAAAUGUUGGUUCAAAAUGUGGCUUAAUUAAUGAAAAUUCUUCAAUCUUGUGGCACAGAAGACUAGGGCACAUCUCUAGGGAAAGAAUUGAGAGAUUAGUGAAGGAAGGAAUUUUACAAAAUCUUGACUUCACUGAUUUUCAUGUAUGCGUGGAUUGCAUAAAGGGAAAGCAAACUAAACAUACAAAGAAAGGUGCCACAAGAACUAAUGAGCUCCUUGAGAUAAUUCAUACAGAUAUUUGUGGACCACUCUCUGUUCCAUGUUUUACAGGAGAGAAAUAUUUUAUCACCUUUAUAGAUGAUCUAUCUCGUUAUGGUUAUGUUAAUCUAAUGCAUGAAAAGUCUCAGACCAUUGACAUCUUCGAGAUGUUCACAAUAGAGGUCGAGNNNNNNNNNNNNNNNNNNNNNNNNNNNNNNNNNNNNNNNNNNNNNNNNNNNNNNNNNNNNNNNNNNNNNNNNNNNNNNNNNNNNNNNNNNNNNNNNNNNNNNNNNNNNNNNNNNNNNNNNNNNNNNNNNNNNNNNNNNNNNNNNNNNNNNNNNNNNNNNNNNNNNNNNNNNNNNNNNNNNNNNNNNNNNNNNNNNNNNNNNNNNNNNNNNNNNNNNNNNNNNNNNNNNNNNNNNNNNNNNNNNNNNNNNNNNNNNNNNNNNNNNNNNNNNNNNNNNAAUCAGUGGGGAGUAUGACAAAGAAAAGUAGAUAUGAGGAGAUAAGAGUGGAUAUCCCACCACCUUUUUUACCUUAAGAAAUUAUUGUUCCUCAAUGAUUCGUCCCUAGCAGCGGCAUUGGCAAUGGCACCAUUUGAUUCGAGGUUUGAUCCUCGGCAACGGCGCCAUUUGAUUCAUGCCCAAUUGGUGUCUCAGCUGAUUCGUGUCCAGCUGGUGCUCCUUGAUUGAGGGAUUGAUCAACAAAAUUUAUAACCUAUUACACCAUAUACUAGGGUAGCAAAGACAAAGCUACUAUAGCAUAGUGGCUCUAGGAUCGUUCACUGGGAUGGGUUUUCACUUCACAAUUGAUAUUAAUUCAAAGAUGAAUUGGUGCCUUUUCAUUUCAAGGUUAGCUUUAAAAGAAAACAUAAAGAUGUUUAAAUGAAAAAGGUUUGGUUUUAAGCUAACUAAAAAUAGUAACUGAUUUUACUUACAAAGAAAGGUGUUUCUUGGAGUUCAGAUCACUAGGCUCGUUCCUCAUACAAAAUGGAGAGUUCCGGUCACUUGUUUAUUUUCCUCGCAUUAGAGAAUUAACAUAUAGUUCCUUCUCCAACCGGUGUUGUACAGAUGCUUCCCAUUAAUGGGUUCAAACACUAAAUCCCUCUCACUGAUGCAACUUGCAAUGGUUCAUGCCUCUCACGAGCACUUACCAUUCAAGGAGAUCUUUAACCUUGGACUUCCCUUCUCAAGCUCGCAAGAGAUAACUAAUGGAUGUCUCCUUGGAGUCCAAAAGCUUACCAAGUGUUGGCUAUUCUAGAAAAUCCUACCUUCAAGUCACCUCCCAAAGGCUCGCAAGGGGUAAACUAGUGCAUUUCCAUGGUUGGAAAUCACUUGCCUUACCAAGUGUUGGCCCAGGUGACUCUAAGGUGUUUUAAGUUAACUAAAAACAUAGAAAUCACUAACGGGUUACACUUUCUCUUCAUUAAAAACUAAAACAACAAAACUUCCAAUUUAUGCAUGUGGAAACUUACCCGGCUUUCCUCACUCCAAGAGACAAAAAGCUUAGCCUCUCAUCCUCUGUGGAAAAAUCCUCAGAGUUUGGUUGGCUAGAAAGAAAAAUAAAUGAAAAGUGAAAGAGAAGGAAAAACAGAGCAAGGCUCUGUAUAUUCUAUAUAUGAUCGAUAUUACAUAUAUGAUCCUCCUCCUUUUACAGUGGAUGCAAGGGAAUAUAUAUAGAGGAGUUUUUCCAACCUUCCCAACUAAGAAAUCUUAUGGUUGGUGGAUUACAAGGAGAAGAAUGGAAAUUUAUACAAAAAUAUCUGAAGAAAAUAUCUAGAAGAGUCGGUGCAAAAAUAUCGGGAAGCACUAAGGACAUUUCGCAGGUGAAAAUGGUGUCUGCGAGAUUUCGCAGACACUCAAGAGGGCUGCGAAAUAUUUUCGCAACAACAAGUUAAACUCGCAGGGCUGCGAAAUUGGCUUCCACCUUGAGGUUCUCAGCGUUCCAGCUUGCGGCAUGUAUCGGGUAGCUUCAGGAGGAAUUCCAUAGCACUGUACAAAAAGGCUGCGAAAUUCUCGCAACAAAAGGCUGAUUUCGCAACACUUUGGAGUGAUCUGCUUGUAAUGGCUGUAACUCCUUCGUUUCAACUCCGAAUCAUGCACCGUUUGAAGCAUUGGAUUCUUGACUUCCUGAGCUUUGAAAUGGUAUAUAGAAUGUAGAAAAUGGACUUCGGGAAGUGCUCCAAAAGUGCGCAUGAAGACUGCAGCUGCUUGUCCUCUGUUUUCUUCACUCUGUUUUUCCUUUCUCCUUGUUUCUCUCCUUGCAUACUUUGAACGACUUUGGCAAAGGGCUAUGGAGCUCCAAAGCUUUGUUCUUCAUGAAUUUGAGCUUCCAAAAUCUUUGCCAUGAACUAUAUACAAUUCUCCCUCAUUCUUGGAUUGUUUUGGUGAUCAAAUUACUAACAAAAACACCAAAACUUACACAAUUUGAUUAGAAAUGAUUGCAAGGGUCCUUAACAUGUUAAUUGGGUUAAAAGGCAAUAACUACUACUCAAAAGUGUUUAAAAGAGUUAAUUACAAGCUAUCAAAUAGCACUUUUUGAGUAGUAAUCACUCCCCCCAACCGACAUAUUGCUAGUCCCUUAGCAAUAAAGGAGAUAAAAACUAAGUAACUAUAAUAAUAUACAUAAAAGGGAUCAUGCAAAUCACUCCAAAAAAUUAUAUGAGUGGCAUGAUGGACAUCCAUGGAUCAAUAAAGAUGUGAAACUCAACCUAUAAUAAGAGUUGUCAAAGCAUUCACUUGAUCAUAGAGUACAAAGAAUGGAUAUUAUGCAAGUUUAAGCAUCAAAAGAAUUUCCACUCUCAAUAGAUCCAAAUCAAAUUCUUCCACUAAAAGCUAAGUGUUAAUGUGAUUAGCUUCCGAGUAUAGUAUGGAUAACUAUCAUCUCCCCCCAACCUAAGUCUUUCUUUAAGCUUAGCAAAAUUAACCAUUUCUUGAUAGGCUAGGAACGCACCUCUUAUUCACAAUUCUUUUUACUUACUAAACUUAACCAAUUCACCCAUGUAACAAGCAGAGGAUCGGUGACUCCCAACCAAUAAAGGCUUAGGGCACCAGGCUUUAAAGGCUUUCGCCACCCCUUCGGACCAUGCUCAGGUUUCAAGGCAAGUAAAGAAGUUUAUUCUAUAUUUUUUUUUUCUUUUUUUUUUUUUUUUUCUUUUUUUUUUCUUUCUUUUUUUUUCAAAGACUCAUUGGUCUUUAUGAGGUGUCCCAACACUAUUAAAGAGAGGUUAAAGGUGUCAAAUUAUGAUUUCUCAAGCUUAGAGGGUGAGAUAGUUUCACAUCUUAUAACCGGAAUCUAAUGUAUGUGUGUGCGAAUAGCUUAAGGUGGAAGAUAUAAGUUUGCAUGCAAUUGGAGUUUCAACAAUUCAUCAACUUUUAGAAGAGCAUAAUACAAACUCUAAGACUCAUGUAAUCAAGUUGAAACUCGACUUCUCUCAUUUAAUUUUGAGAGUUAAUCCUUAAUAUCCAUGGAGUUUAAAGCCAAAAUUUUAAAAAUUAAGCAAAAAGCAACUAAAUUACCAAAAUAACUUAGCAUUAUUAACAAUACUUACUUCCUCAACUCUCCCCCCAACCAAGCUGAACAUUGUCCUCAAUGUGACAAAAGCGAUUAAAAAAUAGGGAGGAAGUGGUACCUCAUGAGUGACAUGAAGUCUGAGUUGUAUAGGAGAAACCACAUGUUUCAAAGAAAACAUAAGAGUUAGUGAGUAGAGGAAAUAGAAAAAUGCCAAGUUUAAACAAGAAUUGAUGUCUAUGUAUGAUGUAUCAUCAGUAAUACAUCCAAUCCCAAAAUGUAAGACAUCAAAACAUGGAAUAUAAUAAGUAGAGACAAAAAAGUAAAGAGAUGAUCAAGUAGUGGUAGGAUCCUGUGGAGCUGAUGUGUCUGUGAUGGCCUCUUGAGUGGGUUGGAUCAGGACUUUGGCCUCUGUUCUGGUAGUCUCCUUAGGUGGCAUAGUCUCCUCAACUGGAGCUCUCAGCUGGAGCUAUGAGAUUUGAUGGUUUAAGGAGGUAAGAAAUGGAGUGAGAGGCUUGGUGUGUGUGAUCCCAGGGUGUGCAGGGCUCUCCUCUUCAGAUGCAUGAUCGUAGGGCUCUGUUGGCAUUUUAGCAACUUCCCUUGGCUUUGCAAAGUGUUUUUGUAAAUCACCCUCCAUUUCACAAGUCAAUUUCGCAAUUUGAAGGCCAUUUCUAAGCUUGGAGGUGAUUUCGCAACCAUUUCAAAGCUUGGAGAUCAUUUCGCAGAAAAGUGGCAUGUUCACAGACCAUUUUUUAAGCUUGGAGCAUUUUCGCAGCCAUUCUGAAGCUUGGAGAUCAUUUCGCAGCAAAGUGGCAUUUUCGCAGACCAUUUUUGAAGCUUGGAGCAUUUCCGCAGCCAUUCUGAAGCUUGGAAAUCAUUUCGCAACCAUUUCAAAGUUCAAAAGUGAUUUCGCAGGUGUAUCGCAGCUUCGAAAUGAGGGGAAUUGUGCUGCAAAUGGCACUCGUGUGCCAAAAAGUGGUUUCGCAGCUGCGAAACACCCUUCCAAAUGGCGUCUCGGCUGCGAAAUUCUCGCUCAGCUUUGCGCGCUUGUCUUCAAACGACCAUAACUUCUUCAUUUCACCUCCAAAUCGCAUACCGUUUGAAGCGCUAGACUCCUGACUUCCCAAGAUUUGAAACGAGAUAUCGUAUCCAUAAUUUGAGCUCCAGAAAGUGCUUCAAAAAUGUGUCCAACAGUAGCGAAAUUGAGGUGCGACAUUUCCGCUCAUGGUUUGUACAGUCUUCUUCAAACAGCCAUAACUUUUCCGUUUCAAAUCCAAAUCAAGUACCGUUUGAAGCUAUGGACUCCUGACUUCCCAAGAUUUCCAACGAGAUAUUGCAUGCAUAAUUUGAACUUCGGGAAGUGAUCGAAAUGUGUCCAACAAUUGCCGAAAUGGGGGUGCGGCUGUGAAAUUGGGAUUUUCACAUUUUGGAACUUCGCAGCCAUUUCGCAGCUGCGAAAUGAGGGUCACUGUGCUGCGAAAUGGCACUCGUGUGCCAAAACCGGCUUCGCAAUUGCGAAGUACCCUGCGGAAUGAGACUUUUGGUGCGAAAUCAGGCUUUACCACUUCGCAAUGCGUUUCGCAACUGCGAAAUGGAUGCUCCUGUACUGCGAAGUGGCACUCGUGUGCCAAAUUCACUUUCGCAGCUGCGAAAUACCCUGCCAAAUGGAGCUUUCCCUGCGAAAUGGAGGAUUUCAUGCUUUGGUGGUUCGCAGCCGCUUUCGCAGCUGCGAAAUGGGGGCCACUGUGCUGCGAAGUGGCACUCGUGUGCCAAAUUUGGUUUCGCAGCUGCGAAAACUUUCGCAGAGAGGGCAAUUGGGCUGCGAACUGGUUUUGCAGCAAAAUUUCAAUUUCGCAGAGGCUGCGAAAUCUCGCAGACCCCUGUUUUUCCCCUGUUUCUCCCCUGUUUUCGCUCCGUUUGACUCCGAUUUUGCUCCGAUUUUUUUUCUUCAAUUUCUUUGCAAUUCCUCUCGAUUUUGAUCAUCCAAAAACCUAUAUUACAUCAAAACAAAUUAGAAUUAAAGCAUUGAAAUCAAAAUUAAAGCAUUGAAAUCAAAAUUAAAACAAGUAAAAAAAAACAAAACAAAAAGAUAUGGACUAGCUAGUCUUUAAAAAGACUAAGUCCAUCAAAAAAUUUGAUCCUGAUUUAGCUUGCCCGGAUCCCAUAUGAAGCUUGCAUCCUUCACUUGAGACUUGAUUUGUAUGAUUUUCCCAUACAAAGCUUGGAGAAAAGGUGGAGGCAUGUGUUUCUUCAUCAAUUCUUCCUUGAUGACUAUCCUCAGUGGUUCUUCAGCUAUAUCAAAAUCAUAGUCAUCUUUCUCUAUGCUUUUCCCCUUUUUCUUUCCUUUGAUUUCCUCCCUCUUUUCUUUCUCUGUUUCAUUCUCUACCUUAUGCUCUAGCUUGCAUGUGGGCAGAUCAACCUCUUUACCACUCCUCAGAGUGAUCACUUCUUUGACUUCCUUCUCCAUUGAAGAUUCUUCCUCUUGAGCCUCCACUACAUGGAUGCCCUUGGAAUUUUGAUAAGGUUGAGAAGGAGAGUUUUCUUUCUCUUGCAUUGUGUUGAGGUUGGAAAGCCUUGAGAUUGAAUCUUGGAGAAUAUCUAACUUCUGAGAUAGAUCAUUUUGCAUUUCAUCCAUCCUUUUAUUCAAAGUACUCUCCAUUCUAUCAAUUCUUUGAUCCACUCUGUCCAUUCUUUGAUCCACUCGAGCAUUGGUGGCUUCUUGCUUUCCCACAAAAUCUCCCACGACCUUGCAAAGAUUCACCAUAGCUUGUUCAAGGUUUGAGGCUUGCUGUGGUGCUUGAGCAGGUUGCUGAUACUGAGGUGGCUGUGGUUUCCAAGAGAAAUUUGGAUGGUCCCUCCAAUUGGAAUUGUAGGUGUUGCAAUCACCUAACAUUUCCCUCUUGGCUGGAAUGGUAGGACACUCUUCCACCAAGUGCUCAUAUGAUAGACAAAUGGCACAAGGCAUAGAUUGCAAUGGUGUUUGAGAGAUGGCUUGCACUGGCUGCAUAUUUGUCAUUUCUAGCUCUUCCAAUCUCCUUUCCAUAGCUGCAAUUUCUGCCUUCAUGUUCAUACCAUCAUUCAAAAUAUACAUCUCACCCUUAGCUUUAGGUUGAGACAUCAUUCUUCCCAUAUCUCUAGCAUUUGGUUUAUCCCAUCCUCUUGAGACUUCAGCCACAUAACUUAUGAAGUUCAUGGCUUCCUCUGCUAUCUCGUAUUCAAUAUGGCAUGCACAACUAGCAAAUUGUGAAUUAAAAACAGAGAACACAAAAGAAAACAAAAGAAAAACAAUUCAAAGAAAAAAAAUUAAGGUAAACUAAAAACUAAAUAAAAGGUAUACUAAAAUAUGAACAAUAAAGAAAUAAAAAGAGUUAGUAAAAGGAAAAGAAAAGUCACCAAACUUGUGAUGAAGAUCACAAGUACUCUAGAAAGGUGAUAUCACUGUAAAGUGGCACCAUCCCCGGCAACGGCGCCAUUUGAUUCGUCCCUAGCAGCGGCAUUGGCAAUGGCACCAUUUGAUUCGAGGUUUGAUCCUCGGCAACGGCGCCAUUUGAUUCAUGCCCAAUUGGUGUCUCAGCUGAUUCGUGUCCAGCUGGUGCUCCUUGAUUGAGGGAUUGAUCAACAAAAUUUAUAACCUAUUACACCAUAUACUAGGGUAGCAAAGACAAAGCUACUAUAGCAUAGUGGCUCUAGGAUCGUUCACUGGGAUGGGUUUUCACUUCACAAUUGAUAUUAAUUCAAAGAUGAAUUGGUGCCUUUUCAUUUCAAGGUUAGCUUUAAAAGAAAACAUAAAGAUGUUUAAAUGAAAAAGGUUUGGUUUUAAGCUAACUAAAAAUAGUAACUGAUUUUACUUACAAAGAAAGGUGUUUCUUGGAGUUCAGAUCACUAGGCUCGUUCCUCAUACAAAAUGGAGAGUUCCGGUCACUUGUUUAUUUUCCUCGCAUUAGAGAAUUAACAUAUAGUUCCUUCUCCAACCGGUGUUGUACAGAUGCUUCCCAUUAAUGGGUUCAAACACUAAAUCCCUCUCACUGAUGCAACUUGCAAUGGUUCAUGCCUCUCACGAGCACUUACCAUUCAAGGAGAUCUUUAACCUUGGACUUCCCUUCUCAAGCUCGCAAGAGAUAACUAAUGGAUGUCUCCUUGGAGUCCAAAAGCUUACCAAGUGUUGGCUAUUCUAGAAAAUCCUACCUUCAAGUCACCUCCCAAAGGCUCGCAAGGGGUAAACUAGUGCAUUUCCAUGGUUGGAAAUCACUUGCCUUACCAAGUGUUGGCCCAGGUGACUCUAAGGUGUUUUAAGUUAACUAAAAACAUAGAAAUCACUAACGGGUUACACUUUCUCUUCAUUAAAAACUAAAACAACAAAACUUCCAAUUUAUGCAUGUGGAAACUUACCCGGCUUUCCUCACUCCAAGAGACAAAAAGCUUAGCCUCUCAUCCUCUGUGGAAAAAUCCUCAGAGUUUGGUUGGCUAGAAAGAAAAAUAAAUGAAAAAUGAAAGAGAAGGAAAAACAGAGCAAGGCUCUGUAUAUUCUAUAUAUGAUCGAUAUUACAUAUAUGAUCCUCCUCCUUUUACAGUGGAUGCAAGGGAAUAUAUAUAGAGGAGUUUUUCCAACCUUCCCAACUAAGAAAUCUUAUGGUUGGUGGAUUACAAGGAGAAGAAUGGAAAUUUAUACAAAAAUAUCUGAAGAAAAUAUCUAGAAGAGUCGGUGCAAAAAUAUCGGGAAGCACUAAGGACAUUUCGCAGGUGAAAAUGGUGUCUGCGAGAUUUCGCAGACACUCAAGAGGGCUGCGAAAUAUUUUCGCAACAACAAGUUAAACUCGCAGGGCUGCGAAAUUGGCUUCCACCUUGAGGUUCUCAGCGUUCCAGCUUGCGGCAUGUAUCGGGUAGCUUCAGGAGGAAUUCCAUAGCACUGUACAAAAAGGCUGCGAAAUUCUCGCAACAAAAGGCUGAUUUCGCAACACUUUGGAGUGAUCUGCUUGUAAUGGCUGUAACUCCUUCGUUUCAACUCCGAAUCAUGCACCGUUUGAAGCAUUGGAUUCUUGACUUCCUGAGCUUUGAAAUGGUAUAUAGAAUGUAGAAAAUGGACUUCGGGAAGUGCUCCAAAAGUGCGCAUGAAGACUGCAGCUGCUUGUCCUCUGUUUUCUUCACUCUGUUUUUCCUUUCUCCUUGUUUCUCUCCUUGCAUACUUUGAACGACUUUGGCAAAGGGCUAUGGAGCUCCAAAGCUUUGUUCUUCAUGAAUUUGAGCUUCCAAAAUCUUUGCCAUGAACUAUAUACAAUUCUCCCUCAUUCUUGGAUUGUUUUGGUGAUCAAAUUACUAACAAAAACACCAAAACUUACACAAUUUGAUUAGAAAUGAUUGCAAGGGUCCUUAACAUGUUAAUUGGGUUAAAAGGCAAUAACUACUACUCAAAAGUGUUUAAAAGAGUUAAUUACAAGCUAUCAAAUAGCACUUUUUGAGUAGUAAUCACUCAACCUGUUCAACAAGUUGAGGAUAAUGAGCAAAAUAAUAGAGAUGGUUUAUUACCACUAGAAAAUAUUGCCAUUGAAAAUGUUGUAGAGCCACCACAACCGGCACCUUUGAGGAGAUCUCAAAGAGAAAGGAGACCUGCCAUUACAGAUGAUUAUGUGGUGUAUCUACAGGAAUCUGAUUUUGAUAUUGGGAUAAGGAAGGAUCCGGUUUCGUUUUCACAAGCCAUGGAAAGUGAUGAUUCUAGUAAAUGGAUGGAAGCUAUGAAUGAAGAGUUGAAAUCUAUGGCCCAUAAUGGUGUCUGGGAUCUCAUCGAAUUGCCUAAUAAUUGUAAACCCGUCGGCUGUAAAUGGGUCUUUAAGACAAAGCGUGACGCUAAAGGCAAUAUCGAACGAUUUAAGGCUAGACUUGUGGCCAAAGGUUUCACUCAAAAGGAAGGUAUCGAUUACAAAGAUACCUUCUCUCCAGUUUCCAAGAAAGAUUCGCUUAGAAUCAUCAUGGCACUUGUAGCUCAUUUUGAUUUAGAGUUACAUCAAAUGGAUGUGAAAACUGCAUUCUUAAAUGGGAAUUUGGAUGAAGAUAUCUAUAUGGAACAACCUGAAGGGUUCGCAAAGAAAGGAAAUGAACACCUAGUUUGCAAAUUAAAGAAAUCCAUUUACGGUCUUAAACAAGCUUCCAGACAAUGGUAUAUUAAGUUCAAUAAUACCAUUACAUCUUUCGGAUUUAAAGAGAACAUUCUUGAUCAGUGUAUAUAUCUGAAAGUUAGUGGGAGCAAGUUUAUAUUUCUGAUACUGUAUGUGGAUGAUAUUUUGCUUGCCAGCAGUGAUCUUGGUUUAUUACGUGAAACCAAGGAAUAUCUCUCUAAAAACUUUCAUAUGGUUGAUAUGGGUGAGGCAAACUAUGUUAUUAGCAUUGAGAUCUUUAGGGAUCGAUCUCGAGGAGUGCUAGGUUUAUCUCAGAAAGGAUAUAUUGAUCGGGUUUUAGAGAGAUUUAAUAUGCAGUCAUGUUCNNNNNNNNNNNNNNNNNNNNNNNNNNNNNNNNNNNNNNNNNNNNNNNNNNNNNNNNNNNNNNNNNNNNNNNNNNNNNNNNNNNNNNNNNNNNNNNNNNNNNNNNNNNNNNNNNNNNNNNNNNNNNNNNNNNNNNNNNNNNNNNNNNNNNNNNNNNNNNNNNNNNNNNNNNNNNNNNNNNNNNNNNNNNNNNNNNNNNNNNNNNNNNNNNNNNNNNNNNNNNNNNNNNNNNNNNNNNNNNNNNNNNNNNNNNNNNNNNNNNNNNNNNNNNNNNNNNNNNNNNGUUACUCGGAUUCUGAUUAUGGUGGUUGUCUCGAUAGCUUAAAGUCAACUUCAGGAUUUGUCUUUAUGCUAGCAAAUGGGGCAAUCUCGUGGAAGAGUGAAAAACAAUCAAUUACUGCUUCAUCCACGAUGGAGGCCGAGUUUGUUGCUUGUUUUGAAGCUUCAAGUCAUGCUUUAUGGUUGCGGAAUUUUAUCUCAGGGCUUGGUGUUGUCGACUCUAUUGCUAAACCUUUGAGAAUAUAUUGUGAUAACACCGCAGCUGUUUUCUUCUCUAAGAAUGGCAAAUUUUCUAGUGGAUCGAAACACAUGGAUUUAAAGUAUUUAGUUGUUAAAGAAAGAGUCCAGAAACAACAAGUGUCAAUUGAAAAUAUUAGGACCACACUUAUGGUUGCUGAUCCAUUAACUAAAGGAUUACCUCCAAAGGCAUAUUUGGAACAUGUUAUGAGGAUGGGUCUUUUGAGUAAUCCAUAAUGUGUAUGAUGAUGAAUGGUGGUUAUGUAAUUGACAAUUUGCGCAUUAAAAUUGUUUCUGUUUAUUCUUGUUUUCAAUUAUGGGUGCACGUUUUAUUGUUUGAUAAACAAGAAUUGUCCUGACAAGACAAAUUACAGGGGCUAUUUGGCAUUAAGGACUGGGUUAGUAAGGGUUAUUGAUGUGUGGUGCAUGGAAGGAAACAUGACAUUAUGGUCAUGUGACCGCCAUGACUCGCAUUUAUGAUCUAAAUUGAUUCAGUAUUAUGGCAAAUGAUUUUAGAUGUAUUGGCUAAGUUUAUUGUAAUCGUGAUCACGUGUCAAAUUUAUUUUCCAGUAUAUAUUUUAUAUAUAAACUAAAUAUAUUAUAGUUUUCAUAAUCGGUUUAGUGGGCCAAGUGGGAGAAUGUUAUUUCCACAUUAAAUUAAGUGGGUGGCCCACUAACCUAUUAUUUAGCCAAUUAAAUAAUAUCCACUAUCUUUAAACUGUUAUAGAUAUUUACCAUUGAUGGACUGGGUAAAUUAUAAUAAUUUUAAUAUUAUUAUUUAAGAUAAUUAACAGUUAUUUCGAUUGACACGUUCAGAACGGUUUUUGAACGUGUAUUCUUGGCCCUCUUCUCCUAUCAAUAAAAUACAUAUACAGAAACCCCUUCAUGUGCGGUGUGUGCUUUUCCAUCAAUUACAGAAAAAUAACUCUGUGUAUUAAGGUUUGAUAAGGAGAAGAAGAAUCAAGGAUUUAAGAUCUAUAAGCUGAAGGGAAAUCUCUCAUGGCUGCGUCUUCUUCAAACGGUAUGUGAUCUAUUUGUUAAUUAAUGUUUAUUUUAUUAUUUUAUUAUCAGAGACGAGUUUGAAUCAUAAUGAUCUGGAUAAUUGCAUGUUAAUUUCCGUGUUAAAUUCUAUCAUAGUCUACUCGCACUUUUGGAGGACACAGAACCCACUUUGAGAGAAACAAACAUCUCAAGCUGCCACUUUGGAUGGACACUUGAAAUCUAAGCGCCACAUAUGAGGGGCCAUGGCUGCACAUGAAAAAUCAGGAGGUGGCACCCACUUUGAGGCAUCUCUAGCACGCACAAGAGAAGCAGUCACAUGUUCUCACCAUCCUUAGGCAUAGCCAUCAUUAAAUUGAUAACAUCAUUACCAAUUCUUUGAGGUAUGUGAUUGUCUUCUAUAUUAUUAUUAUUAUUAUUAUUAUUAUUAUUAUUAUUAUUAUUAUUAUUAUGUUAUAAGAUUUUCCAAAUUUCACUAACUUUAUUAUUUUAAGAAUUGUUGUUGCAUAGUGGUGAUGGAAUUUCAUAUAUGAAUAGUAUUAUGAUAUGUAAGGUUAAGUUUGUUUUAUUAUUAUUAUUAUUAUUAUAAGAGAUUCCAAAGUUCAUUAAUUUUAUUAUUUUAAGAAUUAUUGUUGCAUAGUGGCCAUGGAAUUUUAUGUAUGAAUAAAAUUAUGAUAUGUAUCAAGCAACGGUGUACUUAGCUCAUGAAUUGUAUUGUGUUAUUAUUCAAUGGGCCUAUUGUAUUUUAGAUUGAAAGCAAAUAUUUAUUUAUUAUUUAAAGUGUUCGUAGUUUGUGAGAAAAAUUUUACUUUAUUCCUCUACAUAUUUAUUUUAACAUGAAAAUAAAAGAAAUAAUUGUAAACAUUCAUUUUGAAAUUAAAAAAAAAAAAAAAAACAAAUAUGUCUUUUGUAAAAUCAUUAGUUGGUUGUUUGCUUCACAAUUUUGAUGAUCUCAAGUUAGGAUUUUCUUUAAAGAAAUAUUUAAAAGUUAGUUUCAAAUGAUUUUCUAAUGUUAUUUAAUUUCUUUGGAUUUCAUGUUCUUGUUAUUAAUAAUCUCUAGUUAGAAUUUGUUCAUAUGUGAAUAAUUUUUAUCUUAGUUAAUUUCUUUAAAUAAAUGAUCUCAAGAUAAAAAUUUUAUAUGUUAGUUUUGAAUAAAAAAAAUUUAUCGUAGUUAUUUUCUCUAAAUCUAGUUCUUAGUACUGAUGAUCCAUUUUAAUUUAUAUCGUUCUUUUAAUUAUUAGUUUUAAAUUUUGAUGAUCCAUGUUAGUUUAUGUUGUUCUUUGAAUUAUUUGAUGUUGUUUUAAUGAUCCUGAUGACAUUUAUUAUUUCUUCGAAUCUUAAUUGAUAAUUUGUGACAAUUCCAUGUUAUUAGUUUUGUUUUAAAUGUCAUUGAGACUAUCCCUUGAUUGAUUUGAUCUCAAUUCAUGUGCUUCUAGAAUUCUACUUGUUAGUUCUUGAUUAAUAUCUUUAUUAGUUUGUUUGAUCUAGGAGUCAUUGUUACCUUGGUGUUGUAUAUUAUUUGAACUUCCUAACUCUUAAUUUAAGUUGUAAUACAUCAUGUAGAAUAUGAGGUUUUGAUCAUAUUAAUUAUUACUGUUUGUAAGCUAACCUUCUUCUAGCUAUAUGCAAGCACAUUAUGAGUUGUGUAUGCUAUUUAGGUAUGUCUCUUGCACUUCUUACUUCAUUAAUUUUGUAAAUAUGCAAAUCUUUUUGUGAAUGUUCUAAUGCAUGAUAUUGUUUUGAUUGCUUUGAUUGUUUGAAUGGAUCAAAUGCAUGUUGUAUGCUAUGUUUGUUAAACUAACUUUGAUGUCUUCAUGAAAGCGCUUUGGAAUGCAAUUCAAGUACGCUCAUAUCCUUUUCCCAUGUGUUUGCUUUUUUUUUGGUAUGAUUGUUUUGUUAUGAAUAACAUGUUGCUUGGCCUUAGAUAAAAUCACAUUUGUUUCUUAGUAUUCUUGAUCUAUUAAUUGUCAUUCUUUCUUCAACUUAGUUAGUAGCAACCAAUUUUUAGGGUUUAGAAGGGUACUACCUUUUUAAGGUACCUUCCCGUUAGGUAACUUAAUGCCCGAAUUUAGAUUUAGGUUUUUCAAAAGUGUAAGUAGCCCUUUUUCUUUGGGUUUUAGUUUCUUUUUUUUCUUUUUUUAUAAAAUAAAAAUAAAUGAUGACUCCUUUUUUUUUAUAUAAUAAAAUAUAGUUUUUUUCACCUAAAAAACGAGUCUCGAGUAAAAAUGCACAUAAAAAAUACAGUUACACACAACUACAUCAGUUUCUUAACUUCAUCUUUGAAUAAGUUUUUCCCAUGUUUUAUCUUUAACUUACAUUCAAUCCCAUCAAUACCCUUUUGUAUCUCUGACCUAAAUGGUGGUCCAAAUUGAUGGAUUUUUUCUCUCGCCUCUAUGUGGUUACCUCUUUAUAUUCAAUCCGUCCUAGACCCAAUUAUAGUGUAAUCUUGUUUUUUUCCUGGUGUUUCAGUCUUGUAGCCACUAUAAUCAUUUUCCCUUUGCUCCUAUUUCAGUAAUUCAAAACAUUGUAAGUCACUCUAAUAUAUCCAUUGGAUAGAAGUCCCAAAACUUCCUUGAAAUCUUUAAAAACAUGUCAAACAACUGAUUUUCUUGUAACAAAAAUCUUCCUGUUUGAAAUAAGGAACUUGAGAACUUGAGCUACAUUAUGGAAAUUACCAAUCUUUAUUAAUGUUUACCAAUAUGAAAAAAUAUAUUUUAUUUUUUAUUUUAUAUAAAUAAAAAAUUAAAAAUUUUAAUCAAGGAAAAUAUUAGAAUCAAGAUCAAGUUUUAGUUUUAUAUAAAUAAAAAAAUUAAAUAUUUUAAUUAAGAAAAAAAAUUUAAAAACUAUAGUUAAGUCCAAAUCAUAAGCAAAAAGAUAAAACCAUGAUUAUUAAUUCUAUUUUCAUAUGAAAAUUUAAAAUUUUAAGCUAAUAUAAAAAAUAAAAUAAUAUGACCAAAAUACUUUUAUUUAAUCUAUAUGUGACAAGAUUUAUCAAAUAAAUAAAUAUUUAUUUAGCAUGAAUAUAAAAUCUUAAGUUUUAGUUUUAUAUAAAUAAAAAAAUUAAAUAUUUUAAUUAAGAAAAAAAAGUUAAAACUAUAGUUAAUUCCAAAUCAUAAGCAAAAAGAUAAAACCAUGAUUAUUAACUCUAUUUUCAUAUGAAAAUUUAAAAUUUUAAGCUAAUAUAAAAAAUAAAAUAAUAUGACCAAAAUACUUUUAUUUAAUCUAUAUGUGACAAGAUUUAUCAAAUAAAUAAAUAUUUAUUUAGCAUGAAUAUAAAAUCUUAUCUCAUCAUCCUCUAAAUUUGUUUAUUAUGUAUUUAUGUUUAUAUUAACUUUGUUCUCAUUAAUUAUUUAUUAUAUAUUAUUAUAUUGUAUUUAAACUUUCUAUGGAUAAUUAAAAUCAAUAAAUAUAAAAGGACAAAACAAUAAAUAAAAAAAAAAGAAAUUAAAAAGACUUCAUGAGAAAACAUGUAGCCAUCAUAUUGAAAAAAAAAAAAUGUCAAAGGUACACAACAUGGUUGGUUCAUCAUGUGUCAAACUUAAAAAGAUAAAAAAAAUGUUGACAAACAUAAUGAUGAACUCUCUUAAUUUGUCAUGUCAAAGUUAAAAGAAAAGAACUUAGGUUAGUUGGCUGGUAAUAAGAGAGGUGGAUUGGAGGGUAAUGUUAUAAUUUUAAUAAUGUUAUUAUUUGAGAGUAUGUAGAUAAAAUUAUUUUCUUCAAAGAACCUGUAUUUUGAAAGUUAAAAGUAAAAGUUCUCAAAAAAUGUAUUAUUUUGGGUAGCCUAUGAUUACAUGAUUUUCCUUUUAAUAAAAGGAUAAGUGCCUUAGUGUCCAUCACUUUAACGCACCCACAUCUAUAAACAAAUACAGUUGAUGUGGGUAUUUAAAUUGGUUUGUAACUCAUGUAUCAAGGUGUUGGAGAUUGGAAGUAAUGUAUGUUAAAAUUUGAUUGUAAGUCAUCUCAAGAUCACAACAUCAUAGAACAAUGGCCUAGAGAAACGAUAGAUUUCACCCAAUCCACUAGUUCACCCCCAUUUUGGGCUAAUACAUGAACCAUCACUACAACAAAUAUACUCUUUGGCUAGGAACCAUGUUGUAGCAAAAAGAAGAUAUUUUAUGGGAAAGAAAAAAAAAAAACCAGAUUUUAUGGCAAAAAAACUUUCAAUACAUUUUUGUUUUUUUUUUUUUGUGGCACCUUCAUGGGUAUAAGUUUGUGAGUAAUUAUUUUUAACCACUAAAAUAAAUUUUAUAACCAAAAAUUAUUUUUAAACACAAAAAAUAGUUUAUAAAAUAAUAAUUUUCUCAUACUAAAAAAUUUGUGGCAAAACAUCAUUUUUAAAUAAAUUUCAUUGCUAAACAUCACCUUUAGCCAUGAAAUAAAUUUAAUUAGUGCCAAAACAUCUCUUUUACUCUUAAAACAAACUUUAAAAAAAAUAAAAAAUCAUCAACUUCAAAAUUUCAAUUUUUUCUCACAUUUUUUCUAGACAACCAAUCAGAGCAUUACUAGAUUUAUGUUGAAAAAAAACGACAAAAGUGUAAAGGAUAUUGUAUAUCCUCAAAUUGAUGAAGAUAAAAUCUAACAAACUUAUAUUUAUCAUAUAUCAAUUAGUUGAUAGCAAGUAAAUGUUAUGAACAGCUCAGGGUUAUGGAUGACUUGAACAACUCAAGGUUUUGAGCUUAAGGCUCUAGAUGCUAUGAACAACUCAGGGUUAUGUUGAACAUGAACGACUCAAGGUCGUGAGCAAUAGGCUCUAGAUUUUAUGAACAGCUCAGGGCUGUGGAUGAUAUGAACUACUAUAGGUCAUGAGCUCAGGUCUCUAGAUGCUAUAGAUAGCUAUAGGAUGUGGAUGAUAUGAACUAUUCUGGGUCAUAAGCUAAGGGAUCUAGAUGCUAUGAACAGCUCAAGGUUGUGGAUGAUAUGAACGAUUCUGGGUCGUGAACUCAAGGCUCUAGAUGCUAUGAACAACUCAGGUCUAUGGAUGACAUGAACAACUUCAGCUCGUGAGCCCAGGGUUUGUUUUUUCUCUAUUUUCAAUUCAAAUCAUUGUUUCACAAUACCUUUUAUCACCCCCUUCUUUAUCAAACUUGAUUGAAGUAAUUAUUUUCUCUUGAAAUCACUGAUUAUACCUGCCAUCAAAGGUCAUAAUCUCGAUGGUUUUCUCUUUGGGACACUACCUCAUCCUCCCAAAAAUCAAGGAGAAUCAACAUAGAGUAUUAACCUUGAUUAAAUUGCAUGGGAACGACAAGACCUACUCUUAUGUUAGUUAUUAGCCUCUCUUUCUAAAACUAUUUUAGGCCAUGUGGUUAGCUGUCAAACCUCUCAUGCAGUUUAGACCACUUAAUCAUUGCCAAAUAUCAUGCAAUUUCAGUUUCAACUCCAAAAUACAAAUGAAGGAGUCUUUGAUAUUGAUGAUUAUCUUCUUAAAAGGAAAAAUAUGGUAAAUAAAUUAGCAAUAAUAGGAGAACCUAUGGAUGAGCAAAGACUGGUGUGAAACCAAGGUUUGGUUAAUCUCUAUUUUGAUGAUAACAAAACAAGGUUUAGAAUUAAUGAUUAUAUUUCAAGUGUGAUUAGGCAAGACAAUUUCCAAAGUGGCAAUCACAAAGACAAAUCAAGCCAAGGAGAAAUCAUGAAGAAGAAUACCAUCUCAAAGAGAAGUGUUUUUCAAGACCCAAGCUUCAUAAGAUCUCUUUGUAAGGUUAUUGGCACACUAGGAUUUUCAUGCAUUACAUUCGUUACUUAUGCACCAAAAUCAUCCAAGAGUUAUUUUGUUUUAAAUAUUUUAAAAUUGGAUGAUUUCAUGUUUUCAACUAAAACCUUGUGUCAAAUGUUUUUCAAACUUGUUUAAAAGGUUUUAAGUUGAAAAAGUUGGUUGUUAAGCCAAAAACGGCUCAACCGGUUGAACCAAAUGAGGAACCGAUCGACCGCCAACUCAAUCGGUUUAGGAGUAGGUCGACCCCCAGUUCAACCGAUCAAUGGUGUGAACAGUAACCGAUCGACCCGCCAGCUCAACCGAUCAAGGGGUGCAAAAAACUCUCUCUUUCUUCCAAAAUGGUUGUUCAACCGGAUAAGGAACCGGUCUACCCACGCCUCAACCGGUUGAGGUCCAACGGUCACCUGCUAAGCAUUAAAUACUAAUGGUUAGUCAACUGGUUGACCCCCAGCUCAACCGGUUGAAUCCCCAAUGGCUAGUUUGGUUGUUUUCUUCUAUAAAAAUGCUCCAAAUCUUCAUUGUUAAAGACCUCAACUUUCUCAAACCUUUCUUGAAUAUAUUUGAGCCUUAGAAGAGUGUUUUUUAGUGCACCAUUGUUCUAAAACUUGCAUAUCUUUAGUGUACCAUUCAAUCCUAGUUUUUUUGUAUCAUUUGAGCUUAAAUUUUUUCUAUUAGGAUUUUGUGAGAUCAAUUAUUUGUAUAUCUUUGAGAGUAAGAUUCUUAAGUAUGGGGUAUUUCUUGAGGAUUGUAAAGGGUGCUUGGAGCCAAAAGUCUAAGAGGGUGGAUUGGAACCAUAAUCUAAUUGUUUUGCUUGAAGGCUUGGUUUGGAAGCCAUAAAUUAGUGGAACCUCAAGCUUGGGAUUGAAGUUAGAGGAGAGUGGAUGUAGGUUGACUUGCGCCGAACCACUAUAAAAUCUUGUGUUUGCAUUCUCUCUUCCCUACUCUUUUACUUUAUAUGCAAUUGUCUUUAUAUUGUUUUAUUAUAUACUUGCAUAUAUUUGUCUCUUACAUCCACAUGGUUUAAAUUUGCAAAAAGAGACCAUCACUUUUUUCACCCCCCCUCCCCUCCCCUCUCCUCCCCUCUCCUCCCCUCCUCUAGGGUGGUUACCAUAGGUUGGACUAGCCUAAUUUUUCUAACAAUUGGUAUCAGAGCUAGGUCUCUUGUUUAAGACUUCACCGUCUAAGAGAUAAUGGCUAAUCCAUCAAGCUUAUCUCACAAUGAAACCCGACCUUCAUUUUUCACGGGAACCGAUUAUCCCUAUUGGAAAACUAAAGUGACUUGGUUUCUGCAAUCUACUAAUCUUGAUUUAUGGGAUGUCAUUAAAGAUGGUCUCCACAUUCCUUCAAAAUUAGAAAAUGGAGUGAUGGCUCUAAAACCUAAGCAAGAAUGAGAUGAACUUGAUAAAAAGAAAGUUCAAUUAAAUGCCAAAGUCGUUUAUAUCUUACAUUGUGCUAUUGAUAGAAGUGAAUUGAGUCGUGUUUGGCAAUGUAAGUCGCCUAAAGAAAUUUGGAGACUAUUAGAAAUCACUCAUGAGGGAACCAACCAAGUUAAGGAGUCUAGAAUCAACAUUCUUGGGCAUGAUUAUGAAUUAUUUUCUAUAAAGGAUUUUGAAUAUGUUGUAGAGAUGUUUUCUAGGUUCAUGGUGAUUGUGAAUGAACUUAAAGCCUUGGGAAAGACCUACACCGAAGUAGAGAAAGUCAUGAAAAUCUUAAGGUCUCUACCAAAGAAAUAGGAAACAAAAGUGACGACUAUUCAUGAAGCAAAGGAUCUCACCAAACUCUCACUUGAAGAACUCAUUAGAUCACUCAUGACUUAUGAGAUAAAUUUGAACAAUCAUCAAAGAGUUGAAGAAAAUAAGAAAAUUAUAGUUUUUAUGGCUUCAAGAAAUGAUGAUGAAAAGGAAGAAAGUGAAAGUGAAAGUGAUGAAGACUCCACGGAAGAAGAAUGCACAAAUGAGGAUGGCAACAUGUGCUUCAUGGCCUUGGAGGAACAUGAAGAAGAGGUAAAUUCCAACUCUAAUUAUAAUGAGUUUCAAGAUGUACUUCAAGAAAUAUAUUUUGAUAUUGAAAAACUUAGGUCCAAAAAUGUCUCUCUCAAGAAAAAGAUUUCUUGUCUUCAAAAUGAGUUCCAUGAGCUUAAGGAAAAAAAUUGCAAAUAUUGAGAAGACAAAAAUCUCUUUUGAAAAAUAAAAAUGAGAAGUUGAAAAAGAAAAAUGAAUGGCAAGUCAAAAGUGCAUUUUUGAUAAAAAAAAAUAAAAAAUAAAAAUAAAAAAGGGCUAGGCUACAAGCUUUUCAAAAAUAAAAAAUAUUUUAAGAAUUAUUUUGUAAAGGAAGCCUCUAGCUUUUCACCUUCAAUUAUUUGCAAUCUUUGUGUUUUUGUCCCUUAAUAAAAUCUCCUCAUGUUUUUCAAAACUCUAAAUUAUUUUGGAUUCCAAAUGGAAGAAAGUCUAACCCUCUAGGACCCAAAAAGAUAUGGGUACCAAAAGUUACUAAAUUUAUUUUGUAGGAAUCCAUGCAAAAAGGAGGAUAUGCUUACCUUGGAAAGAAUGCAUUGAUAAUAUUUGUAAUGGUAUCCCUUCUAAAGCUUAAUUUUCAAUAGCAUUUUAUCAUUUUGCUAACACUUGGUAUAAUUUUUGUUAAUAAUAUAACAUUUGGUAUCACAUGCUUGAAUUAUCAUAUUUGUUAAACCAAGGUUUGGAUUAAAAAGAAGAUUUUUUAAUAUACACCUAGGUAAAAUUGAAUGAUCAUAUGCUUGUAUGCUCUAAUAGUGUUAUUCAAUGCAUGAAUAUAUAUCUUUUUAAUGUAUAUGUUCUCCCAUAUAUUUUUUUUCCAAAUCAUGGUUUAAAUUGGGAAUGCUCUAAGGUUGAGCAUCGUUUAUUUGGAAAAUGUUCUCAAAUGAAAAAGGGGGAGAUUCAUUUUUAUGAGAAAUCAUAUCAUGCUUAUUGUUUAUUUUUUAAACUUUUGAUAACAUGUAAUUCCUCUUAUAUACUUUAUUGAGACUUUUUAUUGAUGACAAAAAGGGGGAGAAGUAAUGAGGUUGCUAACUUGGGAAGAAAUGUAAAUAUUGUUUUAGCAAUCUUAUUCAUAUUGAUGCUAUGUGCUUUAUUGGUUAUAAUUGCAUGCAUCAUAUUUAAUAAUAAUGUCUUGCCAAUUGCUAAAUUGCUCUUUAUGUUAUUUAUGUUUGAUUAUAUCAUUUUGAGCACCCUUAAUAUACUCCUUAAAGUUCUAAACUUGAAUAUUUUCUAAAUUCAAAGGAGCAUAUAUUGAGGGGGAGCUUUUUAGCAACUUUGGUUUUGUCAUUAUAAAAAAUGGAGAGAUUGUGAAACCAAGGUUUGGUUAAUCUCGGUUUUGAUGAUAACAAAACAAGGUUUCAAACUAAUGAUUAUAUUUCAAGUGUGAUUAGGCAAGAUGAUUUUCAAAGUGACAAUCAUAAAGACAAAUCAAGCCAAAGAGAAAUCAUGAAGAAGAAGACCACCUCAAAGAGAAGUGUUUUUCAAGACCUAAACUUCAUUAGAUUUCUUUGUAAGGUUAGUGGUGCACUAGGAUUUUCAUGCAUUAUAUUCUUUACUUAUGCACCAAAAUCAUCCAAGAGUUAUUUUGUUUUAAAUAUUUUAAAAUUGGAUGAUUUCAUGUUUUCAACUAAAACCUUGUGUCAAAUGUUUUUCGAACUUGUUUAAAAGGUUUUAAGUUAAAAAAGUUGGUUGUUGAGCCAAAAAUGACUCAAUCGAUUGAACCGAAUGAGGAACCAGUCUACUGUCAACUCAAUCGAUCGACCUCCAGUUCAACUAGUUAAAGGUGUGAACAGUAAUCAGUCGAUCGCCAGCUCAACCGGUCGAGCGGUGCAAAAAAUCUUCUCUUUUUUCCAGAAUGGUUGUUCAACCGGAUGAGGAACUGGUCAACCCACACCUCAAUCAGUCAAGGUCCAAUCGAGGUCCAACGAUCACCUACCAAACAUUUAUUGCUAAUGGUUAGUCAAUCGGUCGACCCCUAGCUCGACAGGUCGAACCCCCAACAGCUAGUUUGGUCAUUUUCUUAUAUAAAAAGGCUUCAAAUCUUCAUUGUUGAAGACCUCAACCUUUCCAAACCUUUCUUGAAUAUAUUUGAGCCUUGGAAGAGUGCUUUUGAGUGCACCAUUGUUCUAAAACUUGCAUAUCUUUAGUGCACCAUUCAAUCCUAGUUUUCUUGUAUCAUUUGAGCUUAAAGUUUUUGUACUAGGAUUUUGUGAGAUCAAUUAUUUAUAUAUCUUUGAGAGUAAGAUUCUUAAGUGUGGGGUAUCACUUGAGAGGUUGUUCAAGAGUGGGGUAUCUCUUGAGGAUUAUAAAGGGUGCUUGGAGCCAAAAGUCUAAGAGGGUGGAUUGGAACCAUAAUUCAAUUGUAUUACUUGAAGGUUUGGUUUGGAAGCCUUGAAUUAGUAGAACCUCAAGCUUGGGAUUGAAGCUAGAGGAAAGUGGAUGUAGGCCGGGUUGUGUCGAACCACUAUAAAAUCUUGUGUUUGCAUUCUCUUUUCCCUACUUUUUUACUUUAUAUGUAAUUGUCUUUAUAUUGUUUUAUUAUAUACUUGCAUAUAUUUGUCUCUUACAUUCAUAUAGUUUAAAUUUGCAAAAAGAGAUCAUCACCCUUUUCACCCCCCCCCCCCCCCNNNNNNNNNNNNNNNNNNNNNNNNNNNNNNNNNNNNNNNNNNNNNNNNNNNNNNNNNNNNNNNNNNNNNNNNNNNNNNNNNNNNNNNNNNNNNNNNNNNNACCGGUACUUCACAUCUUAGGUGGAAAUAGAGUUGAAUACAAUCCUUUUGUGGCAUGGUGCUUACCCAACUAGCAUCAAUAUCUCUAUAUGAAUUAUCUAAUUUACUUACCAGCUUUGACAUCCAUUCAGAGCAGCAAAAUGCAUCAACAACAUUAGAUAUUAACCGCUUUUCUGCCAACCUAGUUGCAACAUCUCCAAAGCACAUGCAAAUAUCAGCACCUAAAUAUAUGACAAUCAGCAAGGUCAUAUCCUAUUUAAUGUUAGAGAAAGGGGAAGUGGUGGUAGUGGAGGUAACAAAAUGGGUCGUGGCAAUCAUCCACGAUGCCAAGUUUAUGGAAAGCUAAGUCAUCUUGCAAUCUCAUGCUACUACCGAUUGGAUUGUAAUUUUCAACCCCUAAAUAAUCAACACCACCAAAUGCAAGCUAUGACUACCACGCCUCAAACAAUAACUGACCCGUCUUGGUAUGUCAAUUAUGGAGUAACUCAUCACCUCAACUCCAACAUUAAUAACCUUAAUGCCAAAAAUCCAUGUAAUGGUGAAGACAAAAUAACAAUUCCCAAAGGCACAAAUUUAGUCAUAAAACACACUAGUUGUAACAUCCCAAAUUUCUAGAUGGGCAAUUUUCAGUUUUGAAAAAAAUAAUAAUAAUGACAUAAAUAAAAUAACUAAAAAUCUAAUUGAAUUAAAAAUAAUUAGGAAAUUUAAAUAACUUAAAAAAUUAGAGGUAAAUAAUCUCAUCUUAUAUUUUUCCUUUUUCACUUUUUCUUUGGGUAAGUGUUGUUAGAAAUUAGUUUUUGUAUGUGUAAAUUUUUUUUUAUAUAUUUUAAACCAUUUUUUUCUUACUUCUUAGAUUGUUUGGCUACCAAGAAAGUGAAGGAAAAUAUUUUAAUUUAAUUUUGAUUGACAUAUAAAUUGUUGGAAGUGAAUGAGAAUGAUAUCCUAUGAUGUUGAUACACAAAAGGAAUUUGGUGAUACCUUUCAACCCACAAUGGGUGAAGCCAAUUUGUUCAACAUUGGAAGGACCCAAAUCAAGUUCAAACAAUCUAAUAUAAUAAAUUGAGUUGGGAGGAAAUUUCAUGAGAAAAAAAAAAUCCUAACAAUGAGGAAUACAAUACUUUUUCUUUUUUUUUUUUAAUAUUCUAACCCAUUGGUGAUUUUUGAAUUUUUGUAAAUUUUUGGUAAAGUAUUAAAAUCCAAUUAAUUUUUUCAAACAAUAUACUUGAUAAUGAGUCUAAAAAUUCAAGUAUUGUUACAUUUGAACCACGUUUGUCUCAUGAGAAAAUUUCGAAUAUAUUGAAAAUUUCAAGGGAGAGGUUCACAGGAAUAGUUUGGACUUAUUAUAUUUCUCAAUUUUUUUGGGAUUAGUCUUAAAGAAAAUUAUAGUCUAAAUUAUUUUUAUAUAAUAUUAUACUCUCUAAGGAAUCUAACCUAUAAAUUUCAUCUCAUUUGGAAAUUGAUAGCUUAUUAUAAAAAUUCUAAGGAAAUGGGUAAGAAAAUAAAGUGGUUCAACUAAGACAGUUUUGACGCACUUAGGUUUCUUAAAGUUCUAGGAUAUUUUGGCUAAUUAUCAUCAUUCUUAAUUAUUUUUAUAUAUUAUUAAAAUAAAAAAUGAAACUAUAGAGUCUAAUUGCAUUCAAUUCUAAAUUUGUUUUGCAUAGAAAAAUAACUAAGAAAAUAUUUAAUAGAUUUUCAACAAGGUAUGCUAGGACAAUUUUUAUGUUUGAGACUUUUGGUACUAUUAAAAUUUGUGUAAGGCUUAUAAAUUAUUUAAAAAAUAUUCUAGACUCAUCAUGCAUUAUAUUUGGAUAGUUUCACAAUUAUUGGGAACUUGUUUGUUUAGUAAGAAAAAUCAAGAAAAUAAGUAGUAUUGCAACAUAUAUUGUUUUGGAUAAAUCUAGAACUAAAUUAGGUUGAGGCUUAAUUGAUGGUCUUUUGAUAACCAUUUGACUUAAAAAUUAAUUUCUAAGGUUCCUAGACUCAUAUAUAUAUAUAUAUAUAUUUGGCUCAAGUUUCACUUGAAUUGGACUUCAUUUACCUAACCUUUCAUUUUUAAGAAAAUUACAUAUUUUAGGGAGAGUGUUAUCAAAUUAAGAAAAAAAAUAGGAGAACCUUAGAAUCAUAGUUCCCUUUUUAUCGAAUUUCCAAUUCUCUAAGUCCACUUAAAAUUUGUUUGAGGAGAAUUCAGACUUUGUGGAGUCAUCAUACUACAAGUAGACUCUAGUGUUGAUUGCGAGAAUUUUUGUGAGUAGUUACGAUAUGCAUGCUUUUGUUAAGCUUUUUCUAAAAUAAACAUCUCUUGCCUAUGUAUUAUCUAUCACUUGUUUCAUUUUUUUCUAAAGGCAUGAAAUAUAUAUUGAAAUUCUUAUUUGAUCAAAAUGCACAUGAUUUAUGUUGAGUUGCAAAAAUAAAUGUCACUAUACUUUGAAGAAAUUAUUUAUUUCCAUGAAUAUAUUUACAACCAAUGACAUAUUGCAUACCUUGUUGUGGAUAUAAUAAAUUGUUAGACUUUUGGAUAUUAAUAUCUUACGGGCAUGAUAAUAUGUAUACUCGUGAGGUGUUUCAUGCAAUUUUGUUCUAAGACUCCAUAUUCUCUUAUGUAGCAAGGGGAAGGCCUUAAUACGAGAUUGUGAGUCUAAUGCUAAGCUAGGGGAUAGAUCUCGAAGUGACAAAGUAUGCUCUGUUGUGCCCCUAAUGAGAUGACUAAGAGAUGAACAUUUUGGUAUUGUGAUCCAUAGUAACGAGUCACUAAAAAAUUGUGUAGAUGUGGGGAUUCAUGGAUAGUAGGCUUUUGUAUAGUCGAUUGAUUGACCAAAGAUAUGUUCAGACCUAUGAUUGCAUAUUUUACAUUUCAUAUAUUUUUUAAAUACCAUUACGAUUAUUCUAUAAUAGUUUCUAAUUACCAAAGUUAUUAUAGAUAUAUUUUAUAAUUGUAUUUUUAUGUGGACUAACUAUCCUAACACUUAUGUAUCAUAACUAUUCAUUGGACCUUGUGUUCACCCCAUAGAAUUAUUAUUAUUAUUUUUUCAAAUAAGGGCUCAUGUAUUCCUAUUAAGGAGAUAAAAUCGACUUUAAAGGGCAUCUAGCUUUAAUUCUUUUCUUGUUAAACUUAUUGGGCAUCUAGUCUAUUUCAUUAUAUAUUUUAGUUCAAUUUAGUUAUUCUCAGCCAUGUGGCUAAUCUUGUAAACCUUGCUCUCGCUAUUUUUGUAUCUAAUUGUUGUUUAUUUAAUAUUAUCUAGUUAUAUGUUAAUCUUUCAAGACUACAUUUAUUUCUUAGGAUGGUGAUUACACUUUAAAUUUGUAGUUGGAGUGGGCUCACUAUCUUCAAACAGGUCGCUAUUAGAGCAAGUCAUUCUAGUCAAUUUCUUACUUCAAAUAAAUCCAAACAUAUUUACUCUCAAAAACAUUUUGCAUGUUCCUAAAAUUACAAAGGUUCUUUCUAAGCAUUGCAAAAUUCACAUUUGACUACAAUUUUUUUUCAAAAAGAAAAAUUUAUUGUAAUUUUUUUUCUUAUCCAGGAUUAGGUUUCGUAGAAGAUUUUGCUCUAUAGCCUCCUUGACCAUGGUCUUUACAAAUUUCAUCUUUCAACUUCUUAUACUAAACAAUCAAAACUUAUGUUAAAUAUUUUCUAUUUGUUCAAUCUAGCUAGUACAGUAUUACAACCAACUUGUUUUUCUACUUUCAAUAAGCUAAUUUCCUUGACUACUUCACCUUCUUAGGUUAUUUAACAUGCUAGAUUAGGUCAUCAUUCCCUUAGGAUUUUAUCUCAAGUUCUGUCCCAUUGUAAUUUGCUUUUCAGGUUAUUACAAAUAUUGAAUGUUGUGCUUCAUAUCAAUUUAGGAGACAUAAAUGUCAUUUUUUUCAAGUUUGUUGUUCAAAAAACAACCAAACCGACUACUUUAGCUUAUUCACAUUGACAUUUAAGGGUUUCCCCUAUGAUUUCCACAAAAGGCUUUUGAGACUACAUUCAUUUUAUUGAUGAUUUUUUAGGCUACACAUGGAUAUAUCCUUCAUAAAUAAAUUUGAAGCUAUCAUCUUUCAUAAAAUUUAAACUUCUUAUUGAAAAUCAAUUAAACACAAAAAUAAAAUCUUUACAAAUUGAUGAGGGUUAAGAAUUUUCAUCUACAAUCUUCCAAUUUUUUUUAAAUCCCAUAAAUACACCACCAAUUUUCUUAUCCACACACAUCAACAAAACGAUAAAGCAAAAUGCAAACAUCAUCACAUUGUCAAAAUAAGUCUUACUUGCCUUGCUCACACAUCUUUACCUCUGAAAUUCUAGGAUUUUGCCUUUGUCUUCUCUAUUUACACCAUUAAUCAUUUUUUAACCCCAAUUCCUCAAAACAAAUCACCUUUGAAGAAAUUAUUCCAUCAUAAACCCGACUACUUUUUUCACAUAUUUGGUUGUGUGUGUUAUCCAUUUGCUCAUCCUCUCAAUAGAUAAAUAUUUCAAUUUCACUCCUUAAAGGGGAUCUUUCUUGGCUGAAGCGCAUAUCAUAAAGGCUAUUUUAAUGCCAUGCUAUUUUUAAUAAAAGCAAUUUCCUGUUUUCCUUUGAUUUUUUCAAGCCUUCUAAUUUAUUUUCUAGUUGAACAAACCUGCCAUCUCAAACCUUGCAAAUGUUUCUCCCCUUAAUAUCACAAGUCUCAUCCCCCUCUUUGCCACACCCCACAAUUCCAUAUUCUCAUAUCACAUUCCAAUUUCUAUCACACCUUAACUUUACCACAUAAUCCAUCUCAUGCCUAAACACCAUCAUAAGACCACAUCUUAAGCAGCAUGUCCCCCUUAGAAACUCCCUCAUUGGAAUACAUGAUACCCACCAAUACUAUCCCAUGCAAACUUGUUCCAAAAUUGGCAUUAUUAAAUCCAAAUCCUUGCUUUCUCUGCUUCCUUCUUUACCCUUUCAUUCCAUCCCUUUUGAACUUCAUAGCUUUGUUGAAGUUUUUAAGUUCUUGAAAUGGCAUUAGGCUAGCUAUGUGUGCUGAAUUUGCUACUCUCAUGCAUAAUUUAACUUGAUUUCUCGUUCCACCACCUUUUAUUGCCAAUGUUGUCAACUACAAAUGGGCUUAUCGCAUAAAAUAGACAUGUAAUGGCAUUGUGAUAGAUUCAAAGUUCAGUUAAUUGUGAAAGAUUUUCAUUCUACAUAUGUAUUACAAUGAAAUAUUCAACCCAGUGGUCAAACCAACCACCAUCUGAAUUGUUCUAUCAUUCACAUUCUCAUACAAUUGGCACAUCUACCAAUUAGAUGUGCAUAAUGCCUUCUUGAAUGGACUUCUUAUGGAAGACAGAUAUAUGGCUCAACCCUUUGGUGUAUUCUUUCAAAUUAUGUUUGCAGAUUAAAAAAGACAUCAUAUGGUCUCAACCACUUGUUGAACUCUUCCAAAUUACGUUUGCAGAUUAAAGAAGACAUUAUAUGGUCUCAACUUAGGCUUGAUUCCAACGUUUGCAAAACAUUUUUGUCAAAUGGAGUUUUCAAUCUUCUAUUGUUGAUUCUUCCAUAUUUCUUUUUUAGAACAAGAACCAUACUAUGAUUUUACUUGUUUAUGUUGAUGACAUCCUCCUCAUAGAUGAUAGCAUGUUUCUCAUUCAAUCCUUAAUUUCAUAUCUAAACAAGAAUUUUGCCUUGAAAAGAUUUGGGAGAUCUUCAUUAUUUUUUGGAACUGGAAACCUCUUGCCUUAAUAAUGUUCUCUAUCUCACUCAAUCAAAGUAUACCCAUGAAUUGUUGGUUUGAACAAAAAUGAAUAGUGCUAAGCCACAAUUAAGCCCAAUUAUCAUCGGUAAACAACUUUCUCUUCACAAUGUUAGGCAAGAUAAGAUCGUGAUGGGCAAUGGAACAGAUUUGAACAUUAAGCAUAUUGGAGAAUCAUAUUUUUAGUCACAAUUUGCUUCGAAAUUGAUCUAUUUAAAUCAUCUUCUUCAUGUUCUUUCUAUUACCAAAAAUUUGUUCAAUGUCUCUAAAUUUGCCAAUGUUGUGCAUUUUGAGUUCUUUCCUAACUUUUAUUAUGUCAAAGAUUAGGCUUCCAAGGAAAUUCUCAUGGCAAGGAGAGUUAAGAAUGGACUUCAUGUAUUUGAUGACUUCACACUUCUACCUUCAUCAAAGCCAUUAUCAGUUCCAUCUUCCAUAGCCUCUUAUGAAUCAUCCACCUUUUCAUUUCAUAAUCAUGCUUCUAGUCUCUUUCAAUAUAAUCAAAAAAUUCUCUUGGUUCUUUGAAUAAUUUAGAUCUAUGGCAUCACAUACUUGGACAUGCAUCCCUUAAAAUUGUAAAGUUUGCUCUGUCUAACUGCAAUAUUUUCAUUCCUAAUAAAAUGCAAUUUUUCUUUUUGCUCAGCUUGUUGUUAUGGAAAAAUUCACAAACUUCUUUUUUCUUCUUAUAACACUGUUUACACUGAACCCCUUCAACUUAUACACUCUGAUUUAUGGGGUUCCUCUCCACUUCAAUUCUCUAGUGGUUGUUGCUACUACAUUCACUUUGUUGAUGCUUACUCAAGAUUUGCUUGGAUCUAUAUGCUUAGACAUAAAUCAGAUGCAUUUCAAGCCUUUCUUAAUUUUAAAACUCAAAUUCAAUUACAACUAGGUUUUAAAAUCAAGGCCAUACAAAUAGAUUAGGGUGGAGAAUAUAGAGCUUUCACAAAUUUUUUAACUUCAAAUGGCAUUCAUCAUAGAUAUUAUUGUUCUUAUACUCAUGAACAAUAUGGCUUGGCUAAAAAGAGGCAUAAAACCAUUGUAGAACAUGGUCUCACCUUGUUAGCAUUUACUUCAAUGCUAAUAAAAUAUUGGGAUGAAGCCUUUAAUUUAGAGCUUUUGUUUAUCUCAACAAUAGAUUGCCAACUUUUUUUCUUUAUCAUAGAACUCCUCUAAAGUUUUGUUCAAAACCCUACCGAAUUAUUCUUUCUUAAAAAUAUUCGGUUGCUCUUGUUUUCCUAAUAUUCGUUCAUAUAACAAAAACAAACUUUAAUUCUAGACCACUGAAUGUAGUUUUCUGGGUUAUAGUCUUAAUCAUAUAGGCUACAAAUGUCUUGAUUCUGAUGGAAAAAUUAUUAUUUCUCGAGAUGUCAUUUUCAAUGAAUCUUCAUUUCCUUUUGCUCAUAAAAUUCAAUCAUCCUCCUCAUCUAAUUUUGUUUCACCCUCUUUUCAUACUCGAACUACUUCCUCAAUAAUUCCUUCCUUUGGUAGCUUUACUCAUCCGAAAAUUGCUCAAUAUGUUAUUAAUGUUUUAGCACCUAUUGUCUAUCCUCUUGCUACUAAUACUUAUGAUAGUGUUGUUGGUCAUGGCUUUUUUCAUAGAACCAAAUAUAAGAAGAUUUAGCCUAUUCCAAUGCAACUUUACAAAAAUACUCUUUCUAUGGCCACUCGAUCUAAAGUUGGGAUUUUUAAACUAAAGGUUUUUGCUGCCACAUGUGAACCUACUUGUGUUGAGGAAGCUUUACGUAUACAUCACUGGAAAGAAACAAUGGUUAUUGAAUUUAUGUCUCUUUUGAAGAAUAAUACAUGGUCCUUAGUCCAUUACCACCUAGAAGAACACCUAUUAGCUACAAAUGGGUAUUUAAAGUGAAAGAAAACCCUGGUGGCUCAAUUUAGAAGUACAAAGAUAGGUUAGUGGAAAAAAGGUUUCAUCAAGUUGCUAGUUUUGAUUUCACCGAAACUUUCAAUCCAAUUGUUAAACCUCCAACUGUUCGAGUUAUACUUACUAUAGUAUUGUUUAGAGGUUGCUUAAUCCAUCAAUUAUAUGUUAAUAAUGUUUUUUUGAAUGGAGUAUUGCAUGAGGAAGUUUUCAUGGAACAACCUUUUGGAUUUAUUCAGCACAACUAGUCUCAUCUUGUUUGCAAAUUACAUAAAGUUUUAUAUGGCUUAAAACAAGCACCAAGGGCCUAGUUUGAAAAGUUAAGGCAUAACCCCAUAUCCCUUUGGAUUUAUCUCUACAAAGUCAUAUCAGUCUUUGUGCAUUCAUAUGACAAAAAGUCAUUCUACCUAUAUUCUUGUGUAUGUAGAUGACAUUCUUAUCACUAGUAGUAGUGACCAAGUUGUGAUGCAUCUCAUUACCAAUUUAAAUAGAGAGUUUGCCUUAAAAGAUCUUGAAGAAGUGAACUAUUUUUGAAGGAUUGAAGUGAAGCAUACUACUGAAGGCAUUCACCCCUCUCAACGAAAAUACUUAAUUGAUCUAUUACGCAAAACCAAAAUGGAAAGUGUCAAUCCUAUUUCUACUCCUAUGACCAAUGGGCAAAAACUUUCAGGCUAUGGAAGUGAAUUAGUUCAGGAUGUGAAGUUGUACACGUCAACUAUAGGAGCUUUGUAAUAUGUAAUAGUUACUAGGCCUGAAAUUGCCUAUAGUGUCAAUAAAGUUUGCCAAUAUAUGCAAGCUCCAUUAGAAUCUCGUUGGAAAGUAGUCAAAAGAAUUCUUAGAUAUUUGAAAGGAACUCUUCAUCAUGAAUUACAUUUAAGAAAGUCUUCUACUCUUAAUCUUGUAGCAUUUCAUGGUGCUAAUUGGGCCUUUGAUCCUGAUGACCAAAGAUCAACUUGAGGAUUUUGUGUAUAUUUUGGUUCAAACUUAGUCACUUGGCAAUCAAAGAAACAAUAUACUUUAUCUAGAUCAUGUAUAGAAGCAGAAUACAAAAGCCUAGCUAGUUUGGUUGCGUAAAUCACUUGGUUACAAUCUCUUCUCUCAAAAAUUAAAAUCACUUUGCCUACACCACCAAUUAUUUGGUGUGAUAAUCUUAGCACUCUUAUGUUGGCUACUAAUUCAAUAUUACGUACUUUGACAAAACACAUUGAAUUGGAUUUAUAUUUUGUGGGAAAAGGUUUUGCAAAAAGGUUUUAGUCCAACAUGUGCCUUCCAUUGAUCAAGUAGUAGAUUUCUUGACAAAAGCUGUCUUAAGCACUCAAUCUGUAAAUCUAAGAAACAAACUCAAAGUGCAAAAUAUUUUUACCUUAAGAUUGAGGGGGAAUAUUAAGAGAUAGUUUCAUAUGAUUACAAGAUGUACACAUGUUAUAUGCUCAUUGGUUUUCUUCUAUUAUUGUUAGAGAAUUUGUUAAUUAGGUUUGCUAUAUAUAUUCAGAAUAAACAGAGAAAGAAAAAUAAAAACAGAAAAGGUCAAAAAGAUUUCUCUCACUUUACUUUCUUUAUUUCUUUUACUUUGCUUUUUAUCUUUGUUACUUUCUUUAUAAGGAUGCGGUGCCCAUUAAUUUAUAGGUACAUCUUGUAGAAAAGUAUCAUGGAAUGAGUAGGCCUUAUCUGUCAUUGAAUGACUGUAGAAGUGGAAUUGUCAAAAAGCUAAGCGACCCAUUCAGAUUGGACAAGAUGCUACUGUCCCAAUAAGAUUUACAAGAAUCAAAAUUCCAUUUUGAAUUUUGUUUUUUUUUUUGCUCUUUAUUUGAUUGAAAUGGACAAAAUAAGCCUUAAAUCACCCAAACUGACUAGCCUUAGGAUAUGUUUAUUUUGUAAAUAUUUAAAUUAGCUAGGAAACAAGUAUGUCAUACGUAUAACUCGAAAUAUUUUUUAUUUUCUUAAAUAUGUAUCCUAAGAGAAAUUUCUUGUCUAUUUUAGCUCUUAGAGUUUCAAUCCCAUUCAAAGAUACUGAACAAAAAAGGAAAAAAUAAAUUAUCUUAUUAGGUUGGUUUUCAUAAGUGAAACUAAAUUUUAUAAAUAUGUAUAUAUAUAUUUUUCAUCUACAAGAAUCCUCACCCAAUUCCCAAGCUAAUCAAGGAUGAAAAAUAAUGAAAAAUUCGAGCUCUUGAUGCUAACAAAAUAUUGAAUUGGAAGUUCAUAUUAGUUCAAUUGAAGUGAUCCAUUUCUAAAAAUAUAUUUUUAUUCCUUUUUUAAAUUAAAAGUGUGUUUAACAAUAUUUUCGGGUCUUUAACUUUUUUUUUUUUUAAGUAUUUUUAAGAGAAUCAUCCAUAAAAAAAAAAAUACUAUAAGUAAUUUUUCAGAUUUUUAAAAGUAUUUCCCAAAUUUUGCAAUACACCUUUUUUUUUAUUUUUUAUUUUUAUCAAAAUAACUUUUUAAGCUAAAAGUUAUUCCCAAAAUCACUAUCAAACAUAUACUAAACAUCCUGAUUUUGUCUUUAGAUUUUGAUUUAUCAUUUCUUCCUCCUCCACAUUUAAAAUAUAAGUAGAACCCAAAGAAAAUUAGAAGGUAGAAUUCUGAGUCUCCAAAUGAGAAAGUUAAUUCCAACUUCCCCGCUUUGCUGAAAGUUUUGUGAUUACUUGUCCGGUAGAAAGUUUAAGAAGGUAGAAUUGAUGACUUCAGUUCACAUGCAUGGAAGUCUUCAUGAUUGAGAAAUAACGUGCAGGAGAGAGAUAUGAAGGGCAGGGCCGGCAUUUGUAUCGUAGCGGGAAGACUCAUUCUCUUGACUCUUGGGUCAAUGCCGGGGGAACAUCAUCAAAGAAAGGGGCCAUGCCACCACAUGUUGCAGAAAGUGGGUUACAAUUAUCAAGAAUUUUCUUCUUCUGUCUAUCGUUUUCCCGGCCAUCACGCACCGAUCAUGUGCAUGUAGUCAGUGCAUUCUUCUCUCAAGUCCUUUUGGAUCAUUUCUCUAUUUCUAUUAAGAUUUAAAUUUGGUCCGAUUCACAAUCCACAUAGAAAGAAACACCACCUAGUUUUACCAUAAAUUUGGCAUGAAUUACAGCCAUCAUUCUCGUCUUUUCUUAAGUGCUUAUAUGAAAGGGAUAAGUGAAACCAUUUAUUACUUUUCUAAGUGAAUAAGAGUGCAUCUGACCGUAAUUAUGAGAAGUGGUUUUCAGUCUUUCUUAUACUUAAACAAUAAAAAUUUUCAAAUAUUAAAAAAACUAAACACUUUCCAAAAUUAUUGUCUAACGCAUUCUAAGAUUCUAUCAAAUUUAGUUUUUGUUUUUGUUUGUUUUUUAUUAUUAUUUUUUUCCAUUUAGUAAAAUAAUUAUCAAUGCCGAAGUGUAUGGGUUUCAACACAUGGUAUUAGGAUUAGAAGAUCAUGCAAGAAAUUUAUAAUUUUCUUAAUGAAACCAUAGCUACAAAUUAUAAUUUAAUCAAACUAUAACUCUUGACAUUCAUAGGUAAGAAUUCUUGCAAUUGGCGCAUUCAUAUACAAGUCUUUUUUAGAUUCCACGUUUUAUGGAAUCUAGUGAAUAAUGACCGAAAGAAAGUAACUAUUAGAAGGAAUUUGAAAUCAAAGAAAUAGAAAAUUUUAUUAUAGGAUUUUUGAAGGGAAGUUUAGAAAAUGUUUAUACAAUAUUAUUUCAAGUAGUAGAUUAAUCCAUAAUUUAGAAGCAAAAAUAACAAGGCAUAAGAUAUUCUAAAAAAAGUUACACAUAUUUGAUGAUUGUGUCAAGUUAGUGAAAUUGCAACUAUUAAAAGGUGAUCGAAGUCGAAUCUUCAUGACUAACCAUGAAUCAAUAUCAUAUUAUUUUGAUCUAAUAUAGACCAUUGUGAAUUAAAUAUGGGUUAAUGUCGAUAAGUUCAAUGAUGGUAUCAAUUAUAUUGUGCCUUAAAUGGCCUUGUUAUGCUCUUAUUUACGAUUUCAAUUGUUUCUAUAGGGACUAUGACAUGGAUUUUUAUGGUGUGACUAUUUCCUGGUUAAUUUGUGGUUGGUCCAUUAUGUUGAUGUUCUUUGUCUGUCCUUUGGGUUGUAUGCUUUAAUAGUGGUUGCCCUCCUAUUUUAGGGCCGGCUUAUAUCUUGGCAUGAUGAUAGUGGUGGUCUCAUCACAUUUUUUGCAUGGUAGCAUGGUGGGCCCUUUAAUGGUGUUGUGGCAACUGCUGAUUGGUUGUAGCAUGUCGCUCUUGCUUUGCCACCAUGUGGCGGCGGAUCUAUGUGUCCUAUGUGAUUUAUGGUUCCAAUUUAUGCCCAUGAUCGAUAAUAAGAUAUCUUAUAGUAUAUAGGCUGAUAACCUAGAAAGGAUUAAGAUGAAGAAAAGGACACGCUUUGAAAAAGGUACACAUUUAUUAGACUUGGAAAUCAAGGAUGUCUCAUGACAAAAGGAAAAUAAAGCAACACACCAUAUUGUUCUGACCAAUAAUACUGAUCAGUUUAUUAUACAUCACCAUGCUCUAACAGUACCCAUACUUGGUUAGAAGUAGUUCCAUGAUGUUUAAUAAGGACGUUGUCCGAUAUAGUUGCCCCGUGGAUCGUAGUUGCAUGUGACGAACCACCCUCCAUUGUUGCAUUGAACCCUAGCGCACCCAAGACGCACUGAUUUGCUCCAAACAACUUGAGUAUAGUGCCCACAUUGCCCACCAACACAUGAGUUGGAGUUGUAGUCAUAAUUAGACUUCUCCCCCACCCACAAGUUCACCGCAUCGGUGCCUGUCAAUGAAGGGCUGCCCCAGGCAAGGUUCUCACCGUAAGGCCCACCUGAAUGCACUAGAUUGCAAUCGCCAAUCCUCUGGUUAGCAUAAUUCUGGGCGUAGGCAGCCACAGUGUUGUCCCAUGACAUAGGCCCAACACCAACUUGUGCGCGCGCGGUGUUGUGAGCAUUGAGGUAGUCUUGUGGAGAGUUCUGGGCACAGCAGAUGUGAGCUAGGGCUAACCCCAUGAAACAAAGGAGUGCUAAUGGACU